rnacentral:lncRNA from 1 species
AGGGUAUAAUUAAUCAAACUGAUUUGGACAAUACCACACGAUUUUUUUUUUAUUGACAAACCAACAUAAACAAUAUAUUAACGUAAAUAACGCAUUCACAUAUAAUUGUUUUAUUUAAUUAUUAAGAAAGACGAAGUACAUGGACGGUGGACACUAAGAAAUAUAAUCUCUUGUAUAUCAAGAGAUUUUAGAGGUUGAAAUGAACUAAACUGACCCUCACACAAUUAAUUGACAGGUAAUAACAGUACCCAUCCUUUUAUUAACCAUAAUGGAAAAGAGUAAUACUGCGUGCGUGCGUGAGCUUAUUAACCAGUGUGGUCGGGAUUUCUUCCAUAUUGAGGGACAGCAAUAAGAUCAAGAUUGUCAACUGUCCCGUCCUUAUCAUCAGCAAUACCAUAUACAGGUACUGGAGUACCCUCCAACCAUUCAUUCUUACCUGAAAGUUUAACAUUAGAAAAUGGAUUCAUAAAUGCUUAUAUUAAUAUAUGAAUUGUAAAUGAUAUCCAUUCAGCUGAAAUUGGCUAAAAAACCUGCGCAAGGAAAAGGAGUUUCCAUAUUCUUCAAAUCAGAAAAGAUCUCCAGGUGAAGCGUAAUCAAAACUCAAAAAUAAGUAGAGCUUGAGCGUGUUCUUAGUUCUGGUUUGAUCUGAUAUAUAUAGAUUCAAGAAGCCGAUGUUGCCGAGGUGUGGGUGAUUGUGACGUAGCAAAACAUAUAAUAGUUAUUUAAGAUUAACGGCCAUGGCUAAACUGCACGUCGAAACGUGUUAGCAUGGGUCCAUAAAAUAAAUAAUUUUAUCUAAUUAGGAGAGAAAUCGAUUCAGUAACAAGCUGCUGCUUGCACUUCCUAGAAAUUUUAAAUUUAUGAAUUGAAAUUACUCACGCCUUUUCUUGUGUAGUUAAUUAUGCAUACAGUUCAAGCUGAGGGAUACUGAUGUGAAGUGUAGGGACAUGGAUAUAUACUAUCGUUUACAUUAUUUUACAGCCUUGAUGUAUUAUUUUAUUUGGCAAUCAUAUAGUCACUGUCUGCACUACACUUUGUCUUCCCUACACUUGUCUCCACUUGAGUAUUCUUGAGUGGUAGCUGAGUCACAAGUCACCUUCUCAUGUCUGCUGGGCUUGCCUGUCGUGCUUGAUUUACUUUGUUCUAACACCCCGGCUCAAUCUCAGUUUUCUUAGCAUACUCUCAGGUCAUGUUUGGUUUGUAAAAAAUGGAGAAGAGGAAAAGUGUGGAAUGGAGAGGAAGAGAAAAGAAAGGAAUGGAGAAAAGUAGUAGUGAAAUCACAUUUUGUUGAUUGGUUUGAUAUAAAAUUUAAUAAGGAAAUGAAUUAUAAUUUUUUUCUUUAGACUAAUUUACAAUUUACCUCAAAUAUUUAAUUAUUUAUACUAGUAAUAAAAUAUAUAUAUAUAAAAAUAAAAUGACGGUCCGGUGGCCGGCGGUGAAGGUCCGGUUACUUUUCGGCGAACGUCUGGCAUCUUUUCGGCGAAUGUCCGGCAUGAUUCCGGCGAAGUUCGGUGGGAUUCCAGCGAAGUCCGGCAGCUUUCCGGCAACAUCAGGCGACUUUCUGGCGGUGAUCCAUUUAUGAUAUUAAAUCAAUAAAAUAAAAUUAUAAAUACUAAUUAUUAAUGAUAUUAAACAAAUUAAAAAGUUGAAAGGUAAUUUUAGAAACUUUAGUUUCUAACUUAAGAGGAAUUUAAAUUUUCACUACUUGGUGUGGAAUUCAAAUUCUACAUUAUGAUGGAUAUUAAAUUUUAAUGGAAAUUAAAUUCUUAUAUAUUUUGUCAAACCAAACAAUGGAAAUGAAAAGAGAAUUUAAAUUACUUUCCUCUUCUCCAUUCUCUCCUCCCAACCAAACACCACCUUAAUUUAUUUGUAUGGAAUUCAAAUAGCUCAUGUCCCAAUGCCUUUGUCAUAAUGUCCGCCACUUGCCUUUUACUCAGCACAUAUUUAAGAAUUAUUUCUCUUUUCCCGAUUUUUCAGUGUAAAUAAAUUAAGCCAAUAUCUUGAGAAUCCAAGCGAUACAUACAGUAGAAUUUGAAAUGGUGCAAGACCUAAUCAAGUUUGAUAUUUACUAAGUUACAGAGGCCAUUGAUGACAUACAUAGGAAAUUAUCUGUAAUUGUUGCUUGACUCCCACGUAUGUGUGUACAUAUAGUUCUUUUCAAGUGAGGGCAUCCUCAUUUUGUUAAAGUGAGGAUGCCCUCACUAGAAAAUUCCAGUAGUGAUAUCGCUGUUGGAUUUUUUAAUCUAGUAUUGUUGGAUCCUUAAUCCAAUACUGGGUUUAUAUGUGAAAAUUUUAUAUAUUGCAGACUGUCAUAUAAGAUUAAGUACAAUUAAAAGUGAACUAUUUAGGUUUUCGGUGCUAUGGACUUUAAUGUGUCUAAUAGGGUGUGAGCUUUAAUGUGUAGAGAUUCAAUGAUAUUUUAAUUUUAUGAUGGACAUAAUUAGAAAUAUCCAGUGACAAUAAGAAAAUGUUGUCUAUAUAAGUGGUUAUGGUUCCCAAAUCACAAGUAUGUUUCUAUUCUAUAUUGACAUCUCAUCAUCAGAGAGAGAGAGCGCAGAGAGAAUUAAAGGACUUUCUAUUCUCUUUUUAAGUGAGGAUACGCUCACUAGAAAAUUACAAUAGUGAUAUCGCUAAAAAACCUAUUUUAGAGUUUGAUUAUUUGAACAAGUAAUUUUAAUUCUGCUUGGCUAGAAUGAGAGUAGUAUGUUAUUAGUCUUUCUAUUUAUAUUUAGGUAGAAUUCUAUUUCUAUGUUUGAGUGUACAUUGCCUGGUAGAUUUACUCAAUUACAAAUCACGUGGUUACAUAAUAUGUUUGAAAACCUCUAAUUAACAAAAUUCUUAUUUUAUUUUCUUUCGUAAUAUGAUUUACCUAAGUCUCUCUUAUAAAAUCAUUUGCAUUAAAGCAUCAAUUAAUCUCAUUACUAUGAUGUAUUAUUUGUCUUGGACUUCUUAUUUUGGUCUAUCACUAUAUUACUUACCUUGGGCUGUCUCACUAUUUUCGCAUAAUAUUAUCUGCCUUGAGUCAUUCAUUUUUGUAUAGAGUGGUUAUAUUAUCUCAUCAGUUUUUAUAUUAAUUUCUAUUUUGCCGCUGUAUGAAAUUACUUGUUUUGGUGAAUUACUAUAUUAUUUCCCUUGGGCCGCCUCACCAUUUUGUUGCAUAAUCUGCCCUGGGUCAUUCAUUUUUGUAUAGAGUGGAGAUAUGAUCUCAUCAGCUUUUAUAUUAAUUUAUGUUUUGCCAUUGUAUGAAAUUAUGAAAAAUGGAUAUUGAAGAGUUUCUUGCCACAAAUUGAACCUGCAUCUCUGGUAAGCAUUACUCAUGCACUUUCGCGGAAAAGGCAGUAAGUGAAUGACCUAAACUCAUGGUUCAUUUCAUAUUAUGGAGUUUCUUAAUUUCUUCAGGAUUAUUUCGCCUGGAAUUCUCCAAAAAUCCACUGCUGAUAGGGUUGGUGCUUGCCACAUUGCCUUUGCGGCUGGUAGUGGCUUGUAUGCUUGUUGGAUUAGUCAGAAAAUUCAAUUGGCAUUGGUCACAAAUUUUUUUAUUCAAAUUUUUAUUCGAGCUGAGGGAUACAUAUAGUAGUAGACUUCAUAUACUAUGGGUGCGUUUUUGGGAUUGAGGUUGGGUAGCUGUGACUUUUAAGUUAGAGCACUAAAGUGUUUGGUAAACACUAGCUGUUGUACCUUUUAAGCUAUAUUAAUAUGAUUUUUUAUUUGUAUAAUGAAAAAUUUAUUAUAUCUUUAAUUAUUAUUUAAAAUUUAUAUUUACUAUAUAUUAUUAACUUUUGUUUGAUAGUUACUAUUUUUUUUUUAUAACAAUUGUAGUUUUUAAGUUACAGCACCUCAAUUCCAAACAAGACCUAUAUUGUCUUUCUCAUAUAUAUAAAAUAUAGUAAGAGAUAUAUAUUGCUUUCAUAUAAUUCUCAAUAUCAUAGGCGGUUAACCUGGACUCUUGGCCUAAAGACAAUAUGAGCAUGAAACCAUUUCGCGUGGGUGAUCAGUUAAGCCACCAAUGGGCUAUAAACAGAGCUUCAUUCAAGAGAGUUAAAGGUAUCCCAAGUUCUGAAAAUUGAGAGCAAGUACAAGUGAGCUUUUGCAGAGAAUUUUGAGAGUGUUUUCUUAACUAUUCUAGCGGGUAUUAUAUUGGGUGUAUUUAGGUUAUCGAGUUUUGAGAAUUAUUCCCGUUCAAAGCCCAACCCCAAUUUCAUGAACCUAAAUAAUAAACCAAACAAAAGAGAAUAUUCUCUCAAUUUAUCUAGAAUUAUCUUGGGUAAUAAUAUCCUGAAUAAUUGGCGCUGUGGCAGUUUUAAAAAUUUGGUGAUUGUUAAGAAAUUAAUGACAAUAAGUUUAGGAUGUCGUUACUUGUUAGGACCUGCAUUUAAAAUCUUAAAUAUUCGUAAUUAAUUAUAAAGAUCUUGGUUCACAUGCAAGCUACAACAAUUAGCCAACAAAUAUAUGGUAUUUUUGACAAAACUGUGCAAAAAGAAAGAGAAUAUAAUCAAUGAAACUGAUUUGGACAAUACCACACGAUUUUAUUUUUAUUGACAAACCAACCUAAAUAAUAUAUUAACGUAAAUAACGCAUCCACAUAUAAUUGUUUUAUUUAAUUAUUAAGAAAGAUGAAGUACAUGGACAUUGGACACUAAAAAAUAUAAUCUCUUAUAUAUCAAGAGAUUUUAGAGAUUAAACUGAACCAAACUAGCACUCGCAUGAUUAGUUGACAGAUAAUAACAAUACCCAUCCUUUUAUUAACUAUAAUAUAAAAAAGUAAUAUUGUGGGUAUGUAUGUAUUUAUUAACCAGUGUGGUCGGGAUUUCUUCUAUAUUGAGAGACAACAAUAAGAUUAAGAUUGUCAAAUGUCACUUCCAUAUCAUCAGCAAUACCAUAUACAGGUACUGGAGUACUCUAUGACCGUUCACUCUUACAUGAAAGUUUAAUAUUAGAAAAUGAAUUCAUAAAUGCAUAUAUUAAAAUAUGAAUUGUAAAUGAUAUCUAUUCAGCUGAAAUUGGCUUGAAACCUGCGCAAGGAGGAGUUUCUAUGUUCUUAUUUCUGCUUUGAUCUGAUACAUAUAGAUUCAAGAAGCCGACGUUGCCAACGUGUGGGCGAUUGUGACCUAGCAAAACAUCUAAUAGUUAGUUAAAUUCCACCUGCGACACGUGGGAGCAUGGGUCCACAAAACAAAUAAUUGGAACUAAUUAGAACAGAAAUCGAUUCGGUAACCCGCCGCCGCAUGCACUUUCUAAAAGUUUUAAAUUUAUGAAUUGAAACUACUGACGCCUUUUUAUGUUUGGUUAAUUAUUCAUAUAGUUCGAGCUGAGGGAUACAUACAGUAGUAGACGCCGUGUACCAUGUUCUCUUUCUCAUAUAUAUAAAUAUAGUAAGAGAUAUAUAUGGCUUUUAUUUAAUUCUCAAUAUCAUAGGCGGUAAACACGGACACUUGGCUUAAAGACAAUAUGAACAUGAAACCAUUUCACGUGGGUGCUCAAUUAUAUAACUUUCAUCCUUCUUAUGGAAGUCAGAAGAGGUGUGUACCUACCACAUCAACCGUGUCAAGCGAAGAUAUUGGACAUUUAAUAAUGAAAAAAUUAGGAAUUUUCAUGGACACACCAGUAGGUUCCGUAAAUAUAUAGAAUCAAUUGAUUCUAGGUACCUUACAAUGUGACUUAUUAUUUUUUUUUUUUUGUCCCUAAAGAUCCGGACUAUUUUUGAGGAUACUGGCCGUUGAGGCUUUGUUUAUAAUUGUGCAAGAAAAUGGAAAAGAAUGGGCUAAAGCGCAAAAAGUAAAGCUAACAGUUGUUUAAUUUAUUUUUUUAAGAUUGUUUUGAUGUGGAAUUUGAUUUGGGAACUUUUUUGUAAUUACAAGAAACAGCCACACAGGGUGACAAUUAUGGCAUUCUUUCGUCAAUUGGAUAUUAAUAGUACAAUGAGGAUGGCUAAAUGCAUAAUCACCCUAUUAAUCUUGCAGUCCAAAGCAAAAGCAAUAGCAUUACAAACAGUAGAACUCUCAGAUUGAUUCACUGUAUCUAAACGAUAGGUCAUCUGAUUACUAAACUAUCUGACGUAACUGAUUCAGAAAUUUAAUUUAGAGAGGAUUUGGUACAAAUAAAAUGAUUCACGAGGCGCGUUCGAUGGUGCAAGUGAUCGGCGGCAACAACAAGCAAGUAAGGUAAUGAUGAUGUAUAUGUUGGAAAUAUGACUUAAUAUUGUUUAUUAAAAGUUCAAAACAUGAAUAAUAGUUGUUGGUACUGUUCACUUAGCAACAAUUGUAAAUUUGUCAAGGCGUGUUCGAACUGUCCUUAAAACAAAUUUAAGCUCUUCUAGAAAGAUUUCUCGAUGCAAAAAGGAUAUAAAUAAAAUGGAUUGAGCUCCAUGAUACAAUGAUAUUGUUGCCAGGUUGCACUCCAAGUACAAUAGUUUAGAAAAGAAAAAUUAAUGAAGAAACUAUGAGAUAGAAGGAGAGGAUAUAGUGGCUGUGCCUUGAAGACUUUGUAUUUUAAAAUACCAAUAAAACUCGAAGAAUAAACUUAAAUAAUUUUGAUCAAGAUUGCACUUUAAGAUGAAACACUAAUUAGAGGCCUUUAUGUAUAACUUAAUAAUUUGAUAAAUAACUUCGCACUAGCAAAGCCAAGAGUUUCAUUUAAACCCCUAAGAUUCAAAUAUUCUUUCACCCUUUACUACUGGCAAAAUUUGGCAAUCGAUAUUUCGGAAGACAUCACACAUGUAAAAAAAAAAAAGGAAAAAAAAAUAGCUAGUCCCAUCAAAAUCACCAAAUGCAAUCCAAUAACAUGCUCCACUUAAGUAUAGACUUUCAUGAGAAUCGACAGAAAAAAUAAAUAAUAAUAAGUUCAUUUAGUUAAGCAAAUAACAGUUUGUGAUUGUUCUUUAACCUUAUUAAUAAUCUAAUUCUUAGUUUCUUACUAUUGUUCUUUUACUUGAUUAUGUUAUCCCCUAAAUCUUCAUAACAUCCAGAUUAAAUUAUUGAGAAAUACGAAAGCGGAAGCGUACCUGAAUCCAUGGUGAUUCGUAGUGGUUCUUGAGUGUAGGAGAUGGACUUCCAAUCUUCUCUUUCUCUUGAGUUUAGAAUUCUCUUUGAGAGGAUUAGAGAAUUGCAAAGGAUUAGAGAGAUUGGGGACCAUAACCCCUUUUAUAUAAAUACCGUGACUAUUGGUUUUCUUUUAGAAAACCCAACAGUCACGUUAUUUAUGAUAAUAAUUAUCACUUCAGCCCCUCAUUAAAGUGAUGAUUAAAUUCUGGUAUCUAUGCAUUUAAUCCACAACAAUUAUACCCUUAGCCAUUUAAUUAACUUCAAAUAGAUCACUUAAUUCUUGGCUUAUUAAAUAAUAGCACACACAUUUUAUUUAUUUCAUGUGUGGCCCCAAAUAUAUUAGAUUAAUAUAAAAUUGAUCUAACAAUCUCCCACUGGGCCAUAAAUGAAAACUGAAAUGUGUUUAACUUAAUGAGCUCAUAAAAUUGCUAUUAUGUCCUUAGAGUAUAUCUGAACAAUCUAGUUCAAUAACCACAUCGGUAUAUGAUCAUAUCGGCCUUUGUUACAUUAAUCGUAACUCAACCAUCCAUGGUCACAUAUAUCAAUAUAGUUACAUGACAUAGAUCAAUUGUGGAUGCAUAGCAUGGAAAUUACAUGCAAUGUGAUCUAAACAUGUCUAUUCCCAACUGGUCCUAAUUUACUUUAUUGAGAUCUAAACUUAAGUUAGUCUAACAGAGUGUAAGGAACUGAAAUACUUUAUUUCUGCAGAAAAUAAUCCGAAUAAUAUAAUCAAAAUAUAAAAGUCACACUUAGUAAUUAUACAAACUCCCACUAAAUCUGAAUAUCCUCAAGUAAAAUCACACCCAUACGAGCAGUGUGCUCAUGAAAGACUUUAGGUGGUAAUCCUUUAGUGAGCGGAUCCGCUAUCAUGGAGUUUGUCUCAAUGUGCUCUAUAGAUAUUUGUCCACUCUGCACUCUUUCCUUCACAACAAGGAACUUGAUGUCAAUGUGUUUUGACUUUGUAGAGCUCCUGUUGUUGUUGGAAUAUAAAACUGCUGACUUAUUGUCACAAAAUAUCUUGAGCGGUCUUUCUACACCCUCUAGAAUGCGCAGCCUAGUGACAAAAUUACGCAGCCAUAUUCCUUGAUUGGAUGCCUCAUAACAUGCUACAAACUUUGCUGCCAUAGUCGAUGAAGCUACAAGUGUCUGCUUGGCAGAUCUCCAAGAAAUUGCUCCACCAGCCAACAUGUAAAUAUAGCCUGAUGUGGAUCUUCUGCUAUCUUGGCAUCUAGCAAAAUCAGAGUCAGAAUACCCAAUGAUCUCUAACUGAUCUGACCUCCUAUAUGUGAGCAUGUACUCCUUUGUUUUCUGUAAGUACCUCAUAACCCGUUUGGUUGCUUUCCAAUGAUCCAUCCCGGGAUUGCUCAAAUAUCUGCCCAACAUGCCAACUAUGCACGCAAUAUCUGGACGCGUACGUACUUAAGCAUAUAUAAGACUCCCUAUAGCUGAAGAAUAAGGAUUCUUCUCCAUUUCCUGGAUUUUAAGAUUGGUCUUAGGGCAUUGACUAAGGCUGAAUUUAUCUCCUUUGGCGACAGGGGUGUUACCUGGUUUACUGUUUUGCAUGCCAAACCUCUUCAAAACUUUAUCGAUAUAGUUCCUUUGUGACAAUCCCAGAAUACCCCGAGAACGAUCCUAAUGUAUCUCGAUUCCUAAAACAAAGGAGGCAUCACCAAGAUCUUUCAUCUCAAAAUGUUUUGAUAGAAAACUCUUGGUGUCGUGCAGUAUGCCUAUAUCAUUUGUGGCAAGCAAUAUGUCAUCAACAUAUAAAACCAGGAAUAUAUGUUUACUCCCACUAAACUUGUGAUACACACAUUCAUCAAUAACAUUUGCCUCAAAACCAUAUGAGAUAAUUAUUUGAUGAAACUUAAAGUACCAUUGACGAGAAGCUUGUUUGAGCCCAUAGAUGGAUUUGGUUAGCUUACAAACCAUUUUCUUUGGGUCUCCCAACACAGUUUUUUGGUUGUACCAUAUAAAUUGUUUCCUCAAUGUCACCAUUAAAGAAAGCAGUCUUAACAUCCAUCUGAUGUAACUCAAGAUCAAAAUGUGCAACAAGUGCCAUAAUUGUCCUAAAAGAGUCUUUCGUAGAAACCGGAGAGAAAGUCUCUUUAUAGUCAAUUCCUUCCUUUUGAGUAAAGCCUUUAGCUACAAGACGUGCUUUAUACCUUUCCACAUUACCAUUUGAAUCCCUUUUGGUUUUAAAUAUCCAUUUACAACCAAUGGGCUUCGCACCGGAAGGUAAUGAGAUGAGUUCCCAAACUUUAUUGUCUUGCAUUGACUUGUACUCUUCAUUCAUGGCUUCGAUCCAUUUAUGAGAAUUGGAGCUUUGCAUGGCUUGAUGAAAGUUAAUUGGGUCAUCUUCCAUCACUCCAGUUUCAUCCUCAUGUUCCUGAAGAAAUACUAUAUAAUCAUCCGGAAUAGCAUUUCUCCUUUCUCUUGUGGAUCGUCUUAAUUGCGCAGGCUCUUGAGGUUGUUGAGUUUGUUCCUUAGGAACAAUCAUCUCAUGUUGAUUCUGGGGUUGAACAACAUUGUCAGAUGGUUGAGGAUCUGAAUUUACUUCAUGAUCAAUGACAAGUAUUAAAACUUGUACAUUGUCAAAAGCAACAGUGGAUCCCUCUUCCUCUUCAAAGACAAUGUUUCUUACUGGAUUUCUCCCCCCAAACUCAACAUCCUCAAAGAAUGUAGCAGUUCCCGUCUCAAAAAUUGACCUUGUACUGGGAUCAUAAAACUUAAAACCCCUUGAUCGCUCUGCAUAGCCAAAAAAGUAGCUGCUUACAGUUUUGGAAUCCAAUUUCCUUUCAUGAGGUCUAUAAGGUCUCGCUUCAGCUGGACAUCCCUAACUAUGUAAAUGGUUGAGACUAGGCUUUCGACCCGUCCAAUGCUCAUAAGGUAUUUUAGCAGCCGCUUGAGUUGGCAUUCGAUUUAGGAUAUAAGCUGCUGUUUUUAGUGCUUCACCCCAGAGUGAUUCUGGUAAAGUAGAAUGACUGAUCGUACUCCUUACCAUAUCCUUAAGAGUGCGGUUUCGUCUCUCAGAUACACCAUUCAUGCUAGGCGAUCCUGGCAUAGUAUAUUGAGGGACAAUUCCACAUUCCUCUAGGUAUUUAGCAAACGGUCCUGGACGUUGUUCUCCUGAACCAUUAUAUCUACCGUAGUAUUCACCACCACGGUCAGACCUGACAUUUUUAAUCCUUUUGUUGAGUUGUAACUCAACUUCGGCUUUAAACGUUUUGAACACAUCCAAAGACUGUGAUUUUUCAUGAAUCAGGAAUAUAUAGCCAUAUCUUGAAUAGUCGUCUAUGAAUGUAAUGAAAUAUUGUUGACCAUUCCAAGUAGCUGUAUGGAAUGGUCCACAAAUAUCUAUAUGAAUUAAUUCUAAGACGGCUGAUGUUCUGUAGGCUCCUAAUUUCUUACUUUUGGUUUGUUUUCCCUUGAUACACUCAAUACAAACAUCAAGGUCUGUAAAAUCAAGAGAUCUUAAAAUCUCAUCAGACACUAAUCGCUCAAGUCUAGCUUUAGAGAUAUGACCUAAACGUUUGUGCCAUAAUGAGGCCGAAUUUUCUUUCUCUAAUUUACGUUUUAUACCUCUGGAACUAAAAUGCAGGUUUUCAUUAUAACUUGAAACAGUGUGUAGCAAAUAUAGAUUGUCAUAAGCAUUAAGCAAACCGGUUCCAAUAACAUUAGAAUUGAUAGAUAAACUAAAUUGUCUGUUUACAAAUGAACAAGAAUAACCAGAUUUGUCCAAAACAGAAACUGAAAUCAAAUUUCAUCUAAAAGACGGAACAACAAAAGUAUCUAACAAAUCCAAAUAACAACCAGUUUUCAUAAGUAAUCUAAAAUGCCCAAUUGCUUCAACUUCUACCGUCUUACCAUCUCCUACAUAAAUGCAUCUUUCAGCAUCACUUGGCGGCCGGUAGCUCAGGCAACCCUGCAGUGAAACACAAAUGUGAGUAGUAGCACCCGAAUUUAUCCACCAUGUGUUUCUUGGUACUGAAGCGAAAUUAGUUUCAGAACAAACCAAAGUAAGAAAUGUACCUCUCUUUACGCGCCAUGCGUGAUAUUUUUGACAUUCCUUCUUCACAUGUCCAGGCUUGCCGCAGAAGAAACAACCAUGCUCGGCCUUUGGUUUCUUUGGCUCUGGACCCUUACAAGCAGCAGCUUCACCCUUUUUCUUUCUUUUGCCCUUAUCUUUAAAAGUGCUUACGAUAUGUGCAUAUUCGGAUUUCUCUUGCUUCAGUCUCUCUUCUUCUUGCACACAAAAGGAAAUCAGUUCAUUAAGAUUCCACUUCUCUUUCUGACAGUUGUAACUAACUUUGAACUGAUUAAAUUGUGUUGGGAGAGAGAUAAGGACCAAAUGCACAACCAAAUCAUCAGAUAGGUCGAGCCCUAAUGCCUUAAGCUUAGAAGCAAGAUGAGACAUCUCCAUGAUGUACUCUCGAACGUUUCCCUUGCCUUUAUACUUCAUUGAAAUCAAGCUUGCUAAAUGCAUACUUGUUUCAGCCUUAUCGUUUUUUGUAAAACGUUUAUGAAUUUCGGUAAGAAACUCACUAGCACUUGUAACCUCAUCAGUUAUAGCACUCCUAAAUACUUCUGGAACACCGCGCUUCAUGAUCAUAAGACUCAUCAUGUUAGAUCGAUCCCACUUCUCAUAGUACAACACAUCCUCAGAUGUACUAUCAUCAGUGAGUUCGUCUGGCUUAGGGUGUCUGAAUGAUAAGUCUAGAUCCAUGCAGCCUAAGAGAAUCAUCAUAUUCUCUUUCCAGUCAAUAAAAUUAGUCCCAUUUAGAACCGGGACACUAUUCAUAUUUGCAGAUAUAGAAGUCGCAGAUAGAAAAGCUAAAUAGAGAACAAAAAAAUAAAAUAUAAAUAAUGCUCACAUUAAACAACUCAAUUAAUAAUCUUUAAAAAUUUAAAAACAAAUUAUAACAUUUCAAGAUACCUAGCACAACAUUAGUAACAAGUCUUUGGACUAUAAUACUAACUGUAAAUGGUACUCUUGUUGCAAUGAUCAAAUUUUGACAAUAAAUUAUGUCAAGUAAUGAACCAAUCUUUGGAUUAGUACAUUACUCACAUUAAGUUAUCUUAAUAAUCGUCACAAAUUUACCAUCACAAGUGUGUGUGCAAUUAGGCCAAAUAUUAACCUUCCUUUGGGUCGAUUAACAUCCGCAGGAAUUACACAAACACAAACAUCUAACACCCCAAAUAAACUAAUCUACACAGGAGAUAUCACUUUGGUGACUUCCUGCUUUAAUUAGCAUAUCAUCAGUGUUAGACCAAUAAUCAUUUUAAUUUAAAGAUUAUAAAACCAUAACCGAAAUAAUUAAUAAAACCGAAACCGAAACGUGGUCUAACCAUAACAAUUACAAAAUUCCAAGCAAAAUGAUAUUAAUAACUCAAUAAUCUAAUCAUGGAUGGGGCUCUGAUACCACUUGUUAUCCCCUAAAUCUUCAUAACAUCCAGAUUAAAUUACUGAGAAAUACGAAAGCGGAAGCGUACCUGAAUCCAUGGUAAUUCGUAGUGGUUCUUGAGUGUAGGAGAUGGACUUCCAAUCUUCUAUUUCUCUUGAGUUUAGAAUUCUCUUUGAGAGGAUUAGAGAAUUGCAAAGGAUUAGAGAGAUUGGGGACCAUAACCCCUUUUAUAUAAAUAUCGUGACUAUUGGUUUUCUUUUAGAAAACCCAACAGUCACGUUAUUUAUGAUAAUAAUUAUCACUUUAGCCCCUCAUUAAAGUGAUGAUUAAAUUCUGGUAUCUAUGCAUUUAAUCCACAACAAUGAUACCCUUAGCCAUUUAAUUAACUUCAAAUAGAUCACUUAAUUCUUGGCUUAUUAAAUAAUAGCACGCACAUUUUAUUUAUUUCAUGUGUGGCCCCAAAUAUAUUAGAUUAAUAUAAAAUUGAUCUAACAGAUUAUAUUGUCGAAUCUUUCUGAAAAAGAUUGUUUUUGUAAUUGAACUGUUUAAAGUUUAAACAAAAAAAAAAAGCACUAAAUCCAAAUCAAAUAUAAAUACAAAUCCAGGUUCUAAAAAAAUCAAGUACAAAUACAGAAUCUAAAUUCUAAAACUUAAAGUUUCCAAGCGAACAUCAAGGAAUCAACAUCCCACGAAGCAACACGAACGGCGAAGGCGAGCUAGUUCAACCUGUAUCGGGGCUGGUUACUGGUCGCGAUAGCAGCUAGUGAUGAUGAACAUUGAACACAGCCACAAUCACGAUUAGCGAAGGUGGCGUUCAACUCGUAUCACAACUUGUUACUCGUUGUGACAUAGAAGAAGAAAUGAUGGCUAAUGAUGAUGAUGAGAUUAACACAACCGCAAAGAUAGUGAAGUGAUGACGACGAUGAUUUAAUUUGAUGAAAAAAACACCUGAAAAGAGACAGACAGGAAAUGUUUGGCCUUGGCAGCCGCAGUUAUGAAUGCAAGUAGGGCACUUGGGCUUUUUUUGUGUUUUUCUAUUUGUAUUAUAUAAUCUAAAAAAAUUAAUAUUAAAAUAAAAGCUUCCGGGUCUAGAUUCUGUAUCUAUGGGUUCAGAUAAACCCAGACACGGACUUGGAUACGUCUGGGUUCAUUAAAUUGCAUCCGAAUUCCAUAUAAAAUUUGCUCCAGUAUGGGUUGAAGCCAGCCUAUUCUCUGGGUUCAUCUAGGUUUGGGCGGGGAUCAGAUUGAAUUGGCAUCGCUUUUAUGUCCAAAUUAUCAAUAAGAUCCUUUGCUGUUAGUAAAUUCCUUUAUCAAAUGGUUUCAAUUUUGAACAUAUUAGUCCUAUUCCAAUUUUCAACCGUUCCCAAUUUUAUAACUCCAUUUAUUAGUAACAUUGUCUUAAAAGUUCAUCAUUGCACGGCACUAGAAUGAUUAUAAGGUUUAAUAUUUUUGAAUUAUGAAGCUCGUUCUCAGUAAGACAAGGCUAUUUGCACUCUAAAACUUAGUCUAAACAAUCUAUCACCUUGGAUACUCAUGUACUAAAUUUAAAAAGAUUAAGUUUUAUUUUCUUCACACUUUAAAAUACCUAAAAAGACCUUACUGAAACUCGCUAAAUUAAUUUACUCAAAACACCAAUCAAACUAUUUAGCACAUCCAAAAUGAAUUAGUAAUAAUUUAGAAUACACUGCAAUGGAAUCAAAGUAUGUUCUAAAGAAAUUUUUUUAACAUAAGUUUUAUUUAUUAGCUUUUGUUUAUUAAAGAAUAUGUUCAGCAUUGGUUUUUAAACCCCAAACUUUUAACCCAACAAUUGGAAAAAAUGGUUAUUUGGCCCAAAAAGGGAAAAAAAGAAAGAAAGAAAGAAAGAAAGAAAGCAAGCAAGAAAGAAGAAAAGAACACAAAGAAGAAGGAGAAGACUGCAAAAAAUAUUUUUAAAAAACUAAAAGGCAUAAAUAUGUUCAAAAUAUAUUAAAAGUAUUCAUUUGCUCCUAGCUCCUAGUUUAACUAAAUAUUGUUUAAGAGAUUGGAAAUAAAAUUUCUAGGGCUUAUGCCAAAAGAAUUAUAUAUUCAAUAAUGAGUGUGCUAUAUGAGUAUUUAGAGUAAUUAUAUAAUGUUAAUUUAUAAGAAAGAGUCCUUAUUAGUAAUUCAUAUGAUGUGUAUUUUUGUGAUAGAAUAAUUUAUUAAAAUAAAAAUGUGCAGAAUAUUUUUUGUAUUGUAAAUAUGUAAAAAUUCUCACCCUUCUCAAUAUAUUGACUUGAGUGAUAAUUUUAAAUUGCAUCAGAAUGAGCUAAAAGAAGAGGAAUUGUCGAAAUUCAGCUUAUGGCAAUUGAACAAUUAAUGGUUAAGAAAUACAGUAAAUCAAUAAUACUAAAACAUAAACAUAAUAAGAGAUCUGGGAUCUAACUAAUAUAUUGAUUCAAGAGUGACUAAUUAAAUAAAACUUCUUGAAAACCACACCUGCACAAGUCCAUGUGGGUUCUCAAGUUCUAUGUUAACUAUUAUUCUUCUCGGCAAGUAUCAUUCUUCUAUUGGAGAUGCCAUUGUUGCAGAAUAGAAGUCAGUUGAAGCUGUUAAUAUUAUGAUUGAAGUUUAUGCAAGUGCAGAUUGCAGACAGUAGAUAUCGACUUGAAGCCUCAUGUAAGGAAAUAAAGGUUGGUUUUCAACCAAAUAUGACGACUGGGACAAUGUCGGGUGGUUAAGGAAGAUGCAAUGGUCGUCUCAAAAAAUUGGGUUUCAUUGGCCAGAUAAGACUAAGAUGUCAACUUUUUUUUUUUCGUUAAUAUGAUUAACAAUGAAAGAGUAAUUUUGAAACAUUGACUUGGACUUGUGAUUGUUAAUAAAUUUAUUACUUCUUUUCAUUAAUUUGACCUGCAUAACAAUUAAUUGAGUGAUUUUUAUUUUUCAAGAUACUGCUACUUGAAGAAAUUGUAUGAAUCAAUAAUUUAUCAAUGAGUAACGUUACAAUUUAUACAAGUUAGACAUACUUGGCUGAUAAGCCAAACACUAUAAGAUAAGUCAUAGCCUAUAAGAUAAAUACAAGCUAAGGUAAAGAGCUAUAAGAUAAGAUUACAAGUUAUUGAAACAGAGAGUAGUUAUCUAUGUACAUGUUUGGUUAAUACGCCCCUGCAAGAUAUGUGUUCCAUCUAGAACUCCUAGCUUGGAACGUGCAGCAAUAUAACGACUGCGAGACAGUGGUUUGGUCAAGGUAUCAGCCAACUUAUUUUCUGAAGGAAUAUGAGAAACACAAAGAAGACCUGCUGCAAUUUUAUCACGAACAAAAUAAAAAUCAAUUUCUAGGUGUUUCAUCUUUGAGUGAUAAAUCGGAUUUGAACAUAAGUAUGUCGCUCCAAGAUUAUCACAAUGUAGAACAGGCAUAGAAAAUUUUAUACCAAGUUCAUCCAACAAGUUCCUGAUCCAACAUAUUUUUGAAACAACAGCAGUUAUUGCUCAAAAUUCUGCCUCUGUAGAUGAGCGAGCAACAGAACGUUGCUUUUUGGAUGACCAUGAAAUUGGAUUGCCUCCAAAAUAAAUAACAUAGGCACUAGUAGAACUGCGAUCAUCAAGAUUUCCUCCCCAAUCAGAAUCAGAGUAAGCUAUCAAGGAAUGCGACUGAGAUGAGCGUAGAUGUAAACCAUGAAAAAUUGUCCCUUUCAAAUAUCUAAGUAUUCGCUUAGCAGCUUGCCAAUGAAUUUGUGAAGAUUGUUACAUGAACUGAGAUAAUUUGUUGACAACAAAUCUAAUAUCCGGCCGAGUUAAUGUUAGAUACUGUAAGGCUCCAAUAAGUUGACGAUAUAGAGUGGAAUCGGCUGGUGGUGCCCCAUCAUUUAAUUGAAGUGUAACUGAGGAGGAAAGAGGAGUACCAACUGCUUUAGCAUCAUACAUGCCAAAACGCUGCAGGAGGUCACGAAUGUAAGAGUGUUGUGACAAGAGAAUUCCAGUGGUUUGUUGAACAAGCUCAACACCUAAAAAAUAGUUUAAAGCCCCAAAUCUUUGAGAGAGAAUUUAACUGAAAGAGCAUCAAUGAAAUGAGAAAUAAAUGCAUUAUGGCUGCCCGUUAUAAUUAUGUCAUCAACGUAGGCAAGAAAGUAGACUCGUACACCAUUUGUGUUAUAAAUAAACAAUGAUGCAUCAGAUCGACAUUGAUGAAAACCAUAAGCAAGCAGGAAAUGAUGUAAAGCUGUAAACCAUGCACGUGGAGCCUGUUUUAAGCCAUAAAUUAAUUUAUUCAACCUGCAGACAAAAUUAGGUUUGUUAGAAUCAACAAAACCACUGGGUUGUUUCAUGAACACUUCCUCUUGAAGAUGACCAUGGAGAAAAGCAUUAUUAAUAUCUAGUUGCCAUAAGGACCAGCCACAUGCCAAGGCUAGGCAAAUAACCAAUCAAACUAUAGUAGGCUUAAUAACUGGAUUGAAAGUUUCAUGAAAAUCAAUCCCAAGACGCCGAUGGAAACCUUUAGCUACUAGAUGAGCUUGAAAUCGAUCAAUACUACCAUUGGGUUUCCUUUUAAUCCAAAACACUCACUUACUGCCGACAAGGUUCUGAUUAGGUGAUGGAGGUAUAAGGUCCUAUGUGUUAUUGGAGAUAAGGGCACGAUAUUCAGUAGUCAUGGCAGCAAGCCAUUGAGGAUCUUUAAGUGCCUGUGUAAUGGAGGUGGGUUCACAAGAAGUUGGCAAUGGAUGACUGAAGUGCACCUGUAGAUGGUCUAACGUGGAAGAAAUUUUUUUUUUGGUUUAUGGAUGUUAUUUUGGGAGCGGGUUGUCAUUGGAUGUGUUCGAACAAGUGGAUUUGAUGAAGAAUGAGGUUUAGAUAAGGUUGAAUAAGGAUUAUUGGGUUCUGGAAUGGUGGGUGGAAUUUCAAUGGAAUUAGGAGAUGAUAAGGACGUGAGGAUCUGGGAACUUAUGGUGGUGGGGCUAGUAUUUGGUGGGUAUGAUGUGUGGGGUCAAGAGAGUUCUCCUGGAAUGAACUUGGAGGUUGUAUAUUUGAAUUAGAAUUUUCUGCAGACAAAGAACAUGAGCCCAAGUGCAAUGUCAUUUUAUUAUCAGAUGAGGCAAGUGACUGAGUGGCAUUAGAAUUGGAAGUUGAAACGGUGGGACUAGAUACAUGAAACACAGGAGGAAGCCAAGACGCUAUAGGUAAAGUAGAGAAAGAAGACAAAGUAGAAGUAAUAGAGUUAUAGGGAAAUACAUACUCAACAAAUUGCACAUCUCGUGAAAUAAAAAUUUUCCCAAACUUUGGCUCCAAGCAUUUAUAGGCACUUUGUUGAAAGCAAUAUCCUAGAAAAACACAUGGAAGUGAACGUGGUUCUAAUUUGUUGUGAGUGUAUGGCCGAAGCCAUGGAUAACAAAGACACCCAAAUAUUUUUAGUUUAUUGUAAUUAGGAGUUUCUUUAAACAGUAAUUGGAAAGGACAUUGCAUGCCAGUGGCACGAGAAGGUAGCCUAUUAAUUAAAUAGACAGCUGUCUGGAAGGCAAAUGACCAAAAUUUUGGUGGUAAUGAUGCUUGGUGCAAUAGUGUUAUCCCGGUUUCAACAAUGUGUCAGUGUCUACGUUUAGUUGUUCCAUUAUGUUGUGGGGUAUAAGGUGGUGUAGAUAAAUGAGAAAUGCCACACUUAAGAAAAAAAAUCUUUGAGUUUAAUAAAUUCCCCACCUCUAUCAGUGUAAACAGAAACAAUAUUGGUCUUAAAAUAAUUUUCAACAUUGUUCUUGAAUUGAACAAAAGUACCAAAGACAUCAUAUUUGAAUCGCAAUGGAUAAAGCCAAAUAUACUUGGUAAAGUGAUCAACAAAAAUCACAUAAUAUUUGUAACCAUCCAACGAUGUAACAGGAGCAGGACCCCACACAUCCGAAUAAACAAGUUCAAGAGGACUACUACUUUUCAAUGUAGACUCUCCAAAAGGGAGGCGAUGACUUUUAUUACAUAAACAAGACUCACAUGAUGGAGGAACUAAAGACCCAGAAAUAGAUAAAUGAAGAAAACACAAAAGAUGAUUUAAAACUUCUGUUGACGGAUGACCAACACGCUGAUGCCAAAUGGAAGAUGAAGGUUUAAUAGUGACACAGGAAAGCGGUGAAGAUGAUUUGCUAAAGAAUAAAUUUGGCCACUCAUACACUCCAUCCUUAUUCUGGCCUUGCAAUAAAAUUGCCCCCGUGGUCAUGUCCUUCACCUGAAAAAAAUCAGGAAAGAAUUCAAUAGAGGUAUUAUUUGAAGCACAAAAUUGAGAUACGAAGAUUAGAUUUUUAUUCAUAGAGGGGACAUAAAGAACAUCAUGCAAAGAAAAUUUGGUAUGAGGGGAAGAUAAAGAUAAAGAUCUAGUGUGAGAAAUACUCAAACCUGUACCAUUUCCAACUAAAACUGAAUCAGAACCUUGGUAGGGAGAAGCAGUAGUUAGAUUUUUAAAAUCCCCUGUGACAUAAUGUGAGGCAGCACUAUCAACAAGCCAAUUUGGGGAAACCAUAUUGGAUGUAAUGGUGUGGUUUAACAUCAGAGUAUUUUUGCGAGAGGAGAAAACUGGACAGUCUUUGGCUGUGUGACGUUUUUGCUCACAAAGCUGACAAAAUCCCUUAUAGCCAGAUCAUUUCUUACGAAAUUGAGCAUUAUUAUUGGUGAAAUUUUGAUAGUUGGAGGCAUUAUGGGGUUGGGAAGAAAAUUGACCAUUAUUAAAUUGGCCAUUUUGAUGUGGCAUAGAAGAGCCACGGUUGCCUUGCUUGUGAUUUGCACCAUGCUUAUUAUAUUGUCGUUGUGUAGCAUUAGUCGUAAUAGGAGAAAUUGCCAUUGGAUCUGCUCGUUUCAAAGUUGCUUCAAAAUCAACCAACUUGUCAUAUAACUCGUCAAAGGAAAUAACAGUUUCACGUGUUCUUACCCCAACAAUUAUUUCUUUGAAUUCUGCGCCAACUCCAUUAGCAAUAUGAACCGCAAUAUGAACCACAAUAUCGUCAUCAAUGAUGGGUAUAUCAAUCAAUGAUAAUUCAUCAGUAGUAGAUCUUAGGGAAUUGAGAUAAUCUGCCACAGAUUGUGAUCCACGAUGGGGGCGAGCUAGACGCUCUUUUAGCGAAAACACACGGCUACGGCUAGGAUUGGAAUAAAGUCUUGCUAACUUAUCCCACACUUAUUUGGACGUUGUGGAACAAGCAAUCAGUGGAGCAACUCUUUCUGAAGAGGAGGCAAUGAUGGAAUGAAAGAUCAAUUGAUCUUGACGUUUCCAAUAAAGGUAUGCUGGGUUUGGGGUGGAUACAGUUUCACUGCUAGAGGCUAAUGUUGGGUCUGGACAUGGAAAGGAUCCAUUUAUGUAUUUGAUAAGAUCAUAACCAAAAGCAAGGGAUAAAAACUGAGCUCGCCAAGUAAAAUAGUUUUCUGGUGUAAGUUUCAAAGGAAGUUGUGCAACAACAUUAAUAGAGAUAUACCCAGUAGAUUGUUGGGUUGAUUGGGUAGGGGAAAUGGCUGUAGAAGUAGGUGUUGUUUGAUCAGCCAUUAUAAAAAAGAAAAAUGUGCUCUUUAGAGACUAGAGCUCUGAUACCAUGAAGAAAUUAUAUGAAUCAAUAAUUUAUCAAUGAGUAACGUUACAAUUUAUACAAGUCAGGCAUACUUGGCUGAUAAGCCAAAUACUAUAAGAUAAGUCAUAGCCUAUAAGAUAAAUACAAGCUAAGGUAAAGAGCUAUAAGAUAAGAUUACAAGUUAUUGAAACAGAGAAUAGUUAUCUAUGUACAUGUUUGGCUAAUACUACCCUCCCAAGUUCGAAUCUUCGGUUGAAAAUUUUGAUUUAAACUUAGUCUUCAUCCCUCAUUUAUAAAUAAUAAAUAAAUUAAUUAAUACAUAAAUAAAUAAAACCUACGUGAAUGUAGAAAUGAAUCAGAUGAAAAGUAAAUAUUGUAUAAAUACCCGCACAAUGUGGUUCAGCUGCAUUGAAUAUUAUGCCAAGAAUAUGCAAAUCUGUUGGUUAGUGUUGACUUUGAACUACCUGAAGUACACAAGGGACUUUAACAUAGACUUAAUAACCAGUGGAAUUUCUGGCAAUUUAAGAAAAAAAGGGAACUAAGAUUCAUUUUAUUAUUCUUCCUUCCUGAACCUUAACAAAGAAAUUAAUCACAAAAAUAGUUUUUUGAAGUCUUUAAAAGUAAACCUUUUAGGAUCUCUUCAGAGAGCCGAAGAAAUGAAACAUGAGAAAACUUUGAAGUGAAAAGUAAUUUGGAGCUUACACAUCUUGGCACUCUUAAUCGGUGAAGCAACUGUGAUGUAACCUAACAGAAUGAUUAGAAUUUUCUGAGUAUAUAUGUUAACCCAUCCAUCAUAUUAUCUAUAUGUGUAUUCAGCACAAACCUUUUAAUCUUGUAUAAACUUAAAAUAGAGAACUGUUAUUCGUUCAAUACUUGCAGCCUUUAGAAGCUCAUCAAGUCCUUCACAAGUCCCAUUGUCCACUGUCGCAAGAGUUUGUUAAAAUCAUGAAUCAGUAUUGUGAAUUGGUUUAGUUAUAUUCUAUUAAGUUCGUUGCUAUUUUUCAAAAAAAAAAAAGUUCGUUGCUGAGGUGGCUUGAUGAGCUGGCGUUUGUGGGAACCUUAGUGGUUAAGUUGUUACAACAGUCCUACAAGUUUUUGGAAUUAAAUAUAAAAGAAAGCAAUGCUGGCCGGUGCAGCACCUAAAGACAAGAUCUUGACUAACUUUGAGAUAAAUUUUGUUAAUUCUUCAUUGAAGGGAUUUAUUCUCUGUGAUCUCAAGAAUUGUAGUAAUCAAUAUCUUAAUAAAAGUUUAUUAUCAGCCAUGGAUACAGGUACUAUGGUACCAAACCACGUAAUAUUACAAUGUUCUUUUUCUCUACUUUUUUAGUUUCUUUGUCAUAUAUGUUCUUUGUUCUUUGAUCUAGUGUCAUUAAUUCUUUGUGCCAUUAAUUGGACUGGUUAAUUGGCUAGUUUGAUUAAGAGCCGAAAGAGAAGAAAAGGCCUUGAUUUAUAGAAAAUUGGUAUCAGAGCCUUGGAGCUCUUUGCUCUUGAUCUUCAAAUGGAAAAGUAUCAGAUUUGAUCUCAAAAAAUUCAAUGGUGAAAAUAAUUUCUACUUGUGGAGUCUCAAAAUGCGUGCAAUUCUAUUUCAAGAAGGGUUUGAUAGUGCUCUUGAUGAUGAUGAAUAUCCAAAGGAUAAGAAAGAGAUUGAAGAAGGUUCAUCAAGUUCUGGAGGAGACAUGGGGUCCAUUAACAAUAAGGCUCACAACAGCAUUAUUUUACAUCUUUCAAGUGAAGUGUUGAGAGAAGUGGGAAAAGAAGAGACUACUUCUGGUCUAUGAGCAAAACUUGAAGAGUUAUUCUUGAAGAAAUCUUUGGCCAAGAGGCUCUGUAUAAAGAGGAAGUUGUACACAUUUUCAAUAAAGGAGAGGACAACUAUGAAAGAUCAUUCGGAUGAAUUUAACAAGCUGAUAUUGGAUCUUAAGAAUGUUAACAUUAUUCUUGAAAAUGAGGAUAAAAUUCUUAUCUUACUAAGCUCACUCCUAGAUUCAUAUAAGCAUUUUGUGGGUACUUUGUUGUAUGGAAGACAAUCACUCACUUUGAAGAAUGUGAAAAAUGCAUUAGAAUCUAAAGAUUUAAAAAAAAGAACAGAAAUAAGGGAUCAAAAUCUUGGAGAGGGCCAUAGUUGUCAGAUUCAUAUUAGAGAAGAAAGCCAAUAAAGACAAAAAGAAUAAUAAUAAGAGGGAUAAAGUUGAUAACAAGAAGAAACAAAAUGCUACUUAUGUCAUAAAGAAAGACAUUAUAUUAAGGAUUGCUUUGAGAAGAAAAAGCUUAAGAGGCUGUAAAAGGAACCAAAUGGGAAGGUUGCCAUUGUAUUUGAAGAUAAGGGAGAUUCAGAAGGAGCAGAUGUCCUUAUUACACUGAAAAAUAACUUACUGGUGAGUGGAUACUGGACACUGUAUGUUUUUUUUUUCAUAUGUGCCUAAAUAGAGAUUUGUUCAAGACCUUUGAAAGCAUUGAUGGGGGCAAAGUCUUGCUUGGAAACAAUCUUACUUAUAAGGUUAUUGGAAUUAGAACCAUUAGUAUCAAGAUGUUUGAUGGGGUAACUAAAGAUCUAAAAUCAGUGAGAUUGAAAACUUUUUGUAUUUCUCUAUAUCGUAAAAGGUUACACAGAUUCCUCUUAUAGAGAAGAAUACAUAAAAUCAGGAAACUGACAAUAAAUUAGCUAUCUAGUUGUACUAGCUAUUUCCUAAUUUACACCAUUGACUUAUUCUUAUUUACAGCUAACAAUCCUCUCUAACUACAAAUAUUUUUUUCCUUUUCUACACUCCCCCUGAAGUUGGUUUGAAGAUAUCCUCCAUAGCCAGCUUGCCAAUUAGCUCGUUGAAUUGCCGAGUAGGAAGCCCCUUAGUAAGUACAUCUGCAACUUACUGAGUAGUGGGAAUGUUAGGCAUACAGAUUAACCCUUUCUCAAGUAUUUCCUUGAUGAAAUGUCAUCUUUAUUGUCAUAAGUAGUUGAUCUAAACUAAGUUUCUAUGCUGCUUCUUGCCACCACAUUUUGCUUUUUACUUCGCCAUGUAAAACGAUUGCCACCAAUAAACGUGCAAUAGCCAGAAGUUAAUCGUUUAUCAACAGCACUUCUAACCCAAUCCGCAUCAGUGUAGGCUUCAACUUGUAAGCGCCCACGAUUCUUGAAUAACAAACCUCUUCCAGAAGUCCCCUUCAAAUACCUGAGAAUUCUAUAGACUGCAUUGAAGUGUUCUUGUCCAGGGGAAGGCAUAAACUGGCUAACUAUGCUCACUGCAAACGCUAUAUCUAGACGAGUAUGCAAUAAGUAAAUCAAUCUUCCAACAAGUCUCUGGUAUUGUUCUCUGUCCAGGACUUCUUCAGGUUUAAGAGGCUAUAAUUUGAGGUUGAGCUCAAUAGGUGUUUGUGCUGGUUUACACUCUAGCAAGCCCGUUUCAUUAAGCAAAUCAAGGACAUAUUUACGUUGAUUCACAAAUACACCUUUUUUGGAUCUAGCAAACUUCAUUCUAAGAAAGUAUUUCAAUGUCCCUAAAUCCUUGAUCUCGAAGUCAGCUGCAAGUCUCUUUUUCAAAUUUUCUAGUUCUUCACUGUUAUGAUAUGUCAUGACUAUAUCAUCCAUAUAAACAAUUAGUGUAGCAAUUCUGCCUUCUCUACUAUGUUUAUAGAACAUAGUAUGAUUAGCUAGGCUUUGACAAUACCCACAAUUCUUUACAGAUUUCCUAAAUCUCUCAAACCAAGUUCCAAGGGAUCACUUGAGGCCAUACAACAACUUCUUUAGUCUACAGACUUUCUUUGAUCCCAAAUUCUUCUCAAAACCGGGUGGUAGACUCAUAAAAACCUCUUCCUUAAGAUCACCAUUCAAAAGGCAUUUUUUACAUCCAAUUGGUAUAAUGGCCAGUUCAGAUUUACAACCAAAGAUAAUAGAAUUCUAAUUGAGUUUAUCUUCGCUAUCGGAGAAAAGGUCUCCUGAUAAUCAAUCUCAUAGGUUUAAGUGAAUCUCUUAGCUACUAAUCUUGCCUUAAAGAUUUCUAUGCUACCAUUUGCUUUAUACUUCACAGUAAAGACCUACUUGCAACCUACAAUCUUCUUCUCUUUAGGCAAGUCAACUAUCUCCCAAGUACCAUUUCUCCUAAGAGCAUUCAUCUCUUAUAUCACUGCCAAUUUCUAAUUUGGAUCACCAAGAGCUUCUUGAAUGUUUCUUGGGAUAAAAACAGUGUGAGAUUUUUUAAGUAAAUGCCCUAUAAGUGUGAGAAAGUUUGUCAUAAGAAAGAUAUUGAGCAAUGGGAUAUCUAGGAUUCUUAGUGAGAUUUCGAAUUCCUUUUCUAAUAGCAACGAGAAUAUUAAGGGCUGAUGAUUCUUUGCUAGGGAAAAUGAUGGGAAUUGAAGAUGAGUUAGGAUUGAAAAUACCUGUGAUAUUUGCAGGUCCAAUCCCCGAGGGUUGUGAUUGCUCGUUACCAAGAGUAACUGGUUGCCUUUGACUUUUUUUAUGAUGUUUUCUCCAAGUAUAAACCAAAAGCUCAAUGUUAGAAUCAUUUUGAUCUGGCAGUAGUAGUGAUUCUCCCCAUGUUUCAGAUACAAUAAUGUUUGGCAUUAUAUUGCCAGAACUUCCCUCAUUAUUCUCAGUGUUUUUAUCAUCACAUUGUUCCUGACUUUGAAGGUCGGGAAUGGUAGGAUGAGAGGAAUGAGGUAUAGUAGUAAAAAAUACUUUUGGUAAAGAGUUAGGAGAUAUAUCCCAAAAAGUUUAUUCCAUUACCUCAUACUCCCCCUGAAGAGAAUUUUUGUGAAAGUAGGAUUUAUUUUCAAAACACGAGAUAUCCAUACUCGCAUAAAUUUUCCUUGUUUGGGGAUUAUAGCACUCAUAUCCCUUUUAUUGGAGGCAUGCCCUUGGAUCAAGUUUGGACUGAGUGUUAUUAGGUAUACGAACAAAGACAGUACAACAAAAAACUUUAGAGGUAAAUCUUAAUACAUUCUAGAUAGGGGAAAGCAUUUUUUAAAACAUUCUAGAGGUAUAUUAUAUUUUAAAACACAUGUAGGCAUCUUAUUAAUUAAAUAAGUUGCUAUUAAAAUAACUUCUCCCCAAAGAUAUUUUGGAACAUUCAUCGAAAGCAUUAUAACACUUGUUACUUCAAAUAAAUGUUUAUUUUUUCUUUUAGCAAUCCUAUUUUGCUGAGGAGUAUCUACACAAGUGGACUGGUGAUAAAUACCUUUUUCUUUCAAUUUUUUUUUCAAAAUACCUUUAUAGUACUCGGUUCCAUUAUCAUUGUGAAGAACUCUAAUUUUCUUUUGAAAUUGAGUUUCAACUAUUGUGUAAAAGUCUUUAAAAAAAUUUCCAACUUCAGAUUUUUUACUCAUUAAGUAAACCCAAUAUAGACGGGUGUGAUCAUUUAUGAAUGUGACAAAUCAUUUUUUCUUUGAAAUAGUAGUAACUCUUGAAGGUCCCCAAACAUCACUACAUAUUAAAUAAAAUGGUUUUGAAGGAAUAUAAGGUUUUGGCAGAUAAGUAGUACAAUGAAUCUUUGACAUACAACAACUUUCACAGUAAAAUGAUGAAAAAUCCAAACCCUUAAAUAAAGUAGGAAACAAAUGUUUAAGAUAUGGAAAGCUAGAAUGUCCUAAUCUUAAAUGCCAAAGCAUUAUUUGUUCAUAAAUAGAGUUAGAACUAACACUACUAAGGCCCUGAGCCUUUUUAUUCCUAGAGAAAUCAUCAUCAAAGUAGUAAAGGCCACCAAUCAAUUUAGCACUGCCAAUCUUCUUCCCCGAGGUUUGGUUCUAAAAUUCAAAGUAAGAAUCACAAAAAAUCACUCGGCAAUUAGAAUCUUUAGUUAUUUUACUCACGGUUAAAAGAUUACAAGCUAACUUGGGAACAUGAAGAAUAGAAUUAAGGUUUAAUUUUUUGGAUAAUUUAAUCAAACAUUUCCCUACUAUUGGUGAGAAAGUACUAUCUGCAAUUCUUAUUUUGUCAAGACCAUAACAUGGUGAGUAGGUGCAAAACAAAUUUGAAAGGUUGGUCAUAUGAUCAAAAGCUCUUGAAUUUAUGAUCUAAUGAGCAUAAUUUGAACAUAAAGAAAGAGCAUUGGGUGUGCUAUCUGUUUAUGCAAGAAAAACAGUAGGAAUACUACUUGGUGAGUAAUUGGGUUUUAUCAACUGCAGACGGUAAUCCAUCUGCUCCUUGGCGAAAGGGCCUGUCUCGGCUUCAUUUGCAGUACAAAUCAACCAGGUAUUUUUAUCACCAGGCUUGCUGCUCUUUCAAUUUACUGGUUUUUCAUGGAUUUUCCAGCAUGUUUCUCAGGUAUGACAUUGUUUGUUGCAAUAGUCACACUAUACCCGUAGCUUCUCUACAGUUUUAUGUUGAAAUCUGGCUAUUUUGUUAAAAACAACCAAUGCACUAAAAAGGGCAGAACUUUCAGUAGGCCCGUCAGUUGUCUUCUUUCGUAGCAUUAUAUGUAUACGGCUUUCUUCUCUUCGAACCUCAAUAAACACCUCGCCAAUUGGAGCAACUGGCUUUCUGCCAAUGAUCUGCCCCCGAACCUCAUCAAACUCAACGUUGACUCCUACAAGAAACUUGUAAAUACGAGAAGCCUCAACAAUAUUGUUGUAAUAUUUGGCAUCUUCUGUGGAUUUCAUUUCAUAAUCAUUGAACAGAUCUAAAUCUUGCUGAAUGGAUUGAAACUACCUUAAACAAUUAUCACCAUUAAGGUAAAUAAUGGUAAUUUGAAUUAGAUGAGUAUCAGUAUUGGGAGUUUGGGUUUGUGUUAGAGAGUUGGUUGAAGCAGAUAUAAUCAGUUGAUUAUGAUGGCUCUAAUACCAUGAAAACUUUUUUGUAUUUCUCUAUAUUGUAAAAUGUUACACAGAUUCCUCUUAUAGAGGAGAAUACAUAAAAUUAGGAAACUGAAAGAAAAAUUAGCUAUCUAACUGUACUAAUUAUUUCCUAAUUUACACCAUUGACUUAUUCUUAUUUACAGCUAACAAUCCUCUCUAAUUGCAAAUAUUUCUUCCAUUUUCUACAGAGAUAUAUGCCAGACCUUACAAGAAAUCGCAUGUAUCUAUGGAUGAUUGAUCAAUUGGGCUGUAGCAUUAAGGUAGAAUAUGGUCAAAUACAGGUUAUAGAUAAGGGUAUGAAGGGAAUUAGAAGGAAUGGUUUGUGUGUUUUGGUUGGGUUAUUACCUCAGCUAGGGAUAAAUGCUAGUGUAAGUAGUGACAAAACCAAACUUUGGCAUAAUAAGAUAGAAUAUAUAAGUGAAAAAGGUUUGAAAGAACUAAGAAAGCAAGAGUUAUUUGGUCAUAAUCAAAUUUCCUCACUAGAGACAGAAGUUCAGGACAGGAAGACAUGAAACAAAGAGACAUUGGAUUAUGUUCAUUCAGGUUCCAUCUCAUGGUAGAGCUAGGUACUUUAUUACCUUAAUGGAUGACUUCUCAAGGAAUCUUUGGGUUUAUGUGUUGAAACAUAAAAGUGAAGCCCUAAAGAAAUUCAAGGAAUGGACAGCCCUAAUGAAGAACCAAAUUGGAAGAAAAGUGAAGAGAUAAAGAACAGACAAUGGCCUGGAGUACUGCAACAGCGAGUUUGAUGAGUUUUGUAAAAAGCAUGGCGUUAUAAGGCAUAAGACAGUAAGGCAUACACCACAACAAAAUGGCCUUGUUGAAAGAAUGAACAGAACCUUAAUUGAGAAGGUCAGAUAAUAUUAUUUCUCUAACCAUUUUUGGGCUGAAGCAAUCUCUAUUGCUGCAUACCUUAUCAAUAAAAAUCCCUCAUCAACUUUGGACUUUAAAACUCCACAAGAAGUCUCGUCUAGCAAACCACUUGAUCUAAGUAACCUAAGAAUCUUUUGUUGCCCAGCUUAUGCACAUAUAAGUUUGGGAAAGCUAAAACCAAGGGUUGUUAAAGGUUAUUUUAUAGGAUAUUCUGAAUGAAUUAAAGGAUAUAAGAUUUAAAGUAUUGAUGGGAAGCCCAUUAGAACCUUUAUCAGUAUAGAUGUUGUGUUUAAUGAGGAGGCAUUGAUACAAACAAAAGUUGAAACAUAGAUCUUUACUAAUUUUAAAGGAGAUUCACAUCUGAUGGUGGAGUCAGAUGUGCACAAACAUUCAGAAUUAGAAGGGUAUCAUCUUGUAAGAAAUAGAGAAAGAAGAGUUGCUGCAAGGCCUAAAAGAUAUGGUAUUGUUGUUUUAAUUUCAUAUGCAUGUAUGGUUAUUGAUUAUGUAAGUGGUUGAGAACUUAUCAGCUACAAAAAGGCCAUGAGUAGUAGGGAGAAGUCAAAAUGGCUUGUAGCAAUGAAAGAAAAAUUGCCUUUUUCUAGAAAAAUAAUACGUAGAUCCUAGUUGACAAGCCUUUAAACAAGAAAUUGGCUAGCUAUAAAUGGGAUUUCAAGCUCAGAAAGUGAUCAUGGGCAACCUAGAUAUAAGGCUAGACUUGUAGCAAAAAGGUUUACACAAAGGGGAGGAAGCAUUUUCACCAAUAGUUAAACAUAGCUCUAUAAGGGUUUUGUUGGCUAUCACUGCAUUCUUAUAUCUAGAAUUAGAUCAAAUGGAUGUCAAAAUAGCCUUUUUGCAUCGUAACUUAGAUGAAGAAAUUCUAAUGGACUAACCAGAAGGAUUCAUUAAAGAAGGAACUAAAGAUAUGGUUUGCUUAUUACAUGGCUCGAAGCAAUCCCUAAGACUAUAGUAUUUAAGGUUCAAUGAAUUUAUGAUCACUCAUGGAUACUUCAGAAGUCAAUAUGACAGUUAUGUGUAUUGUAAACUCUGCCUUUUAAAGAUACUAUCUAUCUUCUUUUAUAUGUUGAUGACAUACUUAUUGCAUAUAAACAAAGAGAAUAAAUAUAGAGGCUUAAAGAUGAACUAAGUUCUGAGUUUAAUAUAAAGAUCUUAGGCCCUACAACAACGAUUUUAGGAAUGCAGAUCAUAAGAGAAUGAGGUGAAAAAACUUUGUUCCUUUUUCACAAGCUAAUUAUGUCAGAAAGGUGCUUAACAUAUUUGGUAUGCUUAGUUCUAAACUUGUUACUAUACCUUGUUGCACAUUUGAAACUGUCUAAACAACAAGAACCAACUGAAGGAGCAAAUGUUGAACACAUGAUGAAAAUACCUUAUUCUAGUGUAAUGGGGAGCAUCGUGUAUGAUAUGGUUGUUUUAGACCCGAUGUUUGCAUAUGGAAUAGGAGUUUUCAGCAGGUUUAUAAGAAAUCCAGGGAAAGAACAUUGAGAUGCUAUUAAGUGGAUACUUAGAUACCUUAAUGGUACAACAAAUAAUGGUAUUUUAUUUGGAGGAAUUAAUAAUACACAAGUAAAAUCUUAGGCUAUGUGGACUCAGAUUUUGCUGGCAAUUUGGACAAAAGAAGGUCAGUUACUGGAUUUGUCUUCACAUUGUAUGGAGGUGCAAUGAGUUGGAAAGAAUCAUUGUAAUUAGUUGUUGCUUUAUCUAGAACUGAAGUUGAAUAUGUUGCACUCAUAGAGGCUACAAAGGAAACAAAAUGGCUCAUAGGCUUGGCAUCAGAAUUAGGAUUGAGGCGAGAGUCGAUUUCCAUUAGUUGUGAUAGUUCUAAUGCAAUACAAUUGAGCAAAAACCCAAAAGAACAUGAAAGAACAAAGCAUAUUGAUGUUAGGCUACAUUUUAUCAUAGAAGAAAUUGGUUCUGGUGUGGUGAAUAUUAUCAAAAUCCCCUUAGUAAUCAAUCCUACUGAUAUUCUAACAAAACCUUUGCCUAUAGUCAAGUUCAUGGGCUCUUUGAACUUGAUUAGGGUUGUUAGCUUGUAAAUCAAGCUAUGUGUUGCUGCUACAGAGUUCGGGUGAAGCUUGAAAAUAAUAUAAAUGAAGAGGAGAUUUGUGAAUUCGGUUAGUUAUAUUCUAUUAAGUUAGUUGCUGAGGUGGCUUGAUGAGCUGCUGUGUGGGACCCUUGUAGUUAAGUUGUUACACGGUCCAACAAGCUUCUGGAAUUAAAUACAGAAGAAAGCAACGCUGGCUGGUGCAACACCCGGAGAAAAGAUCUUGACUAGCUUUGAGAUAGAUUUUGUUAAUUCUUCAUUGAAGGGAUUUGUUCUCUGUGAUCUCAAGAAUUGUUCUAAUCAAUAUCUUAAUAAAAACUUCAAGUCCAAAGGGGUAUUAUCAGCCGUGGAUGUAAAUACUUUUGUAGCAAACCACGUAAUAUUGCAGUGUUCUUUUUCUCUGCUUUCUUAGUUUCAUUGCCGUCUUUAUUCUUUGUUCUUUGAUCUAGUGUCAUUAAUUCUUUGUGCCAUUAAUUAGAUUGGCUAAUUGGCUAGUCUGAUAAAGAAUCGAAAGAGAAGAAAAGGCCUUGAUUUCAUAACAAGUAUUCUGUCCAUUAAGGCUUCAAGUCAAUUAUUUUCUUAAACAAUUUAAGAGAAACUUUAAUUGCUUCAGUCUUCACUCUUCAACGUGUAUGAGUCUCUAUGAUAAGAGUUUUCUCCAAAUUCAAAUCCAACUUUAGCACCCAAAUUUUUGGCCUAAAUGGAAAAAAAAAAAAUUAAAGGCUUUACGUACUGGAUACUGAGGUACACACUUCACAUAUUAAUGUAAAAACUAAAAAGUUAACAUAUAUAUCGAAGGCUUUAUGAACUGGAUAAGAGUCUUGACAUUUUUAUGUAAAAAUUAACAUAUCAAAGGCCUUAUGAACUGGAUGAGAGUCGAUCAUUUACCCCCAUUGGGGACUGAUACAAAGUUAUUCCAGUUGGCGCACAAUGUCUUGCAAAGCAAGCAAACGUUCCCCUCACUAGAUGUAAUUGAACAAACAAUAAUCACAAUAUUUUUUUUUUUGGAAAAGUAAUUAAUUCAUUGAUUAGUACCAAAAAAAUCAUUGAAAUUUAAUCAAAUUAUACGGAGUUGCAUACCAUUUUUGCUCUUUGUUAAGAAUUGAUGGUUUCUUAAUAAGAUUAUAAUUGAAAGAAUUAGAAAUGGAAUGAGGAAGAUCUUUUGGGGGUAAAUUGAUUGAAGAAUGAAUGGAGAAUUUGUUUCAGCCGGAAAGAAAUCAGAAAGUAUUUGAGAUGGAAUUAAGAAGAUUUUUGUGGGUAAAUUGAUUAGAGAAUGAAUGAAGAGUAAAAACGCAAAAUUUGGAAACUCGGAUACUUGGAAAUCAAGUAAGGUCUGUGAAGUCGGAUAUUAGGAGAAUUAUACAGGCCGUUUGAUAUCUAAUUUGAACGGUUUAGGAAAUUGGGUGGAUAUUCUCUUGUGUGCAUAUUAAUUUUAUUAAUGAAGAGUGAUUCGUUCAAUUGACGAGUAGAAUUUUAAGCACUGUUAUAUGAUGGUGUUACGCAUUGUUUAGUACAAGUUUAACUAAUUGCAACUUAAAAAUUAUAGCACUAAAUUAUUUGUUAAACACUAGCCGCGCUGCUGUCACUUAAAAUUGAAAUUGAAUUGAUUCAACACUUUUAUGAAAAAAAAAAUUGAAUUUUUUUUUUAAUUUUUAUCAUAUUAUUAUUAAAAACAAUCAUGUUCGUCAUAUACUAUUAACUUUUAUUUUUAAUAAUAGCUUCUUUUACCACAAUAUGAGACUUAAAUAUUAUAGCACCUCAAUACUAAUCAAAUGCUUAGCGUAAAAUUUUUAAUAAAUAAAAAUAUAAUUUAAAUAGUUUAAUUUUUCUAAUAGACUAAUAAUAUUAGAAUAUUUUUAAUAUAAAAAUAAUUUUAAAACUAUAAAUGAUUAUAUUUAUUUUAAUAAUGUAUUUAUAUUUAUUCUAGAAUUUUUUAAUAAAUAUCUAGGUUAAAUAAAUUUUUCUAACAGACUAAUAACACAAUGCUCGCAAAAUGGUAAGCUUACCGAUUUGAGCCCUGGAGGCAAUUUUCGCUCAGAGAGAAUUUUCAAAUCUUGUUUUGACAAAUGACCGAGUUCGAGAUGCCACAUCAUCGUUGAUUCUUCUCCAUUUGACGUGACACACGCAUCAGCUUCUUGUGGUGUUUCCCCUUCAAGUACGAACAAAUUAGGACUGAUCUUUUCUGCCUUCAUCAAUACAAGCGCACCUUUAACAAUCUUCAUAAUCCCAUUUUCAACAUGGGUUUUACACCCAUGACAAUCUAUUGUCCCAAAGAUAAUAGAUUUUUCUUCAAGCCUUUGACAUGUUGUACCUCCUCAAUUGUACGAACCGUACCAUCAAACAUUUUUAUUUUGAUAGUACCAGUACCAACGAUUUCCAAGGCAUGAUCAUCUCCCAUGUAUAUAAAUCCUCCUGAGAUAGGUUCAUAUGUGUGGAACCAUUCUCUUUGAGAGGUCAUAUGCCAGGUAGCUCCUGAGUCUAUGAGCCACACAUCAGAUAACCAUUUUCUGCCUUCUGAAACAGUUGUUGUCUCCACUCUGCUUGUUUUUCCAACACUCUUUCUUGAAAUGCCCUUUCUUGCCACAAUUGUAGCAUUUGACAUUUUUCUUACUUUUUAAUUUUGAUCUACCAUGAUUGUGACUCCUAUUGGGGCCACGAUCUGUUGAUCUUCCUCUCGUCAUCGAUAGUGCUUUUACUUGCUGCGAACUUACUUGUUUGUCUUCCUUAUUUUUCCACCUAUUCUCCUCAUUUAAUACAGAGGCUGCAACAUCAUCGAAGACUAGACUGUCCGCUGGGUUGUUGUUUGUCAGGUUGAUGAUGACUUAGUCGUAUGAAUCUGGUAGACUUUGAAGUAGAAGCUCUACACGUUCAUUUUCCUCUAUUUUAUGACCCAACGUUGAAAGUUGUGAAAAUAGAGUCUUUAAGGUGUUGAUGUGGUCGGUCACAUAUUUUAAGAAGAUCUUGUUGUGCAGUGAUUUGGCCUUGUACAAUUUUGUGAGAGUAUCACAUAUUUCCUUUGCUGUCUUUUUCUUUGCCACAUUGGAUAAUACUCCAUCCACAAGCACCAAGUAUAGAUUAGAAAUGGUGUUGCCGUCUAUCUCGUUCCACUUGUCAUCAAUUAACUCCAUGGGCUUUUCUCCAAUUGCUAUCAAGCAUACAACUUUUAUCUUCAUUUUCCACAACGAAAAAUUAUUUCCGUUGAAUUUCUCAAUUUCGUAUUUUACCGCCAUCGCUUUUCACCAAAAACUAACUUUGCUAGGAUCGACUCUCAUCAUUUUCAAGUGAACAAUAAUUGUAUACGUGAACAAUAAUCAUAUACGUAAAUAGUGCCGUAUACGUUAACAGUACCCCGACUCCAAAAGAAAUACAACAAGUAGCUCUGAUACCAUUGUUAGGAAAUUGAUGGGUGAAACACGGCCACAGCUAAAAUGAAAUUGAAAGAAAAUUUACAAGUAUUGUAAUAUUUUGUCUCACUACCCAAAACCCUCUCACUCAAUAGACUCACAAGAGCUUUGUAAUUUUAAGCUCUUAAAAUCACUCAAAAUCUUUGUUUUUUCUCUCACCAAAAUUAGAUGCCUAAAAUCAAAUAAAGAGCUCCCUUUAUAUAGCCAAAAUUGGCUAUUAAAAUAUUAUUAUUAUUCUGUAACCGCCUUUAAUUUCUUCUUCUUCUAUUUUCUUCUUUCUUCUUUCUACUUCGGCGGUGCCAAACCCUUCAACAUUUGCUACUUCCAAAUUCUAUUUUUCUUUCCUUGGGUGGCACCUCCUUGGACUUCAAUUUGGGCAGCUUAUACAGCUUCUAGAUCUUCAAAAUAGGCUACUUCUGGAAGCCUUUUCGUGACACAUUACCUAGUAGAUUUACUCAAUCACAAAUUGGGUGGUUACAAACUAUGUUUGAAAACCUUUAAUUAAUAAAAUUCUUAUUUAUUUUCUUUCGUAAUACGAUUUACCUAUUAUGAAAUCAUUUGCAUUAGAUCGUGAAUAAUCUCAUUACUUUGGGGUAUUAUUUGCCUUGGACUUCUUUUUUUGGUCUAUCACUAUAUUACUUACCUUGGGCUGUCUCACUAUUCUCGUGUAAUAUUAUCUGCCUUGAGUCAUUCAUUUUUGUAUUGAGUGGUGAUAUUAUCUCAUCAGUUUUUAUAUUAAUUUCUAUUUUGCCGUUGUAUGAAAUUACUUAUUUUGGUGAAUUACUAUAUUAUUUCCCUUGGGCCGCCUCACCAUUUUGUUGCAUAAUCUGCCUUGGGUCAUUCAUUUUUGUAUAGAGUGGAGAUACGAUCUCAUCAGCUUUUAUAUUAAUUUCUGUUUUGCCAUUGUAUGAAAUUAUGAAAAAUGGAUAUUGAAGAGUUUCUUGCCACAAAUUGAACCUGCAUCUCUGGUAAGCAUUACUCUUUCAUUUUCGCGGAAAAGGCAGUAAGUGAAUGGCCUAAAUUCAUGGUUCAUUUCAUAUUAUGGAGUUUCUUUCUUCAGGAUGAUUUCGGCUGGAAUUCUCAUAAUUUGCUUCCAAAAAUCCACUACUGAUAGGCUUGGUGCUUGCCAUUUUUGCCUUUGCAGCUGGUAGUGGCUUGUAUGCUUGUUGGAUUAGUCAGAAAAAUCAAUUGGCAUUGGUCACAAAUUUUUUAUUCGAGCUGAGGGAUACAUACAGUAGUAGACGUCGUGUACUAUGUUCUCUUUCUCAUAUGUAUAAAUAUAGUAAGAGAUAUAUAUGGCUUUUAUAUAAUUCUCAAUAUCAUAAGCAGUAAACAUGGACUCUUGGCUUAAAGACAAUAUGAACAUGAAACCAUUUCACGUGGGUGAUCAAAUAAUAACUUUCAUUUGUUUAACUUCUUAUAGAAGUCAGAAGAGAGUGUACCUGCAACCAGUGGCGGUGCCAGAAAUUAUUUUUAGCGGGGCUAAGUUCACAUAAUAGUUUAAUUCAAGAAAGUAAUCAACAAAUAACAUAUAUCAAAAUAAAAAUUCAUUAAAGUAUUUAAUGCAACACACUUAUAAUUGUUCUCGACAAGGUUUCAUAUAUUGAAAACGUUGAAGAAUAACCUCAUUGUCAAGACUACAAAAUACAUCAUUUUUUUUAUGAAUACAACAAGGCUAUCAUUCAACCAUUGAUCUCCCAUCCGAUUUCGCAGAUGGUUUUUCACAAAAUUCAUAGCUGAAAAUGCCCUUUCUACUGUAACUGCGGCAACCGGUAAAAUCAAUGCCAAUGUCACCAAUAAAUAGACCAAUGAAUAUAAUUGAUCCUUUUUAGUCUCAACCAAUUUUCUUACUAGCUCACCAAUCCCUUUCAAUCCUGAAAAUUUGUUGUCAGAACCCACAUCCAUAAUAUAAACAUCAAAUUGAGUUUCAAGUGCCACAAGAUUCAUUAGAGAAAAAUCAUUCGGAUAAAACUCAGCAAGGUGAAGUAGUUUCUGUUUAUCAAAAGCUGCAAAUGAGUCAUUGGGGCAUAGACAUGCCACACAAAGAAGCAACUCAGUAUUCAUCUCAUUGAAACGAUUGCUUAAUUCUUUAAGUUGCAUGUCCAAAAUUGCAUAAAAUAAUUCAACUCGAAAAUAAUGCAAAUUCGUGAUCUUUUGAGCCUUGCGUUGUGAUCUUGCUUGUGAUAACUCAUAUGCAAAUCCAAGAAUAUUUUUCAUUAACAGCAGGCUAAACACAAAAGCAAAUGAUUGCAUUGACUUCGAUAACAUUGUAGCUUGAAAUCUUUGUUCAGAAUUUCCCUCAUUUGAAAUUAUCUCAAGCAUGUCAAUAAUAGAUGGAAACAUGGUGAUUAUACUCAAUAACGUACCAUAAUGUGGGCCCCAACGUGUAUCAGCAUAUCGCUUUAAAGUAACCUCUUGAUUUAAACCUCGUCCACUUGAAAGUUCACCAUCAUUGAGUGCUUUAAUAACUGCUUGAGCAUGUUUCUCUUGAAGAAUAUCACGACGUUUUGCUGAAGCACCAACAACAUUGAUAUCACGACGUUUGCCCGCGGGGAGUCGUGAUAUCAAUGAUUGCAUUCACCGUCCACAAGUUUAUCUUAUACACUUCAAUUAAUUUCAUAGCAUUCACAAUGUCUUGAUCCUUUUUUUUGUAAUGCUUGUGAUAACUCAUGUGCAAAUCCAAGAAUAAUAUUUUUCAUUAACAGCAGGCUAAACACAAAAUCAAAUGAUUGCAUUGACUUCGAUAACAUUGUAGCUUGAAAUCUUUGUUCAGAAUUUCCCUCAUUUGAAAUUGUCUCAAGCAUGUCAAUAAUAGAUGGAAACAUGGUGAUUAUACUCAAUAACGUACCAUAAUGUGAGCCCCAACGUGUAUCAGUAGAUCGCUUUAAAGUAACCUCUUGAUUUAAACCUUGUCCACUUGAAAGUUCACCAUCAUUGAGUGCUUUAAUAACUGCUUGAGCAUGUUUCUCUUGAAGAAUAUCACGAUGUUUUGCUGAAGCACCAACAACAUUGAUAUCACGACGUUUUGCUGACGCACCAACAACAUUGACUAACAUUGUGACUAAAUUGAAAAGAGAAGUAAUUAUAAGAAUUUAAAGAGAAACUGAAAACAAUUUCCAUGUCAAAAUGUAAAAAAAUACAAAAAUACAAAAUAUUAAUUUAAUAAACUAACUACCCAAUUAAAUCCCCAACCACUAAAUUACUAAUCCAUCAUAGCAUCACGCCAUGACCAAUGGCAUUGUUAUUCUAUUGUUUAUAAUAAGUAAAGUUAAAAGCAUUGCCACUUUGUCAAGAAGCAUCGCCACUUUAUCAAGAAACAUGCCACAAUCAUUCUAUUCAAAAAGCAUAAAAAAAUUCAAGAAUUAUAAUAUUAAAUUAUAAAGUGACAAAGAUGUUUAAUUAUCAAAAUAAUUUAAUCAAUUCUUAAUAAUUAAUCUAAAAGCUGCAAAGGUAUGACGGUAGUACCUGAAAAAAUGCAAAAAUGCAGACCAUGCGGUGGUGCAGGGCUCCAAGUGCGAGCUGCAAGUUGUAGCAUUUAUGGCAUGAAAACAAAGAGCUAUGAUGGCAUGAGAGUUUGAUAGAGAUAGAUGACAGGCUGAUCACUGAUGGUAGCCGAUGGAGUUUUUCUUUGGCAAAGGAUCGAUGGUGGUGGUUAGGGAUUUGAUUUUGAGUUUUUUUUUUUAAUUUCUAAUCGUUGUUUUAAAUUUUGGUCUUUUAGUUAUUUCAAAAAUAUUUCAGGGAUUUUAUUGUAAAUUCAAUAAAAAAAGAUAAAUUUAAUUUUUUUUUAAAUUCUAGGGGGCAUCAGCCCUAGCUCUCAAGUGGCGCCGCCUCUGCCUGCGACAUCAACCGUAUCAAGCGAAGAUAUUGGACAUUUAAUAAUGAAAAAAUUAGGAAUUUUCAUGGACACAUCAGUAGGUUUCGUAAAUAUGUAGAAUCAACUGAUUCUAGGUACCUUACAAUGUGACUUUUUUUUUUUCCCCUGAAGAUAAGGACUAUUUUUUAGGAUACUGGCCGUUGAGGCUUUGUUUGUAUUUUUGCAAGAAAAUGGAAAAGGGUGGGCUAAAGCGCAAAAAAUAAAGCUAACAACUGCUAAAUUUAAUUUUUUUAAGAGUGUUUUAAUGUGGCAUUUGAUUUGGGAACUUUUUUGUAGUUAUUGAAAUAGCCACACAGGGUAACAAUUGGGGCAUUCUUUCAUAAAUUGGACAUUAAUAGUACCGAGUACGAAUGAGGAUGGUUAAAUGCCUAAUCACCCUAUUAAUCUUGCAGUCCAAAAAAGCAAAAGCAAUAGCAUUACAAAUAGUAUAACUAUCAAAUUGAUUCACUCUGUCUAAACGACAAGUCAUCUGAUUACUAAAUUAUUUGACGCAACGACUGAUUUAGAAUUUUAAUGUAGAGGGAGCUUGGUACAAAUACUAUGAUUCACAGUAGCGUGUUCGAUGGUGCGAGUGAUCAACAACAGCAACAGACAAGUGAGGCAAUGAUGAUGUAUAUGUUGGAAAUAUAAAUUCAUAUUGUUUUUUGAAAGUACACAAUAUGAAUAGUAGCUGUUGGUACUGUUCACUUCACUAUUUACUAAUACUAUUGAUCUUACUGUUCACUCAACAACAAUUGUAAAUUCGUCAAGGCGUGUUCGAACUGUCCUUAAGACCAAUUUCUGCUUCUCCAGAAAGAUUUCCCGACACAAAAAAAAGAUAUAAAUAAAAUGGAUUGAUCCCUAGGAUAUAAUGACGUUAUUGUGAGCUUGUACUCCAAACACAACAGUUUAGAAUAACAAAAGAAAAAUUAAUGAAAAGAUAGAAGGAUAGGUUAUAAUGGCUGUGCCUUGAAGAUUUUGUAUUUUGAAAUAUCAAUAAAACUACAAGAAUAAGCUUAAAUAAUUUUAUCAAGAUUGCACUUUAAGAUGAAACACUAAUUAAUGGCCUUUCAAGACUUGAAUUGGGUUAAAUAGUUUAUGUACGAAAAUUGAAUUAUUGACAUCCAAAUGCACUUAAAUAAAUAUUUUCCCUAUCUCCUUUUAUAUAUUGUUGGUAAUAAAUCUAAUAACUUUAUGUUGUUGUGAUUCUUAAUGUAGUUUUUUUUUAAUCGGUAGCUGUGUACGUGUCAUUAUUAGCAAUGUGUCAUUUUCAUUACUGUGUUAUUGUUUGCAAUGUGUCAUUUUCAUUACUGUGUCAUUGGCCAAUAAUUUUGUAACAAAACCAACAUAUAGCGGUAAAUGAAAAAUUCACAAGUGGGGGACAUACACCCGUUUAAAAUAUUGUAAAUACAUUUUCUUCAUUCUAAGUGUGGACAUGCCAAUUUUGCAUAAUAGUCAUAUCCCAGAACAAAAGUCGCAUUAAAAUUUUAUUCAUUUAUUCAGGUUUUUUCCUGCAUUAACGAAUUCAUUGUGUAGGAUUUCAUUUUUAUGUAAACGAAUUUAGUUACGAUAAUCAACUACUAAUUUUUUUCCGUUAAUUGGCUACGUUUACGUUAAUUAACUGAUAAAUAACAUUGCAUUAGCGAAGCCAAGAGAUUCAUUUAAACCCCUAAGAUUCAAAUAUUCUUUCACUAGUACUACUGGAGAAAUUUGGCAAUCGAUAUUUCGGAAGACAUCAUUACAGAUGUCAAACAAAAGGUAAAAAUAAAAUAAAAAAUAGCUAGUCCCCCACUUGUAGGUAGGGCAUGCGUCUCAUGCGCUUUAAAUUUCCAAAAUUUAUAUCUUUUUGACAUGGAAACUACUCAGCAAGGCAAUGGUGACUCAACAACAUUAUAUAUAUGGAACUCUUUAGGUGAAUUGAAGAUGAGAACGAGGGAUUGCAUAAGCUACAAGAAUGAACGGUCAUUUGUAAAGUACAGCGAAUAGGGUCCAAUAGAUCAAAUCAAGUAGAGUAGAAGAAAAUGAAUUACACUUAUGGUACAAUCAGUUUCAAUUUCUUUCAUCUGUUAACCGUCUAUAAACAAGAUACAAGCUCGAAGCCACCAAUGGGCUAUAAACAGAGCUUCAUUCAAGAGAGUUAAAGGUAUCCCAAGUUCUGAAAAUUGAGAGCACGUACAAGUGAGCUUUUACAGAGAUUUUUCAGAGAAUGUUUUCUUAACUAUUCUAGAGGGAUUUAUAUCGGAUUUUGAGAAUUGUUCCCAUUCAAAGUCCAACCCCAAUUCAUGAGCCUAAAUAAUAAACCAAACAAAAGAGAAUAUUCUCUCCAUUUAUCUAGAAUUAUCUUUGCUAAAAAUAUCAUGAAUAAUUGGCGCUGUGGCAGUUUUAAAAUUUGGUGAUUGCUAAGAAAUUAAUGGUAAUAAGUUUAGAAUGUCGUUAUUUGUUAGGACCUGCAUUUAAAAUCUUAAAUAUUCGUAAUUAAUUAUAAAGAUCUCGGUUCACCUGCAAGCUACAACAAUUAGCUAACUGAUAUAUGGUAUUUUUUACAAAACUAUUCAAAAAGAAGGAGUAUAAUUAAUCAAACUGAUUUGGAUAGUACCACACGAUUUUUUUUUUAUUUUUAUUGACAAACCAACAUAAACAACAUAUUAACGUAACUAACGCAUUCACAUAUAAUUAUUUUAUUUAAUUAUUAAGAAAGACGAAGUACAUGGACGGUGGACACUAAGAAAUAUAAUCUCUUGUAGAUCAAGAAAUUUUAGAGGUUGAACUGAACUAAACUGACCCUCACACAAUUAAUUGACAGGUAAUAACAAUACCCAUCCUUUUAUUAACCAUAAUAGAAAAGAGUAAUAUUGCGUGCGUGCGCUGCGCUUAUUAACCAGUGUGGUCGGGAUUUCUUCCAUAUUGAGGGACAGCAAUCAGAUCAAGAUUAUCAAUUGUCUCGUCCUUAUCAUCAGCAAUACCAUAUACAGGUACUGGAGUACCCUCCAACCAUUCAUUCUUACCUGAAAGUUUAACAUUAGAAAAUGGAUUCAUAAAUGCUUAUAUUAAUAUAUGAAUUGUAAAUGAUAUCUAUUCAGCUGAAAUUGGCUAAAAAACCUGCGCAAGGAAAAGGAGUUUCCAUAUUCUUCAAAUCAGAAAAGAUCUCCAGGUGAAGCGUAAUCAAAACUAAAAAAUAAGUAGAGCUUGAGCGUGUUCUUAUUUCUGGUUUGAUCUGAUAUAUAUAGAUUCAAGAAGUCGACGUUGCCGAGGUGUGGGUGAUUGUGACGUAGCAAAACAUGUAAUAAUUAUUUAAGAUUAACGGCCAUGGCUAAACUGCACGUCGAAACGUGUUAGCAUGGUUCCAUAAAAUAAUAGUUAUUUAAGAUUAACGGCCAUGGCUAAACUGCACGUCGAAAUGUGUUAGCAUGGUUCCAUAAAAUAAUAGUUAUUUAAGAUUAACGGCCAUGGCUAAACUGCACGUCAAAACGUGUUAGCAUGGGUCCAUAAAAUAAAUAAUUUUAUCUAAUUAGGAGAGAAAUCGAUUCAGUAACAAGCUGCUGCUUGCACUUUCUAGAAAUUUUAAAUUUAUGAAUUGAAAUUACUCACGCCUUUUUAUGUGUGGUUAAGUAUGCAUACAGUUCAAGCUGAGGGAUACUGAUGUGAAGUGUAGGGACAUGGAUAUAUACUAUCGUUUACAUUAUUUUACAGCCUUGCUGUAUUAUUUUAUUUGGCAAUCAUAUAGUCAUUGUCUGCACUACACUUUGUCUUCACUACACUUGUCUCCACUUGAGUAUUCUUGAGUAGUAGCUGAGUCACAAGUCACCUUAUCAUGUCUGUUGAGCUUUCCUGUCGUGCUUGAUUUACUUUGUUCUAACCACCCCGCUCAAUCUCAGUUUUCUUAGCAUACUCUUAGGUCAUGUUUGGUUUGUAGAAAAGGGAGCAGAGGAAAAGAGUGGAAUGGAGAGGAAGAGAAAAGGAAGGAAUGGAGAAAAGUAGUGAAAUUAGAUUUUGUUGUUUGGUUUGAUAUAAAAUUUAAUAAGGAAUUAUAAUUUUUUUCAUUAAACUAAUUUACCAUUUACCUCAAAUAUUUAAUUAUUUAUAUUAGUAAUAUAUAUAUAAUGACGGUCCGUUGGCCGGUGGUGAAGGUCCGGCGACUUUUCGGCGAACGUCCAGCGACUUUCCGGCGGUGGUCCAUUUAUGAUAUUAAAUCAAUAAAAAAAAUUAUAAAUAAUAAUUAUUAAUGAUAUUAAACAAAUUAAAAAGUUGAAGGGUAAUUUUAGAAACUUUAGUUUCUAAAAUAAGAGGAAUUUAAAUUUUUCACUACUUGAUGUGGAAUUCAAAUUCUACAUUAUGAUGGAUAUUAAAUUUUAAUGGAAAUUAAAUUAUUAUAUAUUUUUUAUGGUUGUCGAAGCCAGCAAAAAUAAAUACCUACUCUAAAUAAAUUGUGUAUAGUGAUUGAGCAGGGUCGUGUCCACAGAGAUCGGUAAUUAUUUAAAUCAUUUUAAAUGUAAAAUGCAAAAUGGGGGGAUUGUUGACAAUAAUAAAAAUCAAAUUAAAAUAACAAGAAUGCAAAUUCAAAAUUGUAAUUCAAAUUGGGGAAAGCUCUGGUUGAAGGAAUUAAUUUAGCUUGAUUCGACUACUGAUCAUUGAUUCAAAUAUAAAUCAUUACUACUUAUGAAUAGACCGGUUAUAGCUACUGAGACACUCUAAUAGUCAAUCUCUCCUUAACUAGUCGAUAACCAAAGUACGACCAUUGGUUAUUUCCCUAAUCAAUAGAAAACCCUAGAUACGAUCAUAGGAUUUAAUCAAUUGACAACCUGAAAAACCAAAGAAACUCAAAUCCUAAUAAACAAACGCAUACGAUGGUUCAUUUAAAUUAGAUUGUUUAUUCUCAUAACACAACGCACUGCUAUGCUAUUUGUCACAAACAUUAAAAUCUUCAUACGAUGAAUCCUUUAAUUGACAAUAGAUUAAGUUGAUAAUUAAAUAGUGGCCAAUUAUCUAAUUAACAAACAUAAUCAUGACAAUAAUUUAGAGAAUAAACAAAUACCCAAAAAGCAAUAAAAUAAUUAAAGCAUAAGAAAUAUCUCACAGUAAUGAUGAAUCAAAACUUCAUUAACCUUCAACCAGAAUAAUAGGUUUAGUUCUUCAUAGAGAGAAGAGAAAAAUUUAGAUCUAGGGUUUCUUUUUUUCUUCCUUCUUCACCAGUAAUCCCGCGUCUUAUUCAUUUAUUACCCAAGUUUCAUGGUUUUGCAGGUGAAGAUCCUCAUAAACAUCUCAAGGAGUUUCAUGUUAUGUGUUCAAAUAUGAAGCCACAAGGCGUGACUGAAGAGCAGAUUAAGCUGCGUGCUUUUCCUUUCUCUUUAGAUGGACUAGCUAAAGACUAGUUGUACUACUUGCCUCCUGGAUCGAUUACCACGUGGAAUGGUUUGAAGAAGCAGUUCCUUGAGAAGUACUUUCCUACUUCAAGAGCUGCUAGAAAAUAUAUUUGUGGGAUUAGACAACUUCCUGGGGAGACUUUGUAUGAGUAUUGGGAGCGAUUCAAACAAUUGUAUGCCAGCUGUCCUCAGCAUCAGAUUUCUGAUCAACUUCUUAUUCAAUACUUUUAUGAAGGACUGUCAUUGAUGGAUAGGAGUACGAUAGAUGCUGCUAGUGGAGGUGUGUGUGUUGGUGAACAGGACCCCUACUCAAGCAAGGGAGUUGGUCUCAAAUAUGGCUGCCAAUGCACAACAAUUUGGCAGCAGGCAAGAUCCCACUUCAAGGAAGGUGAAUGAGGUAAAUAUUUCUUCCAUUGAACAACGUUUAGAUAAACUUACUUCUCUUGUGGAAACGUUUGUUGUAGGUAAUGUGCAACAGGUGAAGACUUGUGUCAUUUGUUCUAAUAUGGGUUAUUCAACUGAUAUGUGUCCUACACUUCAAGAAAAACCCAUUGAACAAGCCAAUGCAAUUGGAGGAUUUCCAGGCAUGCCUCAGAGGACGUAUGAUCUUUAUGCAUAAACAUACAAUCCGGGAUGGAAGGAUCAUCCCAACUUCAGCUAUGGAGUUAGGCCGUCAGGAAUCCCACAACAAUAUCCACCAAGACAACCAGCACCUCCACAGUCAAACUCCAAGUUAGGUAUAUCUCUUGAAGAAAUUGUUCAAUCACUUGCGACUAACACUCAACAAUUUCAGCACGCAACUACAACAAGCAUUCAAAAUUUGGAGAACCAAAUGAGUCAAUUGGCGACUACAGUGAGCUGUCUGGAGUCUCAAGUAUCAGGGAGAUUGCCUUCACAAUCUGAGGCGGAUCCAAAAUAAAACGCUAGUGUUGUCAUCCUUAGAAGUGGGAAGGAGUUGCAAGAGCCUAGUAAGAAAGCGACAAAGCAUGUAGAAGAUGAGCUUGAGAAGAAUGAAUUGAUGCCUAAAUCUCAAGAUGCGCAACCCACCAGAGCAAUACCUCUACCUGUGGUGAUACCUCCUCCUUUUCCAAGCCGGUUUGCAAAAUCCAAGAAAGAGGAACAAGAGAAAGACGUCCUUGAGACAUAACAAGAGAAAGACGUCCUUGAGACAUUUCGCAAGGUUGAGGUAAAUAUUCCUUUAUUAGAUGUUAUAAAACAAAUACCUCGAUAUGUUAAAUUCCUUAAGGAACUGUGCACCUCCAAGAGAAAAUUAAGAGGAGAUGAAAGAGUUCACAUGGGGGAGAAUGUUUCAGCAGCUCUCCAAAAGAAAUUACCUCCUAAGUGCAAGGAUCCAGGUAUGUUUACUAUCCCUUGCAAAAUUGGUAGUGUUAAAGUUGAGAAUGCUAUGUUAGAUCUAGGAGCUUCUAUUAAUGUCAUGCCUCGUUCCAUUUAUUCAUCUUUGAAUGUUGGUCCAUUAAAAGAAACUGGCGUGAUAAUUCAACUAGCUGAUAGGUCUAAUGCGUAUCCUGAUGGGGUAUUAGAAGAUGUCUUAGUACAAGUUAAUGAGUUGGUUUUUCCUGCUAAUUUUUAUGUACUUGAUAUGGAAGAGGAUAACUCCUCUAAUUCUGUCCCAAUUUUGCUAGGAAGACCUUUUCUUAAGACUGCUAGGACUAAAAUGGAUGUACAUAAAGGGACUCUCACUAUGGAGUUUGAUGGAGAGGUUAUAGAAUUCAAUAUGAAUGAUGCCAUGAAAUAUCCUAAUAAGGAACAUUCGGUAUUUUCUGUGGAUGUUAUUAACCCUAUAGUGCAGGAAGUUUUUUAUUUGGAUGUUGAAGAUUCAUUGGUAGCUGCUUUAAAUAACAGUUUGGGCCUCAAAGGAUUGUAAAAGGAUGAAAAUAAGUUUGUUUUAAAUUCUGUAUUGUAAGAGACAAUUUAUGAAUUAAAUUCUUUGAGAACUUUAACUCAUCAUAUGUCUUAUAUUGAAUUACCUUCAUCUCAUGCAAAACUUCUUCCAUCUAUUUUGCAGGCACCGAAAAUAGAGCUUAAACCAUUGCCGAGUCAUCUAAAGUACAUAUUUUUAGGAGAUGGUGAGACACUUCCGGUGAUCAUCUCUUCAAAACUUAGUACUUUAGAGGAAGAAAAACUUAUUAGAGUGCUGAAGGAUUACAAAAAGGCUAUUGGGUGGUCAAUUGCUAAUAUUAAAGGGAUAAGUCCGUCCACGUGCAUGCAUAGAAUAUUGCUAGAGGAAGAUGUCAAACCUUCGAUUCAAGCUCAACGCCAUUUGAAUCCACUCAUGAUGGAAGUAGUGAAGAAAAAAAUUCUGAAACUUCUUGAUGCAGGUAUAAUCUAUCUAAUUUCGGAUAGCAAAUGGGUAAGUCCAGUACAAGUGGUACCAAAGAAAACUGGUAUAACAAUUGUUGAGAAUUCUUAUGGUGAGUUAGUACCCACCCGAGUUCAGAAUGGGUGGAGGGUUUGUAUUGAUUUUAGAAAGCUUAAUUCACUCACUAAGAAGGAUCAUUUUCCUAUUCCUUUUAUUGAUCAGAUGCUUGAAAGGUUGGCAGGAAAAUCUCACUUUUGUUGUCUUGAUGGCUAUUCAGGUUUUCAUCAGAUACUAGUUGCACCUGAGGAUCAGGAGAAGACUACCUUCACAUGUCCUUUUGGAACCUUUGCGUACCGACGUAUGUCAUUUAGUUUUUGUAACGCUCCUGCUACCUUUCAAAGGUGCAUGGUCAGUAUUUUUUCAGACUAUGUAGAGAACAUUAUAGAGGUAUUUAUGGACGAUUUUACAGUCUAUGCUGAUUCUUUUGAUGAUCGUCUCUAUAAUCUAAAGAAAGUGCUUGAAAGAUGCAUUGAAACAAACAUUGUCUUGAAUUAUGAAAAAUGUCAUUUUAUGGUAGAUCAAAGCAUUAUUUUGGGUCAUGUAGUCUCUGCUAGAGGAAUUGAGGUAGAUAAAACUAAGAUAGAUGUUAUUAAAUAUUUACUUAUCCCACAUGUGUGCGGGAAGUUCAUUUUUUGCUUUUGAAAAAUUUUGUUCCUAUUUAUUGGGUACUAAAGUGAUUUUUUUUUCUGAUCAUGCAGCUCUCAGAUAUUUGCUCGCCAAGAAGGAAGCGAAACCAAGACCCAUCCGCUGGACCCUACUACUUCAAGAGUUCAACUUGGAUAUGCGUGACAAGAAAGGAGUAGAAAACUUGGUUAUAGACCACCUUAGUAGGUUGACCAUGAGUGAAGAAGCAGCACCUUUGAAGGAUGAUUUUCCAGAUAAGCAUCUCUUUGUAACUCAAGGUAUAGUUCCUUGGUACGCUGACAUUGUCAAUUACUUAGUUACAAGAACACUACCUAGUAAUCUGACGAGGGCUCAAAAAGAUAAGAUUAAAAGCGAUGCUAAGUACUAUGUUUGGGAUGACCUUUACUUAUGGAAACAUUGCUCUGACCAAGUCAUCAGAAGGUGCGUAUCUGAGUUUGAAAUUCCUUCUAUUCUUCAGUUUUGUCACUCGUAUGCAUGUGGUGGUCAUUUUGGUCCCAAAAGAACAUCAUCUAAGGUGUUAGAAUGUGGUCUAUUUUGGCCUACUUUAUUUCGUGAUUCAUACAUAUUUUGUAAGUCGUGUGAGAAUUGUCAAAAAACUGGUAAUUUAAGUUAUAGAAAUCAAAUGCCACUUACCCCUAUUCUUGUUUGUGAAAUAUUCGAUGUGUGGGGCAUUGAUUUUAUGGGACUUUUUCCCUCAUCUUUUGGCAAUGCUUACAUUCUUUUAGUAGUGGAUUACGUUUCUAAGUGGGUAGAGGCUAAGGCCACCCAGACUGACAAUACUAAAGUUGUUGUAGAUUUUGUCAAGUCUAAUAUUUUUGCCAGGUUUGGUGUAUCGAGAGCGGUGAUAAGUGAUAGAGGCAUUCAUUUCUGUAAUCGAGUGGUGGAGGCUUUGUUCAAGAGAUAUCAUGUUACCCACCGAGUGUCUACCACCUAUCAUCCACAGACAAGUAGACAAGCUGAGAUAUCAAACAUAGAAAUCAAGUCUACUCUUGAAAAGACGGUUAGUCCAAAUCGAAAGGAUUGGAGUUUGCGAUUAGAUGAUGCAUUGUGGGCGUAUCGCACCGCGUACAAAACUCCCAUAGGUAUGUCUCCUUAUCGUUUAGUAUUUGGUAAGACUUGUCAUUUACCUGUAGAGCUUGAGCACAGAGCAUACUAUUAACUUUUAUUUUUAAUUAUACCUUCUUUUACCACAAUAUGGGACUUAAAUAUUAUAGCACCUCAAUACUAAUCAAAAGCUUAGCGUUAAAUGUUUAUUCAGUGAAUUGACAUUGUGUUUGUACUACACAUCUUCUCUACAUAUAAGAUAGGCCAUCCCUUAUAUUUGUAUAAUACGGACAUGUCAUCUAUAUCAUAUGGUGAGCCAAAAAUUUAGAAAAAUUUCAUAUGCAGUCCUUCUAAAUAGAUUUAUCUGUAAAUUGUUGUCAAUAUUUUUUGAAAAAGACAUUUGUACCCAUAAAAUUUGGGUGAUGAUAAUGUAAACCACAAGUUUUUAAUAAGGGACACUAAAACUCUUUUUUUAAUAUAAUACCCUUUAUAAAUAGCAACUAAAAAAUUGACCAUAAAAUUUUUAAUAAAUAAAAAUAUAAUUUAAAUAGUUUAAUUUUUCUAAUAGACUAAUAAUAUUAGAAUAUUUUUAAUAUAAAAAUAAUUUUAAAACUAUAAAUGAUUAUAUUUAUUUUAAUAAUGUAUUUAUAUUUAUUCUAGCAUUUUUUAAUAAAUAUCUAGGUUAAAUAAAUUUUUCUAGCAGACUAAUAACACAAUGCUCGCAAAAUGGUAAGCUUACCGAUUUGAGCCGUGGAAGCGAUUUUUGCUCAGAGAGAAUUUUCAAAUCUUGUUUUGACAUAUGACCGAGUUUGAGGUGCCACAUCAUCGUUGAUUCUUCUCCAUUUGACGUGACACACGCAUCAGCUUCCUGUAGUGUUUCCCCUUCAAGCACGAACAAAUUACGCCUGAUCUUUUCUGCCUUCAUCAAUACAAGCGCACUUUUAACAAUCUUAAUAAUCUCAUUUUCAACAUGGGUUUUACACCCAUGACAAUCUAUUAUCCCAAAGAUAAUAGAUUUUUCUUCAGGCCUUUGACAUGUCGUACCUCCUCAAUUGUACGAACCGUACCAUCAAACAUUUUUAUUUUGAUAGUACCAAUACCAACGAUUUCUAAGGCAUGAUCAUCUCCCAUGUAUAUUGAUCCUCCUGAGAUAGGUUCAUAUGUGUGGAACCAUUCUCUUUGAGAGGUCAUGUGCCAGGUAGCUCAUGAGUCUAUGAGCCAUACAUCAGAUAGCCGUUUUCUGCCUUCUGAAACAAUUGUUGCCUCGCUGUAGAGAAUCUCACCAUCAUCUGAGGUACUUGUCAUACACCCCUGAGCAUUUGAUGACUCAGAUUUAUUGUCUCCACUCUUUCUUGAAAUGCCCUUUCUUGCCACAAUUGUAGCGUUUGACAUUUUUCUUACUUUUUGAUUUCGAUCUACCAUGAUUGUGACUCCUAUUGGGGCCACGUUCUGUUGAUCUUCCUCUCGUCAUCGAUAGUGCUUCUGCUUGCUGCGAACCUACUUGUUUGUCUUCCUUAUUUUUCUGCCUAUUCUCCUCAUUUAAUACAGAGGCUGCAACAUUGUUGAAGACUAGAUUAUCCGAUGGGUUGUUGUUUGUCAGGUUGAUGAUGACUUAAUCGUACGAAUCUGGUAGACUUUGAAGUAGAAGCUCUGCACGUUCAUUUUCCUCUAUUUGAUGACCCAACGUUGAAAGUUGUGAAAAUAGAGUCUUCAAGGUGUUGAUGUGGUCGGUCACAUAUUUUAAGAAGAUCUUGUUGUGCAGUGAUUUGGCCUUGUACAAUUUUGUGAGAGUAUCACAUAUUUCCUUGGCUGUCUUUUUCUCUGCCACAUUGGAUAAUACUCCAUCCGCAAGCGCCAAGUGUAGAUCAGAAAUGGCGUUGCCGUCUAUCUCGUUCCACUUGUCAUCAAUUAACUCCAUGGGCUUUUCUCCAAUUGUUGUCAAGCAAUUAUUUUUCCUCAAUACAUCUUUUAUCUUCAUUUUCCACAAUGAAAAAUUAUUUCCGUUGAAUUUCUCAAUUUCGUAUUUUACCGCCAUCGCUUUUCACCAAAAACUAACUUUGCUAGGAUCGACUCCCAUCAUUUUCAAGUGAACAAUAACUGUAUACGUGAAAAGUAAUCAUAUACGUAAAUAGUGCCGUAUACGUUAACAGUACCCCGACUCCCAAAAAACAUACAACAAGUAGCUCUGAUACCACUGUUAGGAAAUUGAUGGGUGAAACAUGGCCACAACUAAAAUAAAAUUGGAAGAAAAUUACAAGUAUUGUAAUAUUUUGUCUCACUACCCAAAACCCUCUCACUCAAUAGACUUACAAGAGCUUUAUAAUUUUAAGCUCUUAAAAUCACUCAAAAUCUCUGCUUUUUCUCUCACCAAAAUUGGAUGCCUAAAACCAAAUAGAGAGCUCCCUUUAUAUAGCCAAAAUUGGCUAUUAAAAUAUUAUUAUUAUUUUGUAACCGCCUUUGAUUUCUUCUUCUUCUAUUUUCUUCUUUCUUCUUUCUUCUUUCUACUUCGGCGGUGCCAAACCCUUCAACAUUUGCUGCUUCCAAAUUCUAUUUUUCUUUCCUUGGGCGGCACCUCCUUGGACUUCAAUUUGGGCAGCUUAUACAGCUUCUAGAUCUUCAAAAUAGGCUACUUCUGGAAGCCUUUUCGUGACACAUUACCUAGUAGAUUUACUCAAUCACAAAUUGGGUGGUUACAAACUAUGUUUGAAAACCUUUAAUUAAUAAAAUUCUUAUUUAUUUUCUUUCGUAAUACGAUUUACCUAUUAUGAAAUCAUUUGCAUUAGAGCGUGAAUAAUCUCAUUACUUUGGGGUAUUAUUUGCCUUGGACUUCUUUUUUUGGUCUAUCACUAUAUUACUUACCUUGGGCUGUCUCACUAUUCUCGUGUAAUAUUAUCUGCCUUGAGUCAUUCAUUUUUGUAUUGAGUGGUGAUAUUAUCUCAUCAUUUUUUAUAUUAAUUUCUAUUUUGCCGUUGUAUGAAAUUACUUAUUUUGGUGAAUUACUAUAUUAUUUCCCUUGGGCCGCCUCACCAUUUUGUUGCAUAAUCUGCCUUGGGUCAUUCAUUUUUGUAUAGAGUGGAGAUACGAUCUCAUCAGCUUUUAUAUUAAUUUCUGUUUUGCCAUUGUAUGAAAUUAUGAAAAAUGGAUAUUGAAGAGUUUCUUGCCACAAAUUGAACCUGCAUCUCUGGUAAGCAUUACUCUUGCAUUUUCGCGGAAAAGGCAGUAAGUCAAUGGCCUAAAUUCAUGGUUCAUUUCAUAUUAUGGAGUUUCUUUCUUCAGGAUGAUUUCGGCUGGAAUUCUCAUAAUUUGCUUCCAAAAAUCCACUACUGAUAGGCUUGGUGCUUGCCAUUUUUGCCUUUGCAGCUGGUAGUGGCUUGUAUGCUUGUUGGAUUAGUCAGAAAAAUCAAUUGGCAUUGGUCACAAAUUUUUUAUUCGAGCUGAGGGAUACAUACAGUAGUAGACGUCGUAUACUAUGUUCUCUUUCUCAUAUGUAUAAAUAUAGUAAGAGAUAUAUAUGGCUUUUAUAUAAUUCUCAAUAUCAUAGGCGGUAAACAUGGACUCUUGGCUUAAAGACAAUAUGAACGUGAAACCAAUAGUUAUUUAAGAUUAACGGCCAUGGCUAAACUGCACGUCGAAACGUGUUAGCAUGGUUCCAUAAAAUAAUAGUUAUUUAAGAUUAACGGCCAUGGCUAAACUGCACGUCGAAACGUGUUAGCAUGGGUCCAUAAAAUAAAUAAUUUUAUCUAAUUAGGAGAGAAAUCGAUUCAGUAACAAGCUGCUGCUUGCCCUUCCUAGAAAUUUUAAAUUUAUGAAUUGAAAUUACUCACGCCUUUUCUUGUGUAGUUAAUUAUGCAUACAGUUCAAUCUGAGGGAUACUGAUGUGAAGUGUAGGGACAUGGAUAUAUACUAUCGUUUACAUUAUUUUACAGCCUUGAUGUAUUAUUUUAUUUGGCAAUCAUAUAGUCAUUGUCUGCACUACACUUUGUCUUCCCUACACUUGUCUCCACUUGAGUAUCCUUGAGUGGUAGCUGAGUCACAAGUCACCUUCUCAUGUCUGCUGGGCUUGUCGUGCUUGAUUUACUUUGUUCUAACACCCCGGCUCAAUCUCAGUUUUCUUAGCAUACUCUUAGGUCAUGUUUGGUUUGUAAAAAAUGGAGAAGAGGAAAAGUGUGGAAUGGAGAGGAAGAGAAAAGAAAGGAAUGGAGAAAAGUAGUAGUGAAAUCACAUUUUGUUGAUUGGUUUGAUAUAAAAUUUAAUAAGGAAAUGAAUUAUAAUUUUUUUCUUUAGACUAAUUUACAAUUUACCUCAAAUAUUUAAUUAUUUAUACUAGUAAUAAAAUAUAUAUAUAUAUUAAAAUAAAAUGACGGUCCGGUGGCCGGCGGUGAAGGUCCGGUUACUUUUCGGCGAACGUCUGGCAUCUUUUCGGCGAACGUCCGGCAGGAUUCCGGCGAAGUUCGGUGGGAUUCCUGCGAAGUCCGGCAGCUUUCCGGCAACGUCCGGCGACUUUCCGGCGGUGAUCCAUUUAUGAUAUUAAAUCAAUAAAAUAAAAUUAUAAAUACUAAUUAUUAAUGAUAUUAAACAAAUUAAAAAGUUGAAAGGUAAUUUUAGAAACUUUAGUUUCUAACUUAAGAGGAAUUUAAAUUCUUCACUACUUGGUGUGGAAUUCAAAUUCUACAUUAUGAUGGAUAUUAAAUUUUAAUGGAAAUUAAAUUCUUAUAUAUUUUGUCAAACCAAACAAUGGAAAUGAAAAGAGAAUUUAAAUUAAUUUCCUCUUCUCCAUUCUCUCCUCCCAACCAAACACCACCUUAAUUUAUUUGUAUGGAAUUCAAAUAGCUCAUGUCCCAAUGCCUUUGUCAUAAUGUCCGCCACUUGCCUUUUACUCAGCACAUAUUUAAGAAUUAUUUCUCUUUUCCCGAUUUUUCAGUGUAAAUAAAUUAAGCCAAUAUCUUGAGAAUCCAAGCGAUACAUACAGUAGAAUUUGAAAUGGUGCAAGACCUAAUCAAGUUUGAUAUAUACUAAGUUACAGAGGCCAUUGAUGACAUACGUAGGAAAUUAUCUGUAAUUGUUGCUUGACUCCCACGUAUGUGUGUAUAUAUAGUUCUUUUCAAGUGAGGGCAUCCUCAUUUUGUUAAAGUGAGGAUGCCCUCACUAGAAAAUUCCAGUAGUGAUAUCGUUGUUGGAUUUUUUAAUCUACUAUUGUUGGAUCCGUAAUCCAAUACUGGGUUUAUAUGUGAAAAUUUUAUAUAUUGCAGACUGUCAUAUAAGAUUAAGUACAAUUAAAAGUGAACUAUUUAGGUUUUCGGUAUUAUGGACUUUAAUGUGUCUAAUAGGGUGUGAGCUUUAAUGUGUAGAGAUUCAAUGAUAUUUUAAUUUUAUGAUGGACAUAAUUAGAAAUAUCCAGUGACAAUAAGAAAAUGUUGUCUAUAUAAGUGGUUAUGGUUCCCAAAUCACAAGUAUGUUUCUAUUCUAUAUUGACAUCUCAUCAUCAGAGAGAGAGAGAGCGCAGAGAGAAUUAAAGGACUUUCUAUUAUCUUUUUAAGUGAGGAUACGCUCACUAGAAAAUUACAAUAGUGAUAUCGCUAAAACAACUAUUUUAGAGUUUGAUUAUUUGAACAAGUAAUUUUAAUUCUGCUUGGCUAGAAUUAGAGUAGUAUGUUAUUAGUCUUUCUAUUUAUAUUUAGGUAGAAUUCUAUUUCUAUGUUUGAGUGUACAUUGCCUGGUAGAUUUACUCAAUUACAAAUCACGUGGUUACAUAAUAUGUUUGAAAACCUCUAAUUAACAAAAUUCUUAUUUUAUUUUCUUUCGUAAUAUGAUUUACCUAAGUCUCUCUUAUAAAAUCAUUUGCAUUAAAGCAUCAAUUAAUCUAAUUACUAUGAUGUAUUAUUUGUCUUGGACUUCUUAUUUUGGUCUAUCACUAUAUUACUUACCUUGGGCUGUCUCACCAUUUUCGCAUAAUAUUAUCUGCCUUGAGUCAUUCAUUUUUGUAUAGAGUGGUUAUAUUAUCUCAUCAGUUUUUAUAUUAAUUUCUAUUUUUCCGCUGUAUGAAAUUACUUGUUUUGGUGAAUUACUAUAUUAUUUCCCUUGGGCCGCCUCACCAUUUUGUUGCAUAAUCUGCCCUGGGUCAUUCAUUUUUGUAUAGAGUGGAGAUAUGAUCUCAUCAGCUUUUAUAUUAAUUUAUGUUUUGCCAUUGUAUGAAAUUAUGAAAAAUGGAUAUUGAAGAGUUUCUUGCCACAAAUUGAACCUGCAUCUCUGGUAAGCAUUACUCAUGCACUUUCGCGGAAAAGGCAGUAAGUGAAUGACCUAAACUCAUGGUUCAUUUCAUAUUAUGGAGUUUCUUAAUUUCUUCAGGAUUAUUUCGCCUGGAAUUCUCCAAAAAUCCACUGCUGAUAGGGUUGGUGCUUGCCACAUUGCCUUUGCGGCUGGUAGUGGCUUGUAUGCUUGUUGGAUUAGUCAGAAAAUUCAAUUGGCAUUGGUCACAAAUUUUUUUAUUCAAAUUUUUAUUCGAGCUGAGGGAUACAUAUAGUAGUAGACUUCAUAUACUAUGGGUGCGUUUUUGGGAUUGAGGUUGGGUAGCUGUGACUUUUAAGUUAGAGCACUAAAGUGUUUGGUAAACACUAGCUGUUGUACCUUUUAAGCUAUAUUAAUAUGAUUUUUUAUUUGUAUAAUGAAAAAUUUAUUAUAUCUUUAAUUAUUAUUUAAAAUUUAUAUUUACUAUAUAUUAUUAACUUUUGUUUGAUAGUUACUGUUUUUUUUUUAUAACUGUAGUUUUUAAGUUACAGCACCUCAAUUCCAAAUAGGACCUAUGUUGUCUUUCUCAUAUAUAUAAAAUAUAGUAAGAGAUAUAUAUUGCUUUCAUAUAAUUCUCAAUAUCAUAGGCGGUUAACCUGGACUCUUGGCCUAAAGACAAUAUGAGCAUGAAACCAUUUCGCGUGGGUGAUCAGUUAAGCCACCAAUGGGCUAUAAACAUAGCUUCAUUCAAGAGAGUUAAAGGUAUCCCAAGUUCUGAAAAUUGAGAGCAAGUACAAGUGAGCUUUUGCAGAGAAUUUUGAGAGUGUUUUCUUAACUAUUCUAGCGGGUAUUAUAUUGGGUGUAUUUAGGUUAUCGAGUUUUGAGAAUUAUGAAAUACAAGUAUGCAACCCAAGAGGGGGGGUGAAUUGGGAUUCUAAAAAAUUAUUCAAUUUAAAGAAAAACUUAAUGCAAAUACACUCCAAAUUCAAAGCAAUAAUAAUUAAGUUGAUCACAAUAUAAAAAGAUAAGGGAAGAGAAAUUCAAACACAGAGAUUUUUACGUGGUUCGGCCAACCUCGCCUACGUCCACGCCUCCAAGCUUUCCAGGCUUGAGGAUUCCACUAAGCAAGCCUCCAAGGCUUCAAAUGCUUACACUUGACUUCCAAGGUGUCAAUAAACCUUUACAACAAGAGAUUAUCCACAAUCUCUUAACCCAAGUGUAUCCCAACACUUACAAUCACUCAAAGUAAAAGAUUACAAAUUAUUUUUCUCUCACACAAUAUCUAAGAUAACAAAUCAAUGCCCAAUGUGUUAAUAGAUGAAAAGAGAGUGAGUUUAAAGCUCUAUGAAGAUUGUAUUCGCGGAUAUAAGCUCAGAGGUAGUGUUGUGAUCAACCUUCUUUGAAUUUAAAUGAGCUUAUUUAUAUCUGGAGCUGAAAAUCUAGCCGUUACAAACUGUCAGACAGAAAACGGUUCGCCGUUAACCCUAAACGGUUAACCGUUUCGGUUGGUCAAAGUUAUCGUUGGGCCAGAUUUUAAAUAAACGGUUUGCCGUUUGGGAUUACCCUUUCGCCGUUAACUUCCAGAGACUUGCAAGAUGAACAUUGGUUAUCCGUUUACACUAAACGGUUAAGGACUUGCGUGAAGUGGCUUAUCUGGAUAUUAUCGGUUAACCGUUUGUAAUAAACGGUAAGCCGUUUGACUCCAGUAACCUGCAAAACAAACUAGCCUUAUCAGGUUUUGUUAAUAAGUGCCAGAGGAGGACAACCUUCAAUUCUGGACGUUACCGGUUAACCGUUUAUAAUAAACAGUUCACCGUUAAGUUCCAGUUGCCUUUCCAUCCUUGGUGUUUUCCGUUUUUCAUAAACGGUUAGAGCUUAAGCAAUAUGUUGCUUUCUGGUGUUAAUCGGUUAACCGUUUUAAAUAAACGGUUCACCGUUAAGUUCCAGUAACCUUCCCAUCUUUUGUGUUUUUCGUUUUUCAUAAACGGUUCAAGGUUUAGAAAAUAUGUUGCUCUCUGGAUGUUAUCGGUUAACUGUUUAAAUAACCGGUUCACCGUUAAGUUCCAGUAGCCUUCCCAUCUUUUGUGUUUUCCGUUUUUCAUAAAUGGUUCAAGGUUUAGAAAAUAUGUUGCUCUCUGGAUGUUAUUGGUUAACCGUUUAAAGGAAACGAUUUACCGUUUAUUUCUAGAAUCGCACUUUAAAACAGAUUUUAUAGAGAAUCAUUUUUGAAUUCGAAGGACCCUUUUAUGAAACAAUAAAUGGAAUGAUUAUUAAGGCUUUCAUUUAUUAAGGAAUAGCUCCAACAUUUUUAUCAAAAAUCAUUUAAAGUUUGUUAUCAUCAAAAUCAAUAUUAUUAACAUAUUCAUGUUAACAAUCUCCCCCUUUUUGAUGAUGACAAAUUUUAUUCAAUAUUUAGCUCCCCCUUAAUAUGUGCUCCCCCUGAAUGUAUGUCCAGAUUAAGAAAUGUUCAAUAACAAGAUUUUUGCUCAAGAAAACCUUUUUAAAUUCAUUCUUAAUCUCCCCAAUUUAAAUACCAUAAAUCCGUUUUAAAUACCAUAAUUAUCUCCCCCUUCAUCAUAAAAAAGAAAAGAUAGAAUAGGGAAAAAAAAUUGCAAAUCCGUGAAAGAAGUUACCCGGUUUUGGCGAGCGAAAAAUUUGGCAGAGUUUCCCCUUAAAAAUGAACAAAACCACUAAUACAAAAUGAGAUUAAAACACUUCCAAAAUAGAUUAACACCAACUUCAACUUUCAACAAGCCAACAACUCCAUGAACAAAACAAAACAACACUCCAAUAUCCACAAACAUACCAACAUUACAAUAUCCACAAAUAAACCAAUACUUAUGCAUCAAAAUCCAAAAAACAUCUAAUCAUCAAGAACAUCACACACAUAUGCAUCAAAAUAAAAAAAAAUAUAAAUGCAAAACACCAAAAUAUGAAAUGUAUGUGCGAAAACAGAACUCAGAAACUACGGAGGCGGAGAAGAUGUGCUCCCCGGAUCAUAGCCGAAAUAGCCGAGAAGAAUGCGCUGUCCGGCGAUAAGCUCGAGCUGCUGGUCAAUGCUCUGCUGCUGGAAAGUCUGAAAGUUAGAGUGGAGCUGCUGGUGGUCACGGGAAAUGGUGUCCAACCGAUCAAGAAUCAGCUGCUGGCGCUCCGAGAACCGGCGAACAUCAGUAACCAACUGCUGCACAACGUCUGAAGCAGGGGGCGGAACUGGAGCUGGAGGUGGCAUAGAGGUCGAUGGCUGCUCGGGAACAGCAGAUGGCUCAGGAGCAGGAGGCGGCUCGGAAGAGGAGGGAAUGUCAGCAUCCAUCGCACGCUCCUCAGAGUCUGAGUCAGCUGGAGGCCGAGGGACAAAAUGGCGACGCGGAGGAUGAGGAUGAGCUCCUAAUCUAAAGUCAGGAAGCAGAUCGGGAGAAUAGACAUCAUUGAGCAUCCGAUCGUCCUCUGGAGCAAUCAAGGUAUCCCGGUUUUUGGAGUUGCUUGUCUUUAUCCACACUCCAUUCUUUCUAGAGAAACCGAUACUAGUCAUGGCCUCGGGACCAAUCCGUUGAGUCUCCAUAUGUCCAGUAUCAAGAAGUGGAACCUCAAAGCGUCGCAGUAUCUUAGUGAUAAUACUGCCAUAAGGAAGCAAGCGGUGAUUGACCGCGGGAGUACUCAACAUAUGUCGAACAAUAAUAUACCCGAGGUUAAUGAGACGGUCUGUAAGAAGGCUAUCUAAUAGGGCAACGUCCAACCUCGUAACCUCAUCAGAGUGACCCUUCCUAGGUGUCACUAUGUGCUAUAAAAUAGAGUGAAGAAUACGAACUUGGAGAGGUAAGAGUUGAGACCGAAACGGAAGCAAACAAAUCUCAUCCGAUAAGUCUCGACGACGACAUAUAUUACGGACGCCAUGAGUAUGAGAAAAACUGUCAAAGGAGAGGGCUUUCCUAGAGGUGUAAAUAUCAAGCCCCUCACAAGAGAUACCAAGAAGGUCAGCUAGGUCCGCAUCAUCAAACUCUAUUGGCACACGGCCGACUUGAGUAACUAUCCUAUUUAGGCGAGUGUCGGAGAUUUCCAUGUUCGAAUAAAAGACUCGCACUAAGUUUGGAUAAACUCGGUCAUCAAAAUCAAUGCCAGACUCCCAAGGCAGAAGCAUAUCCCGAAUACUUCUACCACAUACAACCAAAUGACGGAAAUCAUCAAGGUCAACAAAGAAGGAGUCAAGUACCUUUCGACCAUCGAAGCGUUCUUCGAACCGCUUGGCCAAGGAAGGAGUGGGGAAGUGAAUCCUUGCAAAUUCAGAGACUUCCCGAGGUGGUAUGGGAUUCCUUGGAGGCACAGAUUUACGCCUGGGGUUUCUCCGAGAGGGUUCAGCCAUGGAAAAUACAGGAGAUAAGAAAGAGAAUAGAUGAUUGGCUUAUGGAUGAAUAGGAGAUGUGAUUUGGGUGCUCAAUUUGGUUGAAGAAGGGGAAGAAUCGGAUUAAAAACGAAGAAAUCCGACCCGCGGCAGUUAGGGUUUUGAUUUUGGGAUUUUUGAAUGUUGGGCUUGAUUUGAAGUUUUGAAUCGGUAGAAUUGUUCUAAAGGGGAUAAGAAAAGAUUUUGAAGGUUUGAUUUGGCAAGGAAAGCAAGAAAAAUGAGGGUUUGAGGACAGAGAAACCUUCGGCUGCGCAACAAUGGUGGAAACGGUGAAAGGGUAACUGGAGAAAGAGAAGAAAACCUUUAAACAGUAUUUAUACUUCGCGAAAACGGUUAACCGUUUAUUUAAACGGUUAAAGGGUAACUUCCAGAGGCUGAAGAGAGGGAAACGGUGAAAGUCUAAGCGCUUAACAGCUAAGGAGUAACUGUUAGAGGACUCUCUAUUGACAAACGGUUCACCGAUUGUGGAAAACGGUGAAAGAGUAAACGAACAGACACAUAAUCUCGUUUCUGGAAUUAAACGGUGAUCCGUUUAUAGGAAACGGCUAACCGUUUAUUUUAUCUGUAAUUUCGCACAUUUGAUUUAAUUUUUGGCUGGCAAAUAAUAUAUUCCAAGAUCAUUUAAUUGAUUUGAAAAUAUUUAAUGAGCCAUUUUAAUGCAUGAUUCAUGAACAUAUUUUUCAACCAAUUAAUUCAUAUAAUCACAAGUUAUCAAGGCAAAUUCAUCAUUUGACGAUCAAGCUCAACCAUUUCAUAAAUAAUAGUCAAUCAAUUCAGUACACUCAAUAGCAUGAAUAGAGAUGUUAAUGCAAAAAUUUCAUCAUCCCAAGUUCAUGCCGAAUUUUUGAAAAUUGUUCUUCGCAAAGCGGUUUUGUGAAAAUAUCGGCAAGUUGUUUUUCCGUGGAAAUAAACUCUAAUGCAAUAUCUCCCUUUUGAACAUAAUCUCUCAAGAAAUGAUGUCUUAUUUCUAUAUGCUUGGUUCGAGAGUGUUGAAUGGGAUUUUUUGAAAGGUUUAUAGCACUAGUAUUAUCACACUUAAUAGGAAUUUGUUCAAGAUUAAUGCCAUAAUCUCUAAGUGUUUGUUUCAUCCAAAGUGCUUGUGCACAACAACUUCCGGCAACUAUUUAUUCAGCCUCAGUAGUUGAAAGUGCAACAGAAUUUUGUUUCUUGCUAAACCAUGAAACAAGAGAGUGUCCUAGAAUAUAGCAAGUUCCACUAGUGCUCUUCCUAUCCACUUUAUAACCGGCAAAGUCCGCAUCCGAAAAACAUGUUAAAUCUAUAUGAGUUCCCCUAGGAUACCAAAGGCCAAUAUCUAUGGUUCCACUUAAAUAACGGAAAAUUCUUUUAACAGCGAGCAAAUGAGAUUCCUUGGGACAUGACUGAAAUCUUGCACACAAACAUACACUAAACAUGAUAUCGGGUCUACUUGCAGUCAAAUAAAGUAGGGAUCUGAUCAUACCUCGAUAUAUUUUGAUAUCCACUUCUUUACAUUUUUCAUCUUUGUCCAGCUUGGUUGUUGUGCUCAUUGGUGUAUUCUUGGUCUUUGAAUCAUCAAUGCCGAAUCGUUUGAGUAGAUCCUUUACGUACUUGGCUUGAUUUAUGAAAAUUCCUUCCUCAUUUUGUUUGAUUUGAAGUCCAAGGAAGUAUUUCAACUCUCCCAUCAUACUCAUCUCAAAUUCCUUGCUCAUACAUGAUGAAAAUUCUUCACACAACAACUCAUUAGUAGAACCAAAAAUAAUAUCAUCAACAUAAAUUUGAACAAUAAGUAUGUCUUGGUUCUUAUGCUUAACAAAUAGAGUAGUAUCUGCUUUACCCAUAGAAAAAUCAUUUUCAAGCAAGAAAUUUUUAAGUCUAUCAUACCAUGCUCUAGGUGCUUGUUUUAAUCCAUACAAGGCUUUAAGCAACUUAUAAACAUGAUUUGGAAAUUUAUCAUUUUCAAAACCAGGAGGUUGUUUCACAUAAACUUCCUCCAAAAUAUAUCCAUUUAAGAAAGCACUCUUGACAUCCAUUUGAUAUAAAAUAAAAUCCUUAUGACAUGCAUAUGCUAACAACAUCCUAAUGGAUUCUAACCGGUGCAAAGGUUUCAUCAAAAUCAAUUCCUUCUUCUUGGUUGUAACCUUGAGCCACUAAUCUAGUUUUAUUUCUUACAACCACACCAGAUUCAUCCAUCUUAUUUCUAAACACCCAUUUAGUACCUAUUAUAGAUUGAUGUUCUGGUUUAGGAACUAAUUCCCACACAUUAUUUCUUUCAAAUUGAUUUAACUCCUCUUGCAUUGCCAAAAUCCAAGAUUCAUCAUUUUCAGCAUCCUCAAAAGAUUUUGGUUCAAUUUGAGAGAUGAAUGCAUUAUGCUCACAAGUAUUUCUAAGUGAUGAUCUAGUUGUAAUACCUCGUGAGGGAUCUCCUAAAAUUACAUCUUUAGGGUGAGAAGAGACAUACCUCCACUCCUUGGGGAGUGUUUGAGAAGUACCUUCAUUUUGCUCCACGUUUGGUUCUUCAUGAUGUUCCUCUUGAAUUCCAUGUGGUGCGUCUUCUUGAUUGUCAUUUGAUGCUUCUUCUUCUUGCUGUUCUUCUUCUGCAUUAUCAUCAACAACGACUUUCUCCGUAGAGGAGGGGUUAGACUCAUCAAAUGUGACAUGCAUAGAUUCUUCCAUAACUAAAGUUCUUUUAUUAUAGACUCUAUAAGCUUUGCUUGAGUUUGAAUAACCAAGAAAAAUACCAACAUCAGAUUUUGGAUCAAAUUUACCAAGAUUGUCUUUUGUGUUCAAAACAAAACAUUUGCAUCCAAAAACUUUAAAAUAGCCAAUGUUGGGUUUUCUAUCUUUCCAAAGCUCAUAUGGAGUUUUAUUAAGAUUAGGUCUAAUCAACACCCGAUUUAAAACAUAACAAGCGGUGUUGACGGCUUCGGCCCAAAAAUAUUUUGGUAAUGCAUUUUCAUUUAACAUGGUCUUAGCCAUUUCUUGAAUAAACCUAUUCUUUCUCUCAACAACUCCAUUUUGUUGUGGAGUUCUAGGUGAAGAAAAUUGAUGCUCAAUGCCUAGAUUAUUGCAAAAACUCUCAAAUGCAUGAUUUUCAAAUUCUCCUCCAUAAUCACUUCUAAUGUAUACAAUACCAUGCCGUUUUUCAUUUUGUAAUUUCUUACAAAGCACUUUAAAAGCAUCAAGAGCAUCAUCCUUAUUGGCUAAGAACAAUACCCAUGUAUAUCUAGAAUAAUCAUCCACUAUCACAAAUGCAUAAUAUUUGCCAUUUAGACUAGCAUAUCUAGAUGGCCCAGAAAGAUCUAUGUGAAGAAGUUCAAGUGGUUUUGAAGUGGAAAUAUGGUUUUUAUUCUUGAAAGAAGUUUUAAUUUGUUUUCCAAAUUGACAAGCUUCAUAAAUUUUAUCCUUUUGAAAACCAAUUUUCGGAAGACCUUUAACUAAAUCAUCUUUCGAAAUUUUUGAAAUCAAAUCCAUACUUGCAUGUCCUAACCUUCUAUGCCAUAACCAACAAUCAUCAUGCAAUGCCGAAAAACAUUUAUCAAGAGAAGAUGCACAUUCUAUGUCAAUGAUAUAAACAUUACCACAUCUAUUUCCAACAAAUAAGGUUUUGCCAUCACAUGAGUUCUCAAUAACACAACUAAAUUUAUCAAAGAUAACUUUGUAACCUUUGUCACAUAAUUGACUAAUGCUAAUUAAGUUGUGUUUCAAGUUCUCAACCAAACAUACAUUCUCAAUUAGAGUUGAAGAGACUUUACCAACAUUUCCAAUUCCAAGAAUUUUUCCUUUUAAGUUGUCUCCAAAAGAUACGUCUCCACCAUUUUCAAUUUUGGUGAAGCUUGAGAACCAUGCAUAGUUUCCGGUCAUGUGCCUUGAACAACCGCUGUCCAAGUACCAUUUAUUUUUCUUCUUCUUCAAGCCCUACAAGAAAAAGUCUCAAGUUUUAGGUACCCAAAGCUUUUUGGGUCCUUGAGAGUUAGUAACGGUUCCUUUUGGAACCCAAAUGUAUUUGACACCAUAAUAUGCAUUCCUUUUCACGGGACAUCUAUAUUUCAUGUGACCAUUUUGAUUACAAUAAUGACAUACAAUCUUAUGAUCAUUUGUGGAGGUAGCUUUAACAAAAUAAUUCUUAUAAUACUUUUGCUUCAAGUUAGGCUUAUAUCCAAGUCCUCUUUUAUCAAAAACACAUUUUUGUAAGUUAAGCAUAUUAUCCAACAUUUUUUGCCCAUUUGUAAAUUUCAAAACAAUUUCAUUCAAUUCAUUACUCUUUUUCUUGAGCAUUUCGUUCUCAUUUUUCAACUCAUCUAUGUGUGAUUCUAAAUGCUCAUGUAAGAUGCUAGGUUUCUCAUUUGAUAAUGCAAUUUCAUCAUGCAAUGUUUUGUUCCCUACUUCUAGGCAUGCAAUUCUAGCAUUUAGAGAUUCAUUUUCAUUUUUAAGCUUUGCCAUUUCCUUUUUAAGACAUACAUUCUUUUUACCAAUCUUCAUCAACUCAUUAUGUAAAUCUUUAAAAGCAUCAUACAAUUCAUCAUAGGUGGGAUCACUUACCUCAUUGAAAUCAUCAUCCCCUCAUAUUGCCAUGAGUGCUAGGUUUGAUACUUCUUGCAAUCCUUCUUCAUCACUUGAUUCUUCCUCACUAUCAUCCCAAGUUGCAACCAUUGCUUUCUUCUUGAGUUUGUUGAUAAGUGGGCACUCCGAUCUUAUAUGUCCAGGCUUUUUGCAUUCAUAGCAUGUGAUUGCCUCCUUCUUCUCCCUGUGGUUCUUGAAGUUUCUGAAAUUUCUUCGCUCUCCGGUUUUCUUGAAGAAUUUUCUGAACCUCCUUGCUAGCAUGGCUAGCUCUUCAUCAUCCGGUUCACUCUCCCCAUCACUCUCAUGUUUAGAAGCUUUGAGAGCAAUGCUUUUCUUCUUCUCUUCAAGUCCUUUUUCUGCAGCUAAAUCCUCUUCAUAUGAAAUAAGAGAACCAAUUAAAUCAUCAAGAGGUAAAGUAUUUAAAUCUUUGGCCUCUUCAAUGGCAGUUCUUUUAGGUCUCCAUUCUUUUGGAAGAGAUCUAAUGAUUUUCUUAACUUUCUCACUAUUUGAGAAGGUCUUCCCCAAGGCACCUAGAGUGUUUACUAUGUCCGUGAAUCUAGUAUACAUAUAAUACACAUUCUCAUUUUUUUCCAUUUGGAAUAGCUCAUAUUGACGAGUGUAUCUACUAAUUUUAGACUCUUUAACUUGAUUUGUCCCUUCAUAGACAACUUCAAGUUUAUUCCAUAUUUCUUGUGCACUUUCACAACUAGAUACUCUAUGGAAUUCUUUCUUAUCAAGGGCACAAAACAAAGCAUUCAUAGCCUUGGAGUUUAGAGACAUCUUUCUCUUUUCUAACUCACUCCAUUGACUCGAUGGUUUAGGAAUAUCAUCUCCUACUUCAUCUUUAAAUGUAGGCAUGAAUGGACCAUCACAAACAACUUCCCAAAUUUCAUAAUCUAAGGCUUGCAAAUAGAUUCUCAUUCUAGUUUUCCAAUAAGCAUAGUCAUUACCAUCGAAAAAUGGUGGUCUAGUGGUGGAUUGCCCUUCUCUAAAGGUUGAGUCAUUUAGGGUUGCCAUGGAUCUUUUACUCUUAGAUGAUUAAGUCCUAACAAGAGAACAAGGCUCUGAUACCAAUUGAAAUACAAUUAUGCAACCCAAGAGGGGGGGUGAAUUGGGAUUCUAAAAAAUUAUUCAAUUUAAAGAAAAACUUAAUGCAAAUACACUCCAAAUUCAAAGCAAUAAUAAUUAAGUUGAUCACAAUAUAAAAAGAUAAGGGAAGAGAAAUUCAAACACAGAGAUUUUUACGUGGUUCGGCCAACCUCGCCUACGUCCACGCCUCCAAGCUUUCCAGGCUUGAGGAUUCCACUAAGCAAGCCUCCAAGGCUUCAAAUGCUUACACUUGACUUCCAAGGUGUCAAUAAACCUUUACAACAAGAGAUUAUCCCCAAUCUCUUAACCCAAGUGUAUCCCAACACUUACAAUCACUCAAAGUAAAAGAUUACAAAUUGUUUUUCUCUCACACAAUAUCUAAGAUUACAAAUCAAUGCCCAAUGUGUUAAUAGAUGAAAAGAGAGUGAGUUUAAAGCUCUAUGAAGAUUGUAUUCGCGGAUAUAAGCUCAGAGGUAGUGUUGUGAUCAACCUUCUUUGAAUUUGAAUGAGCUUAUUUAUAUCUGGAGCUGAAAAUCUAGCCGUUACAAACUGUCGGACAGAAAACGGUUCGCCGUUAACCCUAAACGGUUAACCGUUUCGGUUGGUCAAAGUUACCGUUGGGCCAGAUUUUAAAUAAACGGUUUGCCGUUUGGGAUUACCCUUUCGCCGUUAACUUCCAGAGACCUGCAAGAUGAACAUUGGUUAUCCGUUUACACUAAACGGUUAAGGACUUGCGUGAAGUGGCUUAUCUGGAUAUUAUCGGUUAACCGUUUGUAAUAAACGGUAAGCCGUUUGACUCCAGUAACCUGCAAAACAAACUAGUCUUAUCAGGUUUUGUUAAUAAGUGCCAGAGGAGGACAACCUUCAAUUCUGGACGUUAUCGGUUAACCGUUUAUAAUAAACGGUUCACCGUUAAGUUCCAGUUGCCUUUCCAUCCUUGGUGUUUUCCAUUUUUCAUAAACGGUUAGAGCUUAAGCAAUAUGUUGCUUUCUGGUGUUAAUCGGUUAAUUGUUUUAAAUAAACGGUUCACCGUUAAGUUCCAGUAACCUUCCCAUCUUUUGUGUUUUCCGUUUUUCAUAAACGGUUCAAGGUUUAGAAAAUAUGUUGCUCUCUGGAUGUUAUCGGUUAACCGUUUAAAUAACCGGUUCACCGUUAAGUUCUAGUAGCCUUCCCAUCUUUUGUGUUUUUCGUUUUUCAUAAACGGUUCAAGGUUUAGAAAAUAUGUUGCUCUCUGGAUGUUAUCGGUUAACCGUUUAAAGGAAACGGUUUACCGUUUAUUUCCAGAAUCACACUUUAAAACAGAUUUUACAGAGAAUCAUUUUUGAAUUUGAAGGACCCUUUUAUGAAACAAUAAAUGGAAUGAUUAUUAAGGCUUUCAUUUAUUAAGGAAUAGCUCCAACAUUUUUAUCAAAAAUCAUUUAAAGUUUGUUAUCAUCAAAAUCAAUAUUAUUAACAUAUUCAUAUUAACAAAUUAUUCCCGUUCAAAGCCCAACCCCAAUUUCAUGAACCUAAAUAAUAAACCAAACAAAAGAGAAUAUUCUCUCAAUUUAUCUAGAAUUAUCUUGGGUAAUAAUAUCCUGAAUAAUUGGCGCUGUGGCAGUUUUAAAAAUUUGGUGAUUGUUAAGAAAUUAAUGACAAUAAGUUUAGGAUGUCGUUACUUGUUAGGACCUGCAUUUAAAAUCUUAAAUAUUCGUAAUUAAUUAUAAAGAUCUUGGUUCACAUGCAAGCUACAACAAUUAGCCAACAAAUAUAUGGUCUUUUUGACAAAACUAUGCAAAAAGAAAGAGAAUAUAAUCAAUGAAACUGAUUUGGACAAUACCACACGAUUUUAUUUUUAUUGACAAACCAACCUAAAUAACAUAUUAACGUAAAUAACGCAUCCACAUAUAAUUGUUUUAUUUAAUUAUUAAGAAAGAUGAAGUACAUGGACAUUGGAAACUAAAAAAUAUAAUCUCUUAUAUAUCAAGAGAUUUUAGAGAUUAAACUGAACCAAACUAGCACUCGCAUGAUUAGUUGACAGAUAAUAACAAUACCCAUCCUUUUAUUAACUAUAAUAUAAAAAAGUAAUACUUUAGGUAUGUAUGUAUUUAUUAACCAGUGUGGUCGGGAUUUCUUCUAUAUUGAGAGACAACAAUAAGAUUAAGAUUGUCAAAUGUCACUUCCAUAUCAUCAGCAAUACCAUAUACAGGUACUGGAGUACUCUCUGACCGCUCACUCUUACAUGAAAGUUUAAUAUUAGAAAAUGAAUUCAUAAAUGCAUAUAUUAAAAUAUGAAUUGUAAAUGAUAUCUAUUCAGCUGAAAUUGGCUUGAAACCUGCGCAAGGAGGAGUUUCUAUGUUCUUAUCUCUGCUUUGACUGAUACAUAUAGAUUCAAGAAGCCGACGUUGCCAACGUGUGGGCAAUUGUGACCUAGCAAAACAUCUAAUAGUUAGUUAAAUUCCACCUGCGACACGUGGGAGCAUGGGUCCACAAAACAAAUAAUUGGAACUAAUUAGAACAGAAAUCGAUUCGGUAACCCGCCGCCGCAUGCACUUUCUAAAAGUUUUAAAUUUAUGAAUUGAAACUACCGACGCCUUUUUAUGUUUGGUUAAUUAUACAUAUAGUUCGAGCUGAGGGAUACAUACAGUAGUAGAGUCUUUAAAAUGGUACAAUACCUAAUCAACGUUGAUAUAUACUAAGUUACAGGGGCCAUCGAUGACAUACGUAGAUAAUUUUCUGUAAUUGUUGCUUGAUUCCCAUAUAUAUAUAUAUAGUUCUUUUCUAAAGGAUGUUAUUAAAUUAUAAAAAACGCAUAUUUCAAUACACUAAAAAUUAUAUAUUUUUUUAUUUAUUAGUAUAUUGAAAUUUAUGUUUUUAUUUUUUACUGACAUCCCUAACAUCCUCACUUUUACCCUCAUUAGAGAAUUACAAUAGUGGUAUAUCUAGGACAGCUAUUUGAGAGUUUGAUUAUUUGAGCAAGUAAUUUUAAUUUUUGUUGACUGGAUUUAGAGUAGUAUGUUAUUAGAGUCUUUCCAUUUGUAUUUUAGGUAGAAUUUUACUUCUAUGUUUGAGUGUACAUUGUCUAGUAUAUUUACUCGGUUAUAAAUUGGGUGGUUAUGUAAUAUGUUUGAAAAUCUUUAAUUAAUAAAAUUUUUAUUUUAUUUUUUUCAUGAAAUUAUUUAUCUAAAUCUCUCUUAUAAAAUCGUUUACAUUAGAGCAUUAAUUAAUCUUAUAACUUUGAUGUAUUAUUUGCCUUGGACUUUUAUUUUGGUCUAUCACUAUAUUAUUUACCUUUGGCUGUCUCACCAUUUUCGUGUAAUAUUAUCUGCAUUGAGUCAUAUUUUUGUAUAGAGUGGUGAUAUUUAUCUCAUCAGUUUUUAUAUUAAUUUCUAUUUUGCCGUUGUAUUAAAUUAUUUGCUUUGGUGAAUUGCUAUAUUGUUUGCCUUGGGCCGUCUCACCAUUUUGGUGUGUAAUCUGCCUUGGGUCAUUCAUUUUUGUAUAGAGUGGUGAUGUGAUCUCAUCAGCUUUUAUAUUAAUUUCUGUUUUGCCAUGGUAUGAAAUUAUUAAAAAGGAUAUUGAAGAGUUUCUUGCCACAAAUCGAACCUGCAUCUCUGUUAAGCAUUACUCUUGCAUUUCCACGGAAAAGGCAGUAAGUCAAUGGCCUAAAUUCAUGGUUCAUUUCAUAUUAUGAAGUUUCUUUCUUCAGGAUGAUUUCGUCUGGAAUUCUCCUAAUUUGCUUCCAAAAAUCCACUUGCCACAUAGCCUUUGCAGCUGGUAGUGGCUUGUAUGCUUGUUGGAUUAGUCAGAAAAAUCAAUUGGCAUUGGUCACAAUUUUUUUAUUCGAGCUGAGGGAUACAUACAGUAGUAGACGUCGUGUACUAUGUAUGUUCUCUUUCUCAUAUAUAUAAAUAUAGUAAGAGAUAUAUAUGGCUUUUAUUUAAUUCUCAAUAUCAUAGGCGGUAAACAUGGACUCUUGGCUUAAAGACAAUAUGAACAUGAAACCAUUUCACGUGGGUGAUCAAUUAUAUAACUUUCAUCCUUCUUACGGAAGUCAGAAGAGGUGUGUACCUACCACAUCAACCGUGUCAAGCGAAGAUAUUGGACAUUUAAUAAUGAAAAAAUUAGGAAUUUUCAUGGACACACCAGUAGGUUCCGUAAAUAUAUAGAAUCAAUUGAUUCUAGGUACCUUACAAUGUGACUUUUUUUUUUUUUUGUCCCUGAAGAUCCGGACUAUUUUUGAGGAUACUGGCCGUUGAGGCUUUGUUUGUAAUUGUGCAAGAAAAUGGAAAAGAAUGGGCUAAAGCGCAAAAAGUAAAGCUAACAGUUGUUUAAUUUAAUUUUUUAAGAUUGUUUUGAUGUGGAAUUUGAUUUGGGAACUUUUUUGUAAUUACAAGAAACAGCCACACAGGGUGACAAUUAUGGCAUUCUUUCGUCAAUUGGAUAUUAAUAGUACAAUGAGGAUGGCUAAAUGCAUAAUCACCCUAUUAAUCUUGCAGUCCAAAGCAAAAGCAAAAUAGCAUUACAAACAGUAGAACUCUCAGAUUGAUUCACUGUAUCUAAACGAUAGGUCAUCUCAUUACUAAACUAUCUGACGUAACUGAUUCAGAAAUUUAAUUUAGAGAGGGCUUGGUACAAAUAAAAUAAUUCACGAGGCGCGUUCGAUGGUGCAAGUGAUCGGCGGCAACAACAAGCAAGUAAGGUAAUGAUGAUGUAUAUGUUGGAAAUAUGAAUUCAUAUUGUUUAUUAAAAGUUCAAAACAUGAAUAAUAGUUGUUGCUACUGUUCACUUCACUGUUUAUUAAUACUAUUAAUCAUACUGUUCACUUAGCAACAAUUGUAAAUUUGUCAAGGCGUGUUCGAACUGUCCUUAAAACAAAUUUCAGCUCUUCUAGAAAGAUUUCUCGAUGCAAAAAGGAUAUAAAUAAAAUGGAUUGAGCUCCAUGAUACAAUGAUAUUGUUGCCAGGUUGCACUCCAAGUACAAUAGUUUAGAAAAGAAAAAUUAAUGAAGAAACUAUGAGAUAGAAGGAGAGGAUAUAGUGGCUGUGCCUUGAAGACUUUGUAUUUUAAAAUACCAAUAAAACUCGAAGAAUAAACUUAAAUAAUUUGGAUCAAGAUUGCACUUUAAGAUGAAACACUAAUUAGUGGCCUUUAUGUAUAACUUAAUAAUUUGAUAAAUAACUUCGCACUAGCAAAGCCAAGAGUUUCAUUUAAACCCCUAAGAUUCAAAUAUUCUUUCCCCCUUUACUACUGGCAAAAUUUGGCAAUCGAUAUUUCGGAAGACAUCACACAUGUCAAAAAAAAAAAAAAAUAGCUAGUCCCAUCAAAAUCACCAAAUGCAAUCCAAUAACAUGCUCCACUUAAGUAUAGACUUUCAUGAGAAUCGACGGAAAAAAUAAAUAAUAAUAACUUCAUUUAGUUAAGCAAAUAACAAUUUGUGAUUGUUCGUUAAUCUUAUUAAUAAUCUAAUUCUUAGUUUCUUACUAUUGUUCUUUUACUUGAUUAUAUUGUCGAAUCUUUCUGAAAAAGAUUGUUUUUGUAAUUGACAUGUUUAAAGUUUAAACAAAAAAAAAAAAGAACUAAAUCCAAAUCAAAUAUAAAUACAAAUCCAGGUUCUAAAAAAAUCAAGUACAAAUACAAAAUCUAAAUUCUAAAACUUAAAGUUUCAAAGCGAACAUCAAGGAAUCAACAUCCCACGAAGCAACACGAACGGCGAAGGCGAGCUAGUUCAACCUGUAUCGGGGCUGGUUACUGGUCGCGAUAGCAGCUAGUGAUGAUGAACAUUGAACACAGCCACGAUCACGAUUAGCGAAGGUGGCGUUCAACUCGUAUCACAACUUGUUACUGGUUGUGACAGAGAAGAAGAAAUGAUGGCUGAUGAUGAUGAUGAGAUUAACACAACCGCAAAGAUAGUGAAGCGAUGACGACGAUGAUUUAAUUUGAUGAAGAAAAGACCUGAAAAGAGACAGACAGGAAAUGUUUGGCCUUGGCAGCCGCAGCUAUGAAUGCAAGUAGGGCACUUGGGCUUUUUUUGUAUUUUUCUAAUUGUAUUAUAUAAUCUAAAAAAAUUAAUAUUAAAAUAAAAGCUUCCGGGUCUAGAUUCUGUAUCUAUGGGUUAACAUAAACCCAGACCCGGACCUGGAUACGUCUGGGUUCAUUAAAUUGCAUCCGAAUUCCAUAUAAAAUUUGCUCCAGUAUGGGUUGAAGCCAGCCUAUUCUCUGGGUUCAUCUAGGUUUGGGCGGGGAUCGGAUUAAAUUGGCAUCGCUUUUAUGUCCAAAUUAUCAAUAAGAUCCUUUGGUGUUAGUAAAUUCCUUUAUCACGUAAAUGGUUUCAAUUUUGAACAUAUUAGUCCUAUUCCAAUUUUCAACCGUUCCCAAUUUUAUAACUCCAUUUAUUAAUAACAUUGUCUUAAAAGUUCAUCAUUGCACGGCACUAGAAUGAUUAUAAGGUUUAAUAUUUUUGAAUUAUGAAGCUCGUUCUCAGUAAGACAAGGCUAUUUGCACUCUAAAACUUAGUCUAAACAAUCUGUCACCUUGGAUACUCAUGUACUAAAUUUAAAAAGAUUAAGUUUUAUUUUCUUCACACUUUAAAAUACCUAAAAAGACCUUAUUGAAACUCGCUAAAUUAAUUUACUCAAAACACCAAUCAAACUAUUUAGCACAUCCAAAAUGAAUUAGUAAUAAUUUAGAAUACACUGCAAUGGAAUCAAAGUAUGUUCUAAAGAAAUUUUUUUAACAUAAGUUUUAUUUAUUAGCUUUUGUUUAUUAAAGAAUAUGUUCAGCAUUGGUUUUUAAACCCCAAACUUUUAACCCAACAAUUGGAAAAAAUGGUUAUUUGGCCCAAAAAGGGAAAAAAAGAAAGAAAGAAAGAAAGAAAGAAAGCAAGAAAGAAGAAAAGAACACAAAGAAGAAGGAGAAGACUGCAAAAAAUAUUUUUAAAAAACUAAAAAGCAUAAAUAUGUUCAAAAUAUAUUAAAAGUAUUCAUUUGCUCCUAGCUCCUAGUUUAACUAAAUAUUGUUUAAGAGAUUGGAAAUAAAAUUUCUAGGGCUUAUGCCAAAAGAAUUAUAUAUUCAAUAACAAGUGUGCUAUAUGAGUAUUUAGAGUAAUUAUAUAAUGUUAAUUUAUAAGAAAGAGUCCUUAUUAGUAAUUCAUAUGAUGUGUAUUUUUGUAAUAGAAUAAUUUAUUAAAAUAAAAAUGUGCAGAAUAUUUUUUGUAUUGUAAAUAUGUAAAUAUUCUCACCCUUCUCAAUAUAUUGACUUGAGUGAUAAUUUUAAAUUGCAUCAGAAUGAGCUAAAAGAAGAGGAAUUGUCGAAAUUCAGCUUAUGGCAAUUGAACAAUUAAUGGUUAAGAAAUACAGUAAAUCAAUAAUACUAAAACAUAAACAUAAUAAUUAAAGACUACCAUUAAAAUCUUUUUAGGAAUUUAUCUUGCAAACCAUCUAUUAGACGUCAAAAAUAUAAUUAGCCACCAAAAAUUUAAGAUAAUAGCUCUGCACUGUUGAGUGUUAGAAAAUGUAUAUUUAUAAAGGAGAAAAUCGUCAUUUUACACUUCCAAGUUUUACUAACACUUAUACUUUUAUGUAUUUUAGUCUCUUGUAAUUUAAUUAUGUGUAUUUGAUUUUAAUUAUGUAUUUUAUGCAUUUUAGGAGUUUCAUGGUCAUUUCACAAUGAACGAGAGCGGCAAAACGACAAAACGGACAUCACUUUUGAUGAAACUUAUUUUAAGCAGAUAGUGGGAAGUCUCAUGUACCUCACCACCACUAGACUUGAUAUGAUGUUCAUUGUGAGUUUAAUUAGUCGUUACAUGUCUAAGCCUAUAGAGCUACAUCUGCAAGUACCUGAAAUAGCUCUUAGGUACUUGAAUGGCACAAUAAACUAUGAGAUACUUUACAAGAAGGGUGGAGCUGAAGAGCUUCUUGCAUUCACUGACAGUGAUUACGUCAGGGAUGUCGAGGAUAGGAGAAGCACCUCAGGAUAUGUUUUUUUAAUGAAUUCUGGAGUUGUGUCCUGAUUGUCAAGGAAGCAACCACUAGUCACUUUUAGAGAUGGCCAACAGGCCGUGCCGUGCCGGCCCAGACCCAUCCAAGGAAGCCCACACGUGCUGGUGCUCGUGUUGUGCCUAAUUUUUGUUGCUUAGGCCUGGCUCAGCACCACUGAUACCGUGCCCACACGUGUCGUGCCGUGCCGUGCCCAGGAAAAAAAGCCCACUAAGUUUUUUUCAUUUUUUAUUUUUUUAAAAGCGUAUGCCAAGUUGUUGUCUUAUUUUUUUUAAGCCUAUGUACUUUUUUGGAUCCAUGUGCCUUUAUUCAAAUUUAAUAGAAUCAAAAAUUCAAAACUCAAGUCUAUAUUCAAUAAUAAUAAAUUAAUAAUAAUAAGAGAAUGUAAUAUUAGUUACUAAAUUUGACGUUGUGGUAUUAGAAUUCUUUUUUAGUACCUAACAACAACAAUAAUAAUUUUUUUAAGGGUUAACUUAAUUGUUAAUUUAGAAUUAUGUACAAUCAUAUAUCAUAGUUUAUAAUAAUAUUAAUACAUAUUUAUAAAAUCAUGAUAUCAAUUAUUUAAUUAAUAAAUUAUAAACAUAAAUCAAUUAUAAUUUUUUUGAAACUAAGAAUUAAAUAAAUUUAAAAAACUUGAGCUAAUAAAAUAUAUUAAAAGAUUCAAUUUCAAGUUAUUUAUAAAAUCAUAAAAUUUUAAGUUUACUUUCAUUAAAAAAUGAAACGUACUUAUUGCGUGCUUUUUCGCGUACCGUGUUUUUAAGGCCCAUGUGCUUAAAAUUCUAAGCCCGGCCCAACCCACGUGCGUGCUGUGCCAUAUCGUGUGCUCUACGGAAACGUGCUCAUGCCAUACCAUAUUGUACGGACACGUACCGUGCCUCGUGCCAUCCAGCCCAUUAGCCACGUCUAGUCACAUUAUCAAUCACUGAGGCUGAAUUUGCGGCAGCUGUAGCCUAUGCUUGUCAGGCUGUUUGGAUGAGAAGAAUACUACAGUAGGAUUAUUUGCUGGAAUAAAUCCCUAACUUUUAGGGUGUUAGUUGCAUUGUUUGACAUUUUCUUUGUUACUUGUACCACAAUGCUUUAGUUGUGCAUUAGUGGGCUAUUAUUUCUCUUUUUCUGUUACUUUGUAAAGCUAUUUAAGCCAAGUUCAUCUAUUCAAUAAAGUAAGCAAUUUUCAAAUUGUUUAGAGUUCUUGAUUUGCAAUUUCUUCUGCGAUCAUUAAUUUCCUACGCCAGCAACUAGCUGUUAUUUGGCAGUUUUAGUUAUGGGUUUGGAAGAUAUAGCUUUUGGAACUAAUUUUUUUAAAAUUGAUUUUGGAACGUCAGUUUUGUUUACGUUUCACGACUCACACGUGUUGUGGAGGUAAAGUUAAAUUAAAUUUUGUAUUUUUCUUUUGUUGAAUUGAAAUUGUUAAUUUUAAUUUUCUAAUCAACAAAUGAUUUUAAUUUUUUUUGGAAUUACCAUUGUUAAUUAUAGAAAUGUUUAUUCAUGAUGAAAAUUUUCAUCUCAGACUCAUUAUGGUAUAAUUGUACUGGUCUCUACACCCAAUCUAUGUUAGGUAAUAGUCGUUUUUUGUACUCUCAUUAAUGAGAUAAUUUGACAACACUAAUGAUUUGAAUAAUACAUAAAGUGUCGCAUCAUUUGAGAUAAUUUUUAACCAUAUAUAUUGUUAUUCUAUAAAAAAAAAAGUGUUGGAAAAAUAGGAUAAUGAGUUGCUAUUUAAAAACAUAAUUUUGAGUGGUAUACACUUAGUGUGAGUAGAAAGUCAAUAAUAAUUCGAAAUCUCCUCCAUGAGUACUCCAAAAUGAUGUAUUUGUAUACUGAAUAUGAUGUUGGUUAAAUAGGAAAUUGAUCCUCAAAAUAAAGCAAGAGUUACAGAGAUUGUAAUGGCUAGUUAAAUUCAAAAUUAACUAUGCAAUCCAUUCCAAGAAUUUAUUAUUUGUAACUGCUAAUUAAAUGUAGAAUUUAUUAUGAGAUUAUAAUGGUCAAUUAAAUUUAGAUUUUGAUAUAAAAUUAAAUCCAAAAUUUAAUAUAUGAUUAAUGAGGCAGCGAUUACAUUUUGAAUUUAAUUUAAAGAUUUAAUAAGCAGCGCUUUUAAUGGAUAUUAAAACCAACGGUUAAAAGUGUGUUUAAUAAGAUAUUAAAUUGCAUCUGAAGAAAACUUAAAGCAAUCAAAUUUGUCACCAAAAUGCCGUGAUAUAAUUCUAUAAAUUGGCAUAUUCUUCUACCGCAUUUGUAGAGACACGAGAUAGUGUAAGUGGUGGAAAAUAAUGAGAAUACAAGUGAAGAUAGAUUGAAGAGUAGGAAUAGAUGAUCUGCAAUUCAUUCUUUGUCAUAUAUCCAUUUUGAUAGAGUUUUAAACACAAUUGAAAUUCGCUGCGAAAUAACCUAUUGCCGCACCAAAGCUAUCCAUCACCAUUGUAUCCUGAAAACAGAUGCCAUUCGAAUCCUAAGACACCCAAAGUAGGAAGCAAAGCUUUUUAAACAAACUAUGCUAUCACAUAAGCCUCCAUUUGCAUUCUAUUCUUUGGUUUUACUUUAUGUUAUUAUUUCAUUGUAGUAAUUAUUAUUUCUGCACUUAUUAUUCUAUAAAGUCACAAUUUAUGAUUUGUAAUUUUAGAAUCUGUUCAUCCUAUAUCAGUUGUAUAUAAUGUGUUUUUCUCUUGCAAAAAUUUGAUGAAAUCUUAAUCCAUUUUGAUUUCUAAAAAGGGGAGAAAAAAAAUAAAAUAGAUUAGUAAUGCGUCAGCUUUCCAACGGCUCAUUUGUGACUUUUUUUAUUUUUAGUCUUUUAAUCACUAACCCUCUCAUGAACACUAGAUAGCUAUCAUGUUCAUGCAAUACAAGUCACUUUCAAGAAGCCUUGCUAUUGAAAUGGUAGACAUGCAACACUCAAAAUCUCAUGCUCAAGAGCAUGGCGGUUCGAGUCCUCUUCAAGGCAUAAUAUUGAGAAUGCUCGUUGAAUGAGCAAUUCAAUAAGAGAUCUCGGAUUGAACUAAUAUAUUGAUUCAAAUUUGAGUGACUAAUUAAAUAAAACUGCUUGAAAACUACACCUGCAUAAGUCCACGUGGGUUCUCAAGUUCUAUGUUAACUAUUAUUCUUCUCGGCAAGUAUCAAUUCUUCUAUUGCAGAUGCCAUUGUUGCAGAAUAGAAGUCAGUUGAAGCUCUUAAUAUUAUGAUUGAAGUUUAUGCAAGUGCAGAUUGCAGACAGCAGAUAUCGACUUGAAGCCUCAUGUAUGGAAAUAAAGAUUGGUUUUCAACCAAAUAUGACGACUGGGACAAUGUCGGGUGGUUAAGGAAGAUGCAAUGGUCGUCUCAAAAAAUUGGGUUUCAUUGGCCAGAUAGGACUGCGAUGUCAACUUUUUUUUUUCUUUAAUAUGAUUAAGAAUGAAAGAGUAAUUUUGACACAUUGACUUGGGCUUGUGAUUGUUAAUAAAUUUAUUACUUCUUUUCAUUAAUUUGACCUGCAUAACAAUUAAUUGAGUGAUUUUUAUUUUUCAAGAUACUUGCUACCCUCCCGAGUUCGAAUCUUCGGUUGAAAAUUUUGAUUUAAACUUAGUCUUCAUCUCUCAUUUAUAAAUAAUAAAUUAAUUAAUUAAUACAUAAAUAAAUAAAACCUACGUGAAUGUAGAAAUGAAUCAGAUGAAAAGUAAAUAUUGUAUAAAUACCCGCAUAAUGUGGUUCAGCUGCUUUGAAUAUUAUGCCAAGAAUAUGCAAAUCUGUUGGUUAGUGUUGACUUUGAACUACCUGAAGUACACAAGGGACUUUAACAUAGACUUAAUAACCAGAGGAAUUUCUGGCAAUUUAAGAAAAAAAGGGAACUAAGAUUCAUUUGAUUAUUCUUCCUCCCUGAACCUUAACAAAGAAAUUAAUUACAAAAAUAGUUUUUUGAAGUCUUUAAAAGUAAACCUUUCAGGAUCUCUUCAGAGAGCCGAAGAAAUGAAACAUGAGAAAACUUUGAAGUGCAAAGUAAUUUGGAGCUUACACAUCUUGAAACUCUUAAUCGGUGAAGCAACUGUGAUGUAACCUAACAGAAUGAUUAGAAUUUUCUGACUAUAUAUGUUAACCCAUCCAUCAUAUUAUCUAUAUGUGUAUUCAGCACAAACCUUUUAAUCUUGUAAAAACUCAAAAUGGAGAACUGUUUUUCGUUCAAUACUUGCAGCCUUUAGAAGCUCAUCAUGUCCUUCACAAGUCCCAUUGUCCAGUGUCGCAAGAGUUUGUUAAAAUCAUGAAUCAGUAUUGUGAAUUGGGUUAGUUAUAUUCUAUUAAGUUCGUUGCUAUUUCUCAAAAAAAAAAAAAAAAGAAAGUUCGUUGCUGAGGUGGGUUGAUGAGCUGGCGUUUGUGGGACCCUUAGUGGUUAAGUUGUUACAACAGUCCUACAAGUUUUUGGAAUUAAAUAUAAAAGAAAGCAAUGCUGGCCGGUGCAGCACCUAACGAAAAGAUCUUGACUAGCUUUGAGAUAGAUUUUGUUAAUUCUUCAUUGAAGGGAUUUAUUCUCUGUGAUCUCAAGAAUUGUAGUAAUCAAUAUCUUAAUAAAAGCUUAUUAUCAGCCAUGGAUAUAGGUACUAUGGUACCAAACCACGUAAUAUUACAAUGUUCUUUUUCUCUGCUUUUUUAGUUUCUUUGUCAUCUUUGUUCUUUGUUCUUUGAUCUAGUGUCAUUAAUUCUUUGCGCCAUUAAUUGGACUGGUUAAUUGGCUAGUCUGAUUAAGAGCUGAAAGAGAAGAAAAGGCCUUGAUUCAUAACAAAUUGGUGUCAGAGCCUUGGAGCUCUUUGCUCUUGAUCUUCAAAUGGCAAAGUAUCAGAUUUGAUCUCAAAAAAUUCAAUGGUGAAAAUAAUUUCUACUUGUGGAGUCUCACAAUGCGUGCAAUUCUAUUUCAAGAAGGGCUUGAUAGUGCUCUUGAUGAUGAUGAAUAUCCAAAGGAUAAGAAAGAGAAUGAAGAAGGUUCAUCAAGUUCCGGAGGAGACAUGGGGUCCAUUAACAAUAAGGCUCACAACAACAUCAUCUUACAUCUUUCAAGUGAAGUCCUGAGAGAAGUGGGAAAAGAAGAGACUGCUUCUGGUCUAUGAGCAAAACUUGAAGAGCUAUUCUUGAAGAAAUCUUUGGCCAAGAGCCUCUGUAUGAAGAUGAAGAUGUACACAUUUUCAAUAAAGGAGGGGACAACUAUGAAAGAUCAUUUGGAUGAGUUCAACAAGCUGAUAUUGGAUCUUAAGAAUGUUAACAUUGUUCUUGAAAAUGAGGAUAAAAUUCUUAUCUUGCUAAGCUCACUUCUAGAUUCAUAUAAGCAUUUUAUGGGUACUUUGCUGUAUGGAAGACAAUCACUCACUUUGAAGAAUGUGAAAAAUGCAUUGGAAUCUAAAGAUUUAAAGAAAAGAACAGAAAUAAGGGAUUAAAAUCUUAGAGAGGGCCAUAGUUGUCAGAUUCAGAUUAGAGAAGAAAGCCAAUAAAGAGAAAAAGAAUAAUAAUCAGAGGGAUAAAGUUGAUAACAAGAAGAAAAAAAAUGCUACUUAUAUCAUAAAGAAAGACAUUAUAUUAAGGAUUGCUUUGAGAAGAAAAAGCUUAAGAGGCUGUAAAAGGAACCAAAUGGGAAGGCUGCCAUUGUAUUUGAAGAUGAGGGAGAUUCAGAAGGAGCAGAUGUCCUUAUUACACUGAAAAAUAACUUACUGGUGAGUGGAUACUGGACAAUGUAUGUUUUUUUUUUUCAUAUGUGCCUAAAUAGAGAUUUGUUCAAGACCUUUGAAAGCAUUGAUGGGGGCAAAGUCUUGCUUGGAAACAAUCUUUCUUGUAAGGUUGCUGGAAUUAGAACCAUUAGUAUCAAGAUGUUUGAUGGGGUAACUAAGGAUCUAAAACCAGUGAGAUUGAAAACUUUUCUAUAUUUCUCUAUAUCGUAAAAGGUAACACAAAUUCCUCUUAUAGAAGAGAAUACAUAAAAUUGGGAAACUGACAAUAAAUUAGCUAUCUAGUUGUACUAACUAUUUCAUAAUUUACACCAUUGACCUAUUCUUAUUUACAGCUAACAAUCCUCUCUAACUACAAAUAUUUCUUUCCUUUUCUACACUCCCCCUCAAGCUGGUUUGAAGCUAUCCUCCAUAGCCAGCUUGCCAAUUAGCUCGUUGAAUUUCCGAGUAGGAAGCCCCUUAGUAAGUACAUCUGCAACUUGCUGAGUAGUGGGAAUGUAAGGCAUACAUAUUAACCAUUUCUCAAGUUUUUCCUUGAUGAAAUGACAUCUUUAUUGUCACAAUACACUUUCAUAGGUAGUGAAUUAGAAACUUUCAAUUCUUCUAAGAGUCUUUUAAUCCACAACACCUCACAAAUCCCGAAAGCAGUUGAUCUAAACUCAGCUUCUAUGCUGCUUCUUGCCACCACAUUCUGUUUCUUACUUCGCCAUGUAAAAAGAUUGCCACCAAUAAACGUGCAAUAGCCAGAAGUUGAUCGUUUAUCAACAACACUUCCAAUCCAAUCCGCAUCAAUAUAGACUUCAACUUGCAAGUGCCUACGAUUAUUUAAUAACAAACCGCAUCCAGAAGUCCCCUUCAAAUACCUGAGAAUUCUAUAGACUGCAUUGAAGUGUUCUUGUCUAGGGGAAUGCAUAAACUGGCUAACCAUGCUCACUACAAACGCUAUAUCUAGACGAGUAUGCGAUAAGUAAAUCAGUAUUCCAACAAGUCUUUGGUAUUGUUCUAUGUCCAAGACUUCUUCAGGUUUAAGAGGCUAUAAUUUAAGGUUGAGCUCAAUAAGUGUUUCUGCUGGUUUACACUCUAGCAAGCCCAUUUCAUUAAGCAAAUCAAGGACAUAUUUACGUUGAUUCACAAAUAUACCUUCUUUGGAUCUAGCAAACUCCAUUCUGAGAAAGUAUUUCAAUGUCCCUAAAUCCUUGAUCUCAAAGUCAGCUGCAAGUCUCUUCUUCAAUUUUUCUAGUUCUUCACUGUUAUGAUAUGUCAUGACUAUAUCAUCCAUAUAAACAAUUAGUAUAGCAACUCUACCUUCUCUACCAUGUUUAUAGAACAUAGUAUGAUCAGCUAGGCUUUGACAAUACCCACAAUUCUUUACAUAUUUCCCAAAUCUCUCAAACCAAGCUCUAGGGGACGCUUGAGGCCAUACAACAACGUUUUUAGUCUAUAGACUUUCAUUGAUCCCAAAUUCUUCUCAAAACUAGGUGGUAGACUUAUAACAAUCUCUUCCUUAAGAUCACCAUUCAAAAAGACAUUUUUUUUACAUCCAAUUGGUGUAGUGGCUAGUUCAGAUUUACAGCCAAAGAUAAUAGAAUUCUAAUUGAGUUUAUCUUGGCUACCGGAGCAAAGGUCUCCUGACAAUCAAUCUCAUAGGUUUGAGUGAAUCCCUUAGCUACUAAUCUUGCCUUAUACAUUUCUAUGCUACUAUUCGCUUUACACUUGACAGUAAAGACCUAUUUGCAAGCUACAGUCUUCUUCUCUUUAGGCAAAUCGACUAAUCUCUCAAGUACCAUUUCUCCUAAGAACAUUCAUCUCUUUUAUCACUGCCAAUUUCCAAUUUGGAUUACCAAGAGCUUCCUGAAUGUUUCUUGGGAUAAAAAAGUGUGAGAUUUUUUAGGUAAAUGCCCUAUCAGUAUGAGAAAGUUUGUCAUAAGAAAGAUAUUGAGCAAUGGGAUAUCUAGGAUUCUUAGUGAGAUUUCGGAUUCCUUUUCUAAUGGCAACAUGAAUAUUAAGGUUUGAUGAUUCUUUGCUAGGGAAAAGCAUGGGAAUUGAAGAUGAGUUAGGAUUGAAAAUACAUGUGAUAUUUGUAGGUCCAAUCCCCAAGGGUUGUGAUUGAUCGUUACCAAGAGUAACUGGCAGCCUUUGAGUUUUUUUUAUGAUGUUUUCUUUGAGUAUAAACCAAAAGCUCAGUUGUUAGAAUCAUUUUGAUACGACAGUAGUAGUGAUUCUCCCCCUAUUUCAGAUACAAUAAUGUUUGGCAUUAUAUUACCAGAACUUCCCUCAUUGUUCUCAGUGUUUUUAUCAUCACGUUGUUCUUGACUUUGAAGGCCAGAAAUGGUAGGAUGAGAGGAAUGAGGUAUAGUAGUCAAAAUUAUUUUUGGUAAAGAGUUAGAAGAUAUAUCCCAAAACGUUUCUUCCAUUACCUCAUACUCCCCCUAAAUAGAAUUUUUUUGAAAGUAGGAUUUUUUUUUUCAAAAACCGAGAUAUCUAUACUCACAUAAAAUUUCCUUGUUUGGGGAUUAUAGCACUCAUAUCCCUUUUAUUGGAGGCAUGCCCUAUGAACACAUAUUUUUCUGCCCUUGGAUCAAGUUUGUACUGAGUGUUAUUAGGUAUACGAACAAAGAUAGUAUAGCAAAAAACUUUAGACGUAAAUCUGAGUACAUUCUAGAUAGGGGAAAGCAUUUUUUAAAACAUUCUAGAGGUGUACUAUAUUUUAAAACACAUGUAGGCAUCCUAUUAAUUAAAUAAGUUGAUUUUAAAACAGCUUCUCCCCAAGAUAUUUUGGAAUAUUCAUCGAAAACAUUAUAACACGUGUUACUUCAAAUAAAUGUUUAUUUUUUCUUUCAGUAGUCCCAUUUUGCUGAGGCAUAUCUACACACGUGGACUGGUGAUAAAUACAUUUUUCUUUAAAAUUUUUUCCAAAAUACCUUUAUAGUACUCGGUUCCAUUAUCAUUGUGAAGAACCCUAAUUUUCUUUUGAAAUUGAGUUUCAACCAUUGUGUAAAAGUCUUUAAAAUUUUUUCCAACUUCAGAUUUUUCACUCAUUAAGUAAACCCAACAUAGACGGGUGUGAUAAUCUAUAUUAAGUAAACCCAACAUAGACGGGUGUGAUCAUCUAUGAAUGUGACAAGCCAUUUUUUCUUUGAAAUAGUAAUAACUCUUGAAGGUCCCCAAACAUCACUACGUAUUAAAUAAAAUGGUUUUGAAGGAAUAUAAGGUUUUGGCAAAUAAGUAGUACGAUGAAUCUUAGAUAAGCAACAACUUUCACAGUAAAAUGAUGAAAAAUCCAAACCCUUAAAUAAAGUAGAAAACAAAUGUUUAAGAUAUUGAAAGCUAGAAUGUCCCAAUUUUAAAUGCCAAAGCAUUAUUUGUUCAUAAACAGAGUUAGAACUAACACUACUAAAGCCCUAAGAAAUCAUCAUCAAAGUAGUAAAGGCCACCAAUCAACUUAGCACUGCCAAUCUUCUUCCUCGAGGUUUGGUCCUGAAAUUCAUAGUAAGAAUCACAAAAAAUCACUCGGCAAUUAGAAUCUUUAGUUAUUUUACUCAUGGUUAAAAGAUUACAAGCUAACUUGGGAACACGAAGAAUAGAAUUAAGGUUUAAUUUUUUGGAUAAUUUAAUCAAACCUUUCCCUACUAUUGGUAACAAAGUACUAUCUGCAAUUCUUAUUUUGUCAAGACCAAAAGAUGGUGAGUAAGUGCAAAACAAAUUUGAAAGGUUGGUCAUAUGAUCAUAAGCUCUUGAAUUUAUAAUCCAAGGAGCAUAAUUUGACAUGAAGAAAGAGCAUUGGGUGUGCUACCUAUUUGUGCAAGAGAAACAGUAGGAAUACUACUUGGUGAGUAAUUGGGUUUUAGCAACUGCAGAAGGUAAUCCAUUUGCUCCUUGGUGAAAGGGCCUGUCUCGGCUUUAUUUGCAGUAGAAAUCAACCAGGUAUUUUUAUCACCAGGCUUGCUGCUCUUUUAAUUUGCUAGUUUUUCUUGGAUUUUCCAGCAUGUUUCUCAAGUAUGACGUGGUUUGUUGCAAUAGUCACACCAUACCCGUAGAUUCUCUUCAGUUUUAUGCUGAAAUCUAGCUGUUUUGUUAAAAACAACCAAUGCACUAAGAAGGGCAGAACUUUCAGUAGGCUCGUCAGUUGUCUUCUUUCCUAGCAUUACAUGUCUACGACUUUCUUCUCUUCGAACCUCAAUAAACACCUCGCCAAUUAGAGAAAGUGGCUUCCUGCCAAUGAUCCACCCCUGAACCUUAUCGAACUCAACGUUGACUCCUAUAAGAAACUUGUAAAUACGAGAAGCCUCAACAAUAUUGUUCUAAUAUUUGGCAUCUUCUGUGAAUUUCCAUUCAUAAUCGUUGAACAUAUCUAAAUCUUGCCGAACAGAUUAAGACUACCUUAAAUAAUUUUCACCAUUAAGGAAAAUAAUGGUAAUUUGAAUUAGAUAAGUAUCAGUAUUGGGAGUUUGGGUUUGUGUUGGAGAAUUGGUUGAAGCAGAUAUAAUCGAUUGAUUAUGAUGGCUCUGAUACCAUGAAAACUUUUCUGUAUUUCUCUAUAUCGUAAAAUGUUACACAAAUUCCUCUUAUAGAGGAGAAUACAUAAAAUUAGGAAACUGAAAAAAAAAUUAGCUAUCUAACUGUACUAGCUAUUUCCUAAUUUACACAAUUGACUUAUUCUUAUUUACAACUAACAAUCCUCUCUAAUUACAAAUAUUUCUUCUCUUUUCUAUAGAGAUAUAUGCCAGACCUUACAAGAAAUCUCAUAUAUCAAUGGAUGAUUGAUCAACUGGGCUGUAGCAUUAAGGUAGAAUAUGGUCAAAUACAAGUUAUAAAUAAGGGUGCUGUUAUUAUGAAGGGAAUUAAAAGGAAUGGUUUGUGUGUUCUGGUUGGGUCAUUACCUCAGUUAGGGGUAAAUGCUAGUGUAAGUAGUGACAAAACCAAACUUUGGCAUAUGAAGAUAGGACAUAUAAGUGAAAAAGGUUUGAAAGAACUAAGAAAGCAAGAGUUAUUUGGUCAUAAUCAAAUUUCCUCACUAGAGACAAAAGUUCAAGAGAAGAAGACAUGAAACAAAUAGACAUUGGAUUAUGUUUAUUCAGGUUCCAUCUCAUGGUGGAGCUAGGUACUUUAUUACCUUCAUGGAUGACUUCUCAAGGAAUCUUUGGGUUUAUGUGUUGAAACAUUAAAGUGAAGCCCAAAAAAAAUUCAAGGAAUGGACAGCCCUAAUGAAGAACUAAAUUGGAAGAAAAGUGAAGAGAUAAAGAACAGACAAUGGCCUGGAGUACUGCAACAGUGAGUUUGAUGAGUUUUGUAAGAAGCAUGGCAUUAUGAGGCAUAAGACAGUAAAACAUACACCACAGCAAAAUGACCUUGUUGAAAGAAUGAACAAAACCUUAAUUGAGAAAGUCAGAUGAUAUUAUUUAGUUUUAAUCUCUUUAACCAUUUUUGGGCUGAAGCAAAUUGCUGCAUAUCUUAUCAACAAAAAUCCCCCAUCAGCUUUGGAGUUUAAAACUCCACAAGAAGUCUAGUCUGGCAAACCACUUGAUCUAAGUAACCUAAGAAUCUUUUGUUGCCCAGCUUAUGCACAUAUAAGUUUGGGAAAGCUAAAACCAAGGGCUGUUAAAGGUUAUUUUAUAGGAUAUUCUGAAGGAAUUAAAGGAUAUAAGAUUUAAAGUAUUGAUGGGAAGCCUAUUAGAACCUUUAUUAGUAUAGAUGUUGUGUUUAAUGAGGAGGUAUUGAUACAGACAAAAGUUAAAAUAGAGAUCUUUACUAAUUUUAAAGGAAAUUCACAUAUGAUGGUGGAGUCAAUAGAUACUCAGAGAUCCAGAGAAGAGAGAGAAUAAAGAGUGCACAAACAUUCAGAAUUAGAAGGAUAUCAUCUUGUAAGAAAUAGAGAAAGAAGAGUUACUGUAAGGCCUAAAAGAUAUGGUAUUGUUGUUUUAAUCUCAUAUGCAUUUAUGGUUAUUGAUGAUGUAAGUGGUUGAGAACUUAUCAGCUACAAAAAGGCCGUGAGUAGUAAGGAGAAGUCAAAAUGGCUUGUAGCAAUAAAAGAAAAAAUUGCCUCUUUCAAGAAAAAUAAUACGUAGAUCCUAGUUGACAAACUUUUAAACAAGAAACUGGCUAGCUAUAAAUGGGUUUUCAAGCUCAGAAAGUGAUCAUGGGCAACCUAAAUAUAAGGCUAGACUUGUAGCAAAAAGGUUUACACAAAGGGGAGGAAGCAUUUUCACCAUUAGUUAAACAUAGCUCUAUAAGGGUUUUAUUGGCUAUCACUGCAUUCUUAUAUCUAGAAUUAGAUCAAAUGGAUGUCAAAAUAACCUUUUUGCAUGGUAACUUAGAUGAAGAAAUUCUAAUGGACUAAUCAGAAGGAUUCAUUAAAGAAGGAACUAAAGAUAUGGUUUGCUUAUUACAUGGCUCGAAAUAAUCCUUAAGACUAUGGUAUUUAAGGUUCGAUGAAUUUAUGAUCACUCACGGAUACUUUAGAAGUCAAUAUGAUAGUUAUGUGUACUGCAAACUUUGCCUUUUAGAGGUACUAUAUAUCUUCUUUUAUAUGUUGGUGACAUGCUUAUUGCAUGAAAACAAAGAGAAGAAAUAGAGAGGCUUAAAGAUGAACUAAGUUCUGAGUUUAAGAUAAAGAACUUAAGCCCUACAACAAGGAUUUUAGGAAUGCAGAUCAUAAGAGAAAGAAGUGAAAAAACUUUGUUCCUUUUCACAUGCUGAUUAUGUCAGAAAGGUGCUUAACAGAUUUGGUAUGCUUAGUUCUAAACUUGUUACUAUACCUUCUUGCACAUUUCAAACUGUCUAAACAACAAGAACCAACUGAAGGAGCAGAUGUUGAGCACAUGAUGAAAAUACCUUAUUCUAGUGUAAUGGGGAGCAUCGUGUAUGCUAUGGUUAGUCUAGAUCCGAUGUUUGCAUAUGGAAUAAGAGUUUUCAGCAAGUUUAUAAGAAAUCCAGGGAAAAAACAUUGAGAGGUUGUUAAGUGGAUACUUAGAUACCUUAAUGGUACAACUAAUAAUGGUAUUUUAUUUGGAGGAAUUAAUAAUACACAAGUAAAAUCUUAGGCUAUGUGGACUUAGAUUUUGCUGGCAACUUGGAAAAGAAUGCCAGUUACUGGAUUUGUCUUCACAUUGUAUGGAGGUGCAAUGAGUUGGAAAGAAUCACUGUAAUCAGUUGUUGCUUUAUCUAGAACUGAAGUUGAAUAUGUUGCACUCAUAGAGGCUACGAAGGAAACAAAAUGGCUCAGAGGCUUGGCAUCAGAAUUAGGAUUGAGGCAAGAGUCGAUUUCCAUUAGUUGUCAUAGUUCUACUGCAAUACAAUUGAGCAAAAAUCCAAAAGAACAUGAAAGAACAAAGCAUAUUGAUGUUAGGCUACAUUUUAUCAGAGAAGAAAUUGGUUUUGGUGUGGUGAAUAUUAUCAGAGAAGAAAUUGGUUCUGGUGUGGUGAAUAUUAUCAAAAUCCCCUUAGUAAUCAAUCCUACUGAUAAUCUAACAAAACUUUUGCUUGUAGUCAAGUUCAUGGGCUCUUUGAACUUGAUUAGGGUUGUUAGCUUGUAAGUCAAGCUAUGUGUUGCUGAUACAGAGUUUGGGUGAAGCUUGAAAAUAAUAUAAAUGAAGAGGAGAUUUGUGAAUUGGGUUAGUUAUAUUCUAUUAAGUUAGUUGCUGAGGUGGCUUGAUGAGCUGCUGUGUGGGACCCUUGUAGUUAAGUUGUUACACGGUCCUACAAGCUUCUGGAAUUAAAUAUAGAAGAAAGCAAUGCUGGCUGGUGCAACACCCGGAGAAAAGAUCUUGACUAGCUUUGAGAUAGAUUUUGUUAAUUCUUCAUUGAAGGGAUUUGUUCUUGUGAUCUCAAGAAUUGUUCUAAUCAAUAUCUUAAUAAAAACUUCAGGCCCAAAGGGGUAAUAUCAGCCGUGGAUGUGAAUACUUUUGUAGCAAACCACGUAAUAUGGCAGUGUUCUUUUUCUCUGCUUUCUUAGUUUCAUUGCCGUAUUUAUUCUUUGUUCUUUGAUCUAGUGUCAUUAAUUCUUUGUGCCAUUAAUUAGAUUGGUUAAUUGGCUAGUCUGAUAAAGAAUCGAAAGAGAAGAAAAUGCCUUGAUUUCAUAACAAGUAUUCUGUCCUUAAAGGCUUUAAGUCAAUUAUUUUCUUAAACAAUUUAAGAGAAACUUUAAUUGCUUCAGUCUUCACUCUUCAACGUAUAUGAGUCUCUAUGAUAAGAGUUUUCUCCAAAUUCAAAUCCAACUUUAGCACCCAAAUUUUUGGCCUAAAGGGAAAAAAAAAAAUUAAAGGCUUUACGUACUGGAUACUGAGGUACACACUUCACAUAUUAAUGUAAAAACUAAAAAGUUAACAUAUAUAUCAAAGGCUUUAUGAACUGGAUAAGAGUCUUGACAUUUUUAUGUAAAAAUUAACAUAUCAAAGGCCUUAUGAACUGGAUAAGAGUCGAUCAUUUACCCCCAUUGGGGACUGAUACAAAGUUAUUCCAGUUGGCGCACAAUGUCUUGCAAAGCAAGCAAACGUUCCCCUCACUAGAUGUAAUUGAACAAACAAUAAUCACAAUUUUUUUUUUUUGGAAAAGUAAUUAAUUCAUUGAUUAGUACCAAAAAAUCAUUGAAAUUUAAUCAAAUUAUACGGAGUUGCAUACCAUUUUUGCUCUUUGUUAAGAAUUGAUAGUCUCUUAAUAAGAUUAUAAUUGAAAGAAUUAGAAAUGGAAUGAGGAAGAUCUUUGGGUGAUGAUAAUGUAAACCACAAGUUUUUAAUAGGGGACACUAAAACUUUUUUUUUAAUAUAAUACCCUUUAUAAAUAGCAACUAAAAAAUUGACCUUAAAAAUUUUAAUAAAUAAAAUAUAAUUUAAAUAGUUUAAUUUUUCUAAUAGACUAAUAAUAUUAGAAUAUUUUUAAUAUAAAAAUAAUUUUAAAACUAUAAAUGAUUAUAUUUAUUUUAAUAAUGUAUUUAUAUUUAUUCUAGAAUUUUUUAAUAAAUAUCUAGGUUAAAUAAAUUUUUCUAAUAGACUAAUAACACAAUGCUCGCAACAUGGUAAGUUUACCGAUUUGAGCCCUGGAAGCAAUUUUCGCUCAGAGAGAAUUUUCAAAUCUUGUUUUGACAUAUGACCGAGUUUGAGGUGCCACAUCAUCGUUGAUUCUUCUCCAUUUGACGCAACGCACGCAUCAGUUUCCUAUAGUGUUUCUCUUUCAAGCACGAACAGAUUAGAACCGAUCUUUUCUACCUUCAUCAAUAUAAGCGCACCUUUAACAAUCUUCAUAAUCCCACUUUCAACAUGGGUUUUACACCCAUGACAAUAUAUUGUCCCAAAGACAAAAGAUUUUUCUUCAGGCCUUUGACAUGUCGUACCUCUUCAAUUGUAUGAACCGUACCAUCAAAUAUUUUUAUUUUGAUAGUACCAAUACCAGCGAUCUCCAAGGCAUGAUCAUCUCCCAUGUAUACAGAUCCUCCUGAGGUUUAUAUGUGUGAAACCAUUCUCUUUGAGAGGUCAUGUGCCAGGUAGCUCCUGAGUCUAUGAGCCAAAUGUCAGAUAGCCAUUUUCUGCCUUAUGAAAUAGUUGUUGCCUCACUGUAGAGAAUUUCGCCAUCAUCUGAGGUACUUGCCAUACACCCUUGAGCAUUUGAUGACUCGGAUUUAUUGUCUCCACUCUGCUUGUUUUUCCAACACUCUUUCUUGAAAUGCCCUUUCUUGCCACAAUUGUAGCAUUUGACAUUUUUCUUACUUCUUGAUUUUGAUCUACCAUAAUUGUGACUCCUACUGGGGCCACAUUCUAUUGAUUUCUCUCUCGUUAUUGAUAGUGCUUCUGCUUGCUGCGAACUUACUUGUUUGUCUUCCUUACUUUUUCGCCUACUCUCCUCAUUUAAUACGGAGGCUGCAACAUCAUCGAAAACUAGAUUGUCCGCUGGGUUGUUGUUUGUCAGGUUGAUGAUGAGUUGAUCGUAUGAAUCUGGUAGACUUUGAAGUAUAAGCUCUGCAUGUUCAUUUUCCUCUAUUUUAUGACCCAACGUUGUAAGUUGUGAAAAUAGAGUCUUUAAGGUGUUGAUGUGGUCGGUCACCGAUGUACAUUCUGCCAUUUGAAGAGUAUAGAGUCUCAUUUUUAAGAAGAUCUUGUUGUGCAGUGAUUUGGUCUUGUACAAUUUUGUGAGAGUAUCUCAUAUUUCCUUUGCUGUCUUUUUCUCUGCCACAUUGGAUAAUACUUCAUCCUCAAGUGCCAAGUAUAGAUCAGAAAUGGUGUUACCGUCUAUCUCGUUCUACUUGUCAUCAAUUAACUCUAUAGGCUUUUCUCCAAUUGCUGUCAAGCAAUUAUUUUUCCUCAAUACAACUUUUAUCUUCAUUUUCCACAACGAAAAUUUAUUUCCGUUGAAUUUCUCAAUUUCGUAUUUUACCGCCAUCGCUUUUCACCAAAAGCUAACUUUGCUAAUAUUGACUCCCACCGCUUCACGUGAACAGUAACCGUAUAAGUGAAUAGUAACCAUAUAAGUGAUAGCCGUAUACGUGAACAAUACUUUUAUGUGAACAGUACCAUGACUCCAAAAAAAAAUACAACAAGUAGCUCUAAUACCACUGUUAGGAAAUUAAUGGGUGAAACAAGGCCACAACUAAAAUGAAAUUGGAAGAAAAUUUAUAAGUAUUGUAAUACUUUGUCUCACUACCCAAAACCUUCUCACUCAAUAUACUCACAAGAGCUUUAUAAUUUUAACCUCUUAAAAUCACUCAAGAUCUUAGCUUUUUCUCUCACCAAAAUUGGAUGCCUAAAACAAAAUGGAGAGCUCCCUUUAUAUAGCCAAAAUUGGCUAUUAAAAAAAUUAUUAUUAUUUUGUCCGCCUUUGAUUUCUUCAUUCUUCUAUUUUCUUCUUUCUUCUUUCUACUUCGGUGGUGCCAAACCCUUCAACAUUUGCUGCUUCCAAAUUCUAUUUUUCUUUCCUUGGGCAGCACCUCCUUGGACUUCAAUUUGGGCAGCUUAUACAGCUUCUAGAUCUUCAAAAUAUGCUACUUCUUGAAGCCUUUUCGUGACACAUUGCCUAGUAGAUUUACUCAAUCACAAAUUGGGUGGUUACAUAAUAUGUUUGAAAACCUUUAAUUAAUAAAAUUCUUAUCUAUUUUCUUUCGUAAUACGAUUUACCUAAGUCUCUCUUAUGAAAUCAUUUGCAUUAAAGCGUAAAUAAUCUCAUUACUUUGGGGUAUUAUUUGUCUUGGACUUCUUCUUUGAUCUAUCACUAUAUUACUUACCUUGGGCUGUCUCACUAUUCUCGUGUAAUAUUAUCUGCCUUGAGUCAUUCAUUUUUGUAUUGAGUGGUGAUAUUAUCUCAUCAGUUUUUAUAUUAAUUUCUAUUUUGCCGUUGUAUGAAAUUACUUAUUUUUUUGAAUUACUAUAUUAUUUGCCUUGGGCCGCCUCACCAUUUUGUUGCAUAAUCUGCCUUGGGUCAUUCAUUUUUGUAUUGAAUGGAGAUACUAAAGAAAUGUGUUUUUAUUUCUUGAAAUAAAACAUUAUACACUGAGAGUUAUUUAUAGAUGCAGAUGCUAUAUUUUUUCAAAGAUUACAUAUGUGAAUACGGAAGGAAAUGUGUCAAUCCGUUCGGCGCGGAUCGUGUCUUUGAAAAAUGCAGAUUAUCCCUUUGACAAGUGCGGAUUAUGUCUUUGAAAACUUUCUCCAAUGCCAUUUUAUUCAACACUCCCCCUCAAGCUGGUGCAUAGAUGUCUUGCAUACCCAGCUUGUCUAGGAAUUUUGUAAAUGCCCUGCUUGAAAUGGCCUUCGUUAAAAUAUCUACAAGUUGAUCUUCUGAUCGAAUUUUCGGCAGUUCUAAGAUUUUUUCAUCUAAUUUCUCCUUGAUGAAAAAUCUAUCUACCUCGACAUGUUUUGUUCGAUCGUGUUGAACUGUGUUAUGAGCAAUAUCUCGUGCAGCUUUGUUGUCACAGUAUAGUUGUAUUGGUUGUUAUAAUGGAUAACCCAAAUCGUUUAAGAUAAAGCUUAUCCAUAGCCCUUCACAUACCCCAAGGGCCAUGCCUCGAUAUUCUGUUUCAGCGCUCGAACGGGCAACGACAUGUUGUUUCUUGCUUCUCCAUGUGACAAGGUUGCCUCCCACAAAGGUAAAGUAUCAUGAAGUAGAGCAUCUAUCACUAACUGACCCGGCCCAAUCUGCAUCAGUAUAAACUUCUAUGUUGUUGUAAUCUUCAUUUUUUGAAAAUAGGAUUCCUUUCCCUGGAUUUGUCUUCAGGUACCUCAGGAUCGGCAUUACUGCUUUCAUGUGUUGUUCUUCGGGAUUAUGCAUAAAUUGACUUACAAUACUCAAUGCAUAAGCAAGAUUUGGCCUUGUGUGGGACAAGUACAUCAAUCUUCCAAUCAGUCUUUGAUAUCUUCCUUUGUUUACUGGAACUUGGUCUGAGGUAAUACAAAACUUCAGUCCUUCUUCUAUUGGGGUGUCAAUAGGCUGACAAGCUGUUAUUCCUGUUUCGUGCAAUAGAUCUAAGGCAUAUUUCCUUUGAGAUAAAAAGAUUCCUCCCUUAGAUCGAGAAACCUCAAUUCCAAGAAAGUAUUUUAAGGCUCCUAAAUCCUUCAUCUCAAACUCUCUCGACAAGUACUUCUGAAGAGCCUCUCUUUCUUCCUCGUCGUUGCCUGUAACUACCAUAUCAUCUACAUAGACAAUAAGGGCAGUGAUUUUCCCUUGUCGUUUUUUAAUAAACAAGGUAUGAUAUGAAUUGCUUUGGUUAUGCCCAAAAAGAACCAUAACCUUUGUGAAUUUCCCGAACCAUGCUCUUGGGGAUUGCUUCAACCCGUACAAUGAUUUCUUCAAUUUGCAUACUUUCUGAUUGAGUCGUUCUGAUCCACUGCAUCCUGGUGGCAGAUCCAUAUAUAUUUCUUCAGACAGGUCUCCAUGGAGGAAAGCAUUCUUUACAUCGAACUGUUGCACUGGCCAAUCCAAGUUGACUGCUAAUGAUAACAAGAUACGAAUAGUAUUAUUUUUUGCUACCGAUGCAAACGUAUCGGUAUAAUCUAUCCCGUAGGUUUGGGUGUAACCCUUAGCUACAAGUCUUGCUUUGUAUCGUUCAAUAGAGCCAUCUGCUUUGUACUUUAUAGUGUAGAUCCAUCGGCAACCCACUAGUUUCUUUCCUGGUGGAAGAUCAACUAGUUCCCAUAUUUGAUUUUUUUGAAGAGAUCUCAUUUCGUCAUUCAUAGCCACUUUCCACUUUGGGUCUUUUAAGGCUUCCUGCACACUGUUAGGAAUAGAUACAAUAGAUAAUUGAUUCACAAAUGACUGAUUUGCUUCUGACAAGCGAUGGUUAGACACAAAAUGACUCAUAGGGUAUUUGACUCUACUAGAGAGGUUGGGCUCAUAUGUGGGUUUAGCGAUACCUCUAUUUUGACGUUGGGGAAGAAUUCUUCUGAUUGGACUUGUGGUAGGAACAUCCUCUGCAGACGAUUGGUUAGGUAUUUCUUCAUGUGACUCAUUCUCGAUUGCAGUUGUGUCUAAGUUAUUGUGCUCCCCAAAUGUGUCUUUACUUAUCUUAGCCUGAGAAUCAUCACCAUUUUCUUUUCCAGUAUCUUGAAGGUUUACUACCUCAAUGGAAGAUUGACCUUCUUCAGGUGGAAGAUACGUAAGAGUAUGAUUUUCCUCUUCAUUAUACUCCCCCUGAAAUUCAGGCUCUGACAAGUAGUACAUGAUAUCUUCAUGAAAGACGACAUCCAUGGUGAUGUAUAUUUUUCUUGAUGGUGGAUGAUAGCAUCGGUAUCCCUUUUGAUGUAAGGCAUACCCUACAAACACACAACGUAGUGCUCAAGGAGAUAAUUUGUAUUGUUGCAGCAAAUGUACGAAGGCAACACAGCCAAACACAUGUGGGGGUGAAUUUGGCACAUUUGGUGACAUAAUUGUAUCAUUCAGAACCUGGAAAGGAGUCUGGAAUCCAAGGGAGCUUGAAGGUGUUCGAUUGAUUAAGUAUACUGCGGAUGCCAGUGCUUCUCCCCAAUAAGAUAGUGGCAUGUGGGCUUGGAUUAAUGAUGCUCGAACAACUUCUAGUAAAUGUCUAUUUUUUCGUUCAGCAACGCCAUUUUGUUAGGGUGUCCCCACACAAGUGGUUUGAUGGACAAUUCCUCAUGAUUUCAUAAAUUGUUGAAUUGCUGUGCUUAUAUACUCGCCUCCAUUAUCAGUAUGUAGAACUCGAAUUUGUGUCUGAAAUUGAGUCGUCGCCAUCUUAUGAAAUCUUUGAAAUAAAGAGUUUACUUCGUCUUUCGAUUUCAUCAGAAAAAUCCAUGUCAUUCUGCUACAAUCAUCAAUAAAUGUAAGAAACCAACGAGCACCUCCAAUUGUAGAAACUUUAGAUGGCCCCCAUACAUAAGAAUAUACUACCAUGAAAGGAACUGGAUUCUUAUUUAAGGACAAUGGAAAAGUAGUUCGAUGGCUUUUUGAAAGUUCACAAACAUCACAUUUAAAGUUACAAACAUCAAGUUUCAGAAACAAACUAGGAAAUAAUUUUUUUAAGUAACCAAAUGACACAUGCCCUAAAUGUCUAUGCCAUAACCAAAUUUCUGAUUUCCCUUUUUUUAUGGUAUUAUCUGCGACUAGUGUGGGGCUUAGCUUUCCAGUGUUUGUUGAUGACAUCUCCAAGUAGUACAAGUUGCCUCGUCUAAUACCAUAACCAAUCGUUUGCUUCGUUUGGAUGUCCUUAAACACACAAUGAUCAGGCCAAAAAAUUACAACUGUUAGAGUGCAAUUUAAGCACUAGUUUUGCAUUGUUUACUUCCCUUAAUAUCGAUGUUUUGCACUUAAUAAUAGUGAUUUACUUGUGUUUUACUUUUGUAGGUGCAAUUCUAUUGAUUGGUGACAAAAUUAAGCUACAAGAUUAUAUUUAAUGAUGAUUGUUCUCUUGGAGAAAUUAUGAGCGUCAGAAGAACUUUAUUGAUAAGGCGUGGGCACAUGCUGUCAACUACGAACCUGCAGUUUUUAGUUUAAACGUGUUUUGUAUUUUUGGUUAUUUUUGUAAUUACGAAUUUAAUAUUUCAGAUAUUAGUAUUUUAUUUUAAAUAGAAUUCUAGAGGAGAAGAGAGGGAGAGUAUUUAAGGGAGGAAUCUAUUGUGAUAAGGGAGAUGUAUGUUUUAUUAUUGUCAACGAAACCCCCAUUUUAUGUUUUACGUUUUAAAAGGAUUUAAAUAAUUACCGAUCUCUGUGGACACGACCUUGCUCAAUCACUAUACACAAUUUAUUUAGAGUAUGUAUUUAUUUUUGCUGGCUUCGACAACCAUCAAAUUUUGGUGCCGUUGCCGGGGAUUGGUGUGAUUUAUUUAAUCCUUUUUACGUUUUACUUGGUGUAUGGUUCGUUCUUCUCGUACAGGUACACUUUCGUUUGAUCCUGAAAUUGAGAAGACAGCUCGCCAGCUGAGACAGCAGACGAAGUGAGCUAAGCAACGAUCCUCGUCGCCUUUGCUUUCUGAAACAGAUACGGUGCCUGAUUUAGUUGAAUCAUCUAGCGAUUCGGAAGAACAAGUGAUGGAUAGAGCUGCACUUGUAGAAAGAACUCUUAGAGAGUUAGCUGAACCAGACUUGAAUCAGCAACCACUCUGCAUUCAAUAUGUAGACUUGGAGGUAAAUUUUGAAUUAAAGUCUGGUCUUAUUCAUUUAUUACCCAAGUUUCAUGGUUUUGUAGGUGAAGAUCCUCAUAAACAUCUCAAGGAGUUUCAUGUUGUGUGUUCAAGUAUGAGGCCACAAGGCGUGACUGAAGAGCAGAUUAAGCUGCGUGCUUUUCCGUUCUCUGUAGAUGGGCUAGCUAAAGACUGGUUGUACUACUUGCCUCCUGGAUCGAUUACAACGUGGAAUGGUUUGAAGAAGCAGUUCCUCGAGAAGUACUUUCCUGCUUCAAGAGCUGCCAAUAUCAGAAAAGAUAUUUGUGGGAUCAGACAACUUCCUAGGGAGACUUUGUAUGAGUAUUGGGAGCGAUUCAAACAAUUGUGUGCCAGCUGUCCUCAGCAUCAGAUUUCUGAUCAACUUCUUAUUCAAUAUUUUUACGAAGGACUGUCAUUAAUGGAUAAGAGUAUGAUAGAUGCUGCUAGUGGAGGUGUGUUGGUGAACAAGACCCCUACUCAAGCAAGGGAGUUGAUCUCAAAUAUGGCUGCCAAUGCACAACAAUUUGGCAGCAGGCAAGAUGCCACUUCAAGAACGGUGAAUGAGGUAAAUAUUUCUUCUGUUGAACAACGUUUAGAUAAACUUACUUCUCUUGUGGAAAAGUUUGUUGUAGGUAAUGUGCAACAGGUAAAGACUUAUGGCAUUUGUUCCAAUAUGGGUCAUUCAACUGAUAUGUGUCCUACACUUCAAGAAGAACCCAUUGAAUAAGCCAAUGUAGUUAGAGGAUUUCCAAGCAUGCCUCAGAUGAGGUAUAAUCCUUAUGCACAAACAUACAAUCCGGGAUGAAAGGAUCAUCCCAACUUAAGCUAUGGAGUUAGGCCGUCAGGAUUCCUACAACAGUAUCCACCAAGACAACCAGCACUUCCACAGUUAAACUCCAAGUCAGGUAUAUCUCUUGAAGAAAUUGUUAAAUCACUUGCGACUAUCACUCAACAAUUUCAACAGGCAGCUACAGCAAGCAUUCAGAAUUUGGAGAAUCAAAUGAGUCAAUUGGCGACUACAGUGAGCUGUCUGAAGUCUCAAGUAUUAGGGAGGUUGCCUUCACAAUCUGAAGUGAAUCCAAAGCAAAACAUUAGUGCUGUCAUCCUUAGAAGUGGGAAGGAGUUAUAAGAGCCUAGUAAGAAAGUGACAAAGCAUGUAGAAGAUGAGCUUGAGAAGAAUGAAUUGAUGCCUAAAUCUCAAGAUGCGCAACCUACCAGAGCGAAACCCCUACCUAUUAUGAUACCUCCUCCUUUUCCAAGCCAGUUUGCAAAACCCAAGAAAGAAGAACAAGAGAAAGACAUCCUUGAGACAUUUCGCAAGGUUGAGGUAAAUAUUCCUUUAUUAGAUGCUAUAAAACAAAUACCUCGAUAUGCUAAAGUCCUUAAGGAACUGUGCACCUCCAAGAGAAAAUUAAGAGGAGAUGGAAAAGUUCACAUGAGGGAGAAUGUUUCAGCAGUUCUCUAAAAGAAACUACCUCCUAAGUGCAAGGAUCUAGGUAUGUUUACUAUCCCUUGUAAAAUUGGUAGUGUUAGAGUUGAAAAGACUAUGUUAGAUCUAGGAGCUUCUAUUAAUGUCAUGCCUCGUUCCAUUUAUUCAUCUUUGAAUGUUGGUCCAUUAAAAGAAACUGGCGUGAUCAUUCGACUAGCUGAUAGGUCUAAUGCAUAUCCUGAUGGGAUAUUAGAAGAUGUCUUAGUACAAGUUAAUGAGUUGGUUUUUCCUGCUGAUUUUUAUGUACUUGAUAUGGAAGAGGAUAACUCCUCUAAUUAUGUCCCAAUUUUGCUAGGAAGACCUUUUCUUAAGACUGUUAGGACUAAAAUGGAUGUACAUAAAGGGACUCUCACUAUGGAGUUUGAUGGAGAGGUUAUAGAAUUCAAUAUGAAUGAUGCCAUGAAAUAUCCUAGUGAGGAACAUUCGGUAUUUUCUGUGGAUGUUAUUAACCUUAUAGUGCAGGAAGUUUUUUACAAGGAAAAGACGAAGACAUUUCAUGAUAGAAUGAUUUUGAGAAAGGAGUUCUCUAUUGGUCAAAAAGUUCUUCUUUUUCAUUCUAAGCUUAAACUUUUUCCGGGUAAAUUACGUUCUUGUUAGGUUGGACCUUUAAUUGUUACUAAUAUUUUUCCUCAUGGUGCAGUUGAGAUUCGGAGUCCGACCUCUGACAAAGUUUUUAAGGUUAAUGGUCAUCGCUUAAAACCUUUUUAUGAAGGUUUUUCAGUGAAUAUUGUGGAGGAUGUGGCUCUCGAGAGUCCCAAUUAUGGAGAUUGAUGCAUAAAUGUGUCUAGCCAAAGACAUAAAACAAAUGCAUUUUUUGGGAGGCAACCCAAAUGAUUUAUUUAUUUUGGUUUUUGUUAUAUCUUCUUUUAAUUUUGAUUCAGAUUUUUUUUAAAAAAAAAAUUAAUGUGUUUGCUUAUUUUGGUCAGAAGAAAAUUUUUAAUAAGGCGUGCCCACGUGCUUAUUAGAAAUGUACUUCUGAAAUUUUUAGUGUCUCAAAGUGAUUCAUCACUAAAAAGAAAAAAGAAAAAAAAGAGUUUUUUCCCAUAUUUUCUUUCUUAUAUAUAUAUUUUUUAUUUAUUUAUAAAAAAAUGACAAAAAAAGUUUUUUUCCUUCUUUUCUUUCUUAUAUAUAUAUAUAUAUAUAUUUAUUUAUUUAUUAAAAAAAACACAAAAAAACAAAAAUCACAAAUCACUGUUCACAAAUCCCUAAUUCAAAAAAAUUCACUGUUGAUUAUCGUUUUCCCGCAGCAACCCUUAGCUCCAGCGUGCAGAACCAGCAGCAGCCGCAUCAGUCCCACCUGCAACGCAACCAGCCUACGCCAUGUAUUUCAGCCGGGUAAAUCGAAAUCCGUGAGUGCAAUUAUUGUAACAAUGCCGAAGAGGAAAGCAUCAACUUCCAAGUCAUCUAAAAAGACACCCAUCGCAAAGAAAUCCAAGAUUGCCGCUCCCACUACGAUUCCAUGGAACACAAUUUCAUAUUCACGCCAAGCCGUGAGACAAAGAUCGAAACAUGGAAAAGGCAUGAGUGUUUUGCCACUUGCGGAAUCCAAUCUCGGAGGAUGCCUCGCAUUCGCGACUCAACAAGAGAAAGAGAGGUACAAAGAUAUUUCCAUGCGCAAAAUACUUCCAGCUAAGUAUAUUCAUUACCCGACUCUUGAAAAAUUGAAUGUUAAGGAUAAUUUUGAUUCUUUGAUAGAUAAGAUUGGGUUGCGUAAGUUUGUUAAUGUUGAUUGUUUGGGUUAUAUUGAGUUGAUUAGGGAGUUUUAUGUUACUUUUCAAUUUAAUAUGCCGAAUGAUUUUACUUUGCAUACCCUGGAUGUCAUAAAGUUUAGGUUAAUGGGACAAAAUUUUUCACACUCUAUCACCGAUUUUAACCUAGCUUUAGGAUUCAUUGAUGAUGAUUAUUCUUCUAGUGAUGUAUAUUUAGGAACAACUUGUGACUUUAGCGAAAAUUUUGAGCCUUAUGAUCUUUGGCGUAAUUUAUCUGUUGAUCACAAUACCUAUGACCCGAGUAAAUCAAAGAGUUAUUUCUUACGUGAUCCUGUUUUGAAAUGUGUGCAUCGAUUCUUAGCAUAUAAUUUUGUAGGCAAGAAAGAUCACUCAGGAGUUUUCUCUAAAACUGAAUUUUAUUUUAUCUGGUGCAUGUUAAAUGAUGUGAGGCCUAAUUUAGGUUUUUGGUUAGCGGAUCAAUUUCAAAGUGUGCUUAAAUGGUAUAGGACUUUAUUUCUUGGUCCAUACAUUACUCUGUUAGCUAUAAACCUAUGUGCGCUUGAUCCUGACAAUAAUGAUUUGCAUUCUGCUUGCAAAAAGGAAUUUUUGGAUAUGUCUGUGUUUGAAAGAACAGGUGUGGUCGAAUUCAAGGAGGGAGAUUUCAGUUUACUGAACCAGGACCCACUCAACCUCCAAAGAAGCUUUAUCCUAGGAGUGGUGCUACCUCUGAUAACGAGUUUGACGACGACACUGCUGCCCCGCCAACUAUUCCUUCUACAUCCGCACCACCUUUGAGCAUUCAGUUAGAGAAAAUGGAGCACAAGCUGAACAUGAUGGAGCAGAAUUUGGCCGCAUACUUCGAGAGUGUGAGAUUUAUCCCACCAUUUCCGCCAAGCCCAUAAACGUUAUGUGGAUCAAAGCUCACAAUUCAGGGAAGUUUUUGCCUUUAAUCUUUUAUCCUUACGCUUUAAUUUUUAUGUGAGCUUUGAUUAUCUUACAUUGGGGACAAUGUAAGUUCUUGGUGUGGGGGAGGGAUUUUUGUAUUAUUGAUGUCUGGAAAUAUUAUUUUCACUCUACUCAUCUAUUUUCACUUUACUCAUCCUUAAAUAAUUUUGGAGUUAGUAUGCUUCAUAUAUUAUUAAUUUUCUUUUCCUUUCUCUCUCACUACUCUUUUCCCAUCUAUCUCAAAUUAUUUACAUCUAUUUUUUUUUCUAUCAUACUCUUUCAUCACUCACAUUUUAUCUUUCAUUUUUUUUACUACAUACAUCUUUCUCGCUUAUUAUCCUUUUUACCUUUCCUUUUAUAUCUCACUCAUACCUUCUUCUCAUUCUACACCACUAUUGAUGGUUGAUUCAUUUGAAGAGUGUACAUGAUUUGAUGGCAAAUUUACCAACUUUGUGAGGAUUUAAGCCUAUGAGCAACCACUUUGCUCUAAUUAUUUUUGUUAUGUGAAUAUCAAUCUUAGUUUGUAUAUUCUAGAACUUGCUUUGUUAUGCAUGUUGAAGCCACAUUACGGGAUUUUAUGCAUUAAAAUGAUAAGGGCAAACCAUUUACCAUUUUUAUAUUCUUGCAUUUUGUUUUUUCUCUACCCGAAGACAUUUAUUUGCUACCUUUGUUUGAGCCUUAACCAUUACCCAUCUAAUUCUCUCCGUCUACUUAACCAUUUUUCUUCUUUUUGAGCCUCAAUUUAAGGAGAUUUUUGGACUCAUUGUGUGGAUAUAUUUUGUUGCUUUUUCUACCUUGUAUUAAAGUUUCUCAAUUAGAUCAACAAGCAUUAUGCUUGAAUUAAAUUGUGCAAGGUUUGUUUCUUUUGUUUGAUUCAAAAAAAAAAAAAAACAACAACAAAAAAAAGGAAAAAGAAAAAAAAGAGAAAAAGAAAAAUCGAAAAAAAAAUUGAAAAAAAAGUUUACAUUCCUCAGUGACUUGAGUAGAAAUAAGCAUUUUGAUAUCAUAAGUUCAUUCAAUGAGUUCAUUAUUCUCAUUUUGAUCUCUUUUUCUUUCAUAGACCUUUCUUUUUCAUUUAACCUAUUUAACCCCAUUACAACCCUUUUAAGACCCUUAGAUUUUUGCAUUUUAUUAAUGUUUUGUGGAUUGAGAUGUGAUAUAUGAGCAAGCUUAUGGUAAUAGCAUUCUUUGAUUUGAUUUGAGUGAAUAAAUGACACCCUAAACACUUUGAGUGCAUGGAGUGAAGUCAAUGAGAGGGCUAUUAAAUCUUGUUGCACUUGAAUUUUGAAUGGAUCUUCUUGGUGGUUGAAUGUUCUUAUUCUAUCUUAUGAGAUUCUAUGCUUUAAAAUCCUUAUCUCUCGAAUGUUGAUCGACUUAAUUUUUUAGUUUAAACGUGUUUUGUAUUUUUGGUUAUUUUUGUAAUUACGAAUUUAAUAUUUCAGAUAUUAGUAUUUUAUUUUAAAUAGAAUUCUAGAGGAGAAGAGAGUGAGAGUAUUUAAGGGAGGAAUCUAUUGUGAAAAGGGAGAUUGGAGAAAAAGAAAGAAACCCUAGAUCUAAAUUUUUCUCUUCUCUCUAUGAAGAACUAAACCUAUUUUUUUGGUUGAAGGUUAAUGAAGCUUUGAUUCAUCACUACUGUGAGAUCUUUCUUAUGCUUUAAUUGUUUUAUUGCUUUUUUGGGUAUUUGUUUAUUCUCUGAAUUAUUUUCAUGAUUAUGUUUGUUAAUUAAGUAAUUGGCCACUAUUUAAUUAUCAACUUAAUCUAUUGUCAAUUAAAGGAUUCAUCGUAUGAAGAUUUUAAUGUUUGUGACAAAUAACAUAGCAGAGAGUUGUGUUAUGAGAAUAAACAAUCUAAUUUAAAUUAAACAUCGUAUGUGUUGAUUAUGAUUUGAGUCUCUCUGGUUUUUCAGGCUGUCAAUUGAUUAAAUCAUAUGAUCGUAUCUAGGGUUGUCUAUUGAUUAGGGAAAUAACCAACGGUCGUACCUUAGUUAUCGACUAGUUAAGGAGAAAUUGGCUAUUAGAGGGUCUCAGUAGUUAUAACCAGUCUAUUCAUAAGUAGCAAUAAUUUAUAUUUGAAUCAAUGAUCAGUAGCCGAAUUAAGCUGAGUUAAUUCCUUCAACCAGAGCUUUCUCCAAUUUGAAUUACAACUUUAAUUUGCAUUCUUGUUAUUUUAAUUUGAUUUUUUAUUAUUGUCAACGAAACCCCCAUUUUAUGUUUUACGUUUUAAAAAGAUUUAAAUAAUUACCGAUCUUUGUGGACACGACCCUGCUCAAUCACUAUACACAAUUUAUUUAGAGUAGGUAUUUAUUUUUGCUGGCUUCGACAACCAUCAACAACACAUGAUAAGUAAGUGGUUAAUUGAGACACAAAUAAAAGAUUAUAAUCUAAAGAUUGAACAAUUAACACUGAUUCUAAAUUUAAUUCAUCUGUGAGUCGUAAAGAUCCUUCCCCAAUAACUGAGGUUGUGGUUCCAUUUGCAGUGGAAAUAUGUUUUUGUGAAGAUGGUUUCAAUUGAGAAACUUGUCGAGAAUCAAAAGUCAUAUGAUCAAUUGCCCCAGAAUCAAUUAUCCAUGUACUAUUAAUAACAGGUGUAAGAGUUUUAAGGGCCUUACCUGGACUGACAGAGGUUGCGAUUUGCACUGAAGAAUCUUUUCUAAGAUCUGUAGUGGAUGUGGAUUCAGCUACUGCAGUUUUUGAUCCCUGCUUGGUGUUCUUCUUUCGAGUAUCCCACCAGUCAGGAUAUCCAAUGAUUUCAAAACAUUGUUCUUUUGUAUGACCAUUCUUCCUACAAUGAGUGCAAUGGAGUGAUGACUUGUCAACAAGCUUCCUUUGAGGCUGUUGUCGUGCUAUCAUAGCAGACGUUUAUGAGUCGACCUUCUUGUUUAGUUUGUUUUGCCAUACAUCUUAUCUCCGGAUAAGAGAAUAACAUUCUUCUAAGUCUGGGAUAAUAUCUUUUCAUAGAAUUUCUCUACGAACUUGGUCAAAUUCUUCAUCUAGCCCAGCAAGAAAAAUGUGCACUCUCAAUCUUUCAACAGACCUUCUGUAUAUUACAACAUCUUCUGGAUCUUUCAUGACCACUUUAUCUCGAUGAUCAAGUUCUCGAAAUAUUUCGAUCAAUUCUCCGUAGAAUUUAGAGAGUGGUUGUCCAUUUUGCUUGGUAGAGAACGCCUUCUGGUUUAGAGUGAAAACUUGUAAUUCAUCGCUUCCAUCAUAGAAGGCUUUUGAUAAUGCAUCCCAAAUUUCGUAGGCUGUAGGAAUUCGUAAAUAUCACUUCAUGAUCUCCGGAGACAUGAGUAACCAUCGUUUUACUUUUUGGUUCUCACUAUACCAUUUCUCAUAUUCUUUUGAAGAUUCCUCAUAUAGCUUUGUGUUGCUACGAAUACAUGAGAGUUUUUCUCUUUCUGCGAGAUGCAUCUCCAUUAUUUGAGACCAAACAUCGUAGUUUGUCUCAGUGAGGAUAAUUCCAGCAUUAAAUAUUCCAUCAGAUUGAACAGAUUGAAUGACUAUUGUGCAAAUUUAUUGAACUCGCAAGUGCACGAAUUUAUUGUAGUAUAGAUCAAUGGUGAUGAGUGUCGAUCCCACGAGGAGGUGGAUUUUAAUUAUAUGUAGAAUUAAUUUUGUAUGAGGGUGGUUGGAUUUGUGGUGAAAAUGAUUUGGAUUAUCCUAAAAUUCGAAUUAAAAUGGCAAGAAUAAAUUGAAGUGAAAAUCUAUUAAAUUGACGUACUUGGGUAUCUGGAUCCGUAUCAACAUGCACCAUGGGCUAAAUAUUCCUUAUUAAUGCCAAUUGAAUCAUGAGGGUGGAAUCCACACCUCAUGAACCACACUCUAAUCAAUAUGGUGCUAAGGGCUUAUCAUGCCAAAUAAUAAUAACCUUGUACUAAGGAGCCGGUGUAACCAAUGCGGUAUCUAGACAAGAUUAUUAUUAUUUGUCGACGAAAAGUCAAAUCAUCCACAAAAAUUAGAGGGGAAAAGAAAAUAAAUUUACCAAAUAAAGCCCAUGACACAUGUUGAGACUUCACCUUCAACCCAAGCUUGAAAGAAAAUUAGCUACUUAUAAUUGAACUAGGGGCAAAAUGAAAAUUUAUUAAAAUACGUAGAAAAUACAAGAUGGAGAAGAAAUUACAGAAAAUGGAUCCCAAAAAUGGAUUCAGAGAUAUCAAAUUAGGGGGGGGGGGGAGGCCCCUUUUUUAUAGAUACAUUGAGUAAAUCGUGGCCAUCGGAUUAAAAACAGUUUGGACGCUCAGGAUUUUGCCACGUCAUCAGUCAACAGUACGCGGUUUGACCACGUGGGUGAACAGUAACACGGUUUGACCCGGGUUGAACAAUGAUGCGGUUUGGUUGAAAAUAAUCCUGUGUAAUGCAUGUACCGUACGCGACAUUUUUGGUCCACUGAUAUGCUGCCACGUCAUCGAUCAACAGUGCAUAAGAAUUUUAGUCCAACAGGAUUGUGACACCUCAUCAGUCAAUGCCACAUCAUCGGUCAAUGCAACGUCAUCAAUCCGUCUAUGUGAACAGUGUCGUGAACAGUAACGUAGACAGUAUCAUAUAAGUGAAUAGUACCAUACAUGUGAACAGUGCCAUUUUUCCUUUUAUGCUCCUCCUAAGGUUUUCGACCGUCCUGAGUUCAAAAGUGAUGUCCGUUUUGCCAUCUGAUCUCUCGUUCAUUGUGAAAUGACUAUAAUGCCCCUAAAAUACAUAAAAUACUUAAUUAAAAUAAAACACACAUAAUUAAAUGACAAGAAGUUUAAAUACAUAAAAGUAAGGGUGUUAGUAAAACUUAAAGUGUAAAAUGACGAUUUUCUCCUUUAUAACUAUACAUUUUCUAACACUCAACAAUGACAACAGGAGCAGAUUCAGUUGGAGUUUUCUCCAUUUUUUGUUGUUUUUUUUUUCUCUUUUUCCUUUUUUUUCUCUUUUUUUUUCCUUUUUUUUUUGGCGCCUAGAUUGAAAUAAGGGAAAAUAACCUUUUUAGAUCAAAGAACGACAAGUCAUUUGGCCUCUGCUUGACGAAACGACAUGUCGGUUCUGAUGGAAUAUAAACGACAUGUCGUUUGACGACUGCUGCACUUCUGGAGAUUGAACGUGACGUCGUUUUAUCUCUAAUUUACAACCGACAUGUCUGUUGUAAUGUAAUAAAAAAUGACACGUCAUUGUAUUACCAGCUGCACUCUUGAGAUAAAAAUAAAAUGUCGGUUGAUGUCUUCUUCAACCUCUCGAGCGCGUGAAUAUGACAGAGGCGCAUGGUUGACUGGCCGUGGCUUCCGGUGGCACGUGGGAGCGCGUGGAAAUGUGUUUAAAUGCCAAAGUUUUACAGUUUUCUUACUGGAAACUGAGAAAUAUGAUGGUAUUCUUGGUUUUUUAGGAACACACUCUUGGAAAAUUAAUGGGAUUGCUGAUAAAUUUGUAAACUCAAGUUUUUUACGUAUGGGUGGCUUGUUUCUUGAUCGGCAUGGAUUUCGGUAAUGGUAGGAAUGGGUUUAAGGAAGAAAAUGGUGGGAAAAAAAUGGUUGUGGGAGGAAUUUGGUUUCCUCUGUUUUUAUUACGAACAGAGCUGCGAAACUUGAAGAAACUUGAAGAAACUUGAGCGUAUUCAUGGCUCUGAUACCAUGAAGAAACAUGUUUUUAUUUCUUGAAAUAAAACAUUAUACACUGAGAGUUAUUUAUAGAUGCAGAUGCUACAUUUUUUCAAAGAUUACAUAUGUGAAUAUGGAAGGAAAUGUGUCAAUCCGUUCGGCGUGGAUCGUGUCUUUGACAAAUGCAGAUUAUCCCUUUGACAAGUGCGGAUUAUGUCUUUGAAAACUUUCUCCAAUGCCAUUUUAUUCAACAAAUACGAUCUCAUCAGCUAUUAUAUUAAUUUCUAUUUUGCCAUUGCAUGAAAUUAUGAAAAAAGGAUAUUGAAGAGUUUCUUGCCACAAAUUGAACCUGCAUCUCUGUAAGCAUUACUCUUGCAUUUUCGCGGAAAAGGGAGUAAGUGAAUGGCCUAAAUUCAUGGUUCAUUUCAUAUUAUGGAGUUUCUUUCUUCAGGAUGAUUUCGGCUGGAAUUCUCAUAAUUUGCGUCCAAAAAUCCACUAUUGAUAGGCUUAGUGCUUGCCAUUUUGCCUUUACAGCUGGUAGUGGUUGUAUGCUUGUUGGAUUAGUCAAAAAAAUCAAUUGGCAUUGGUCACAAAUUUUUUAUUCAAUUUUUUAUUCGAGCUGAGGGAUACAUACAGUAGUAGACGUCGUGUUCUAUGUUCUCUUUCCCAUAUAUAUAACUAUAGUAAGAGAUAUAUAUGGCUUUUAUAUAAUUCUCAAUAUCAUAGGCGGUAAACAUGGACUCUUGGCUAAAAGACAAUAUGAACAUGAAACCAUUUCACGUGGGUGAUCAAUUAAUAACUUUCAUUUUUUUUACUUCUUAUAGAAGUCAGAAGAGAGUGUACCUGCGACCAGUGGCGGUGCCAAAAAUUAUUUUUAGCGCGGGCUACGUUCACAUAAUAGUUUAAUUCAAGAAAGUAAUCAAUAAAUAACAUAUAUCAAAAUAAAAUUUCAUUAAAAUAUUUAAUUCAACACACUUAUAAUUGUCUUCGACGAGGUUUCAUAUGUUGAAAACGUUGAAGAAUAACUUCAUUGUCAAGACUACAAAAUAUAUCAUUUUUUAUGAAUACAACAAGGUUAUCAUUCAACCAUUGAUCUCUCAUCCGAUUUCGCAGACGGUUUUUCACAAAAUUCAUAGCCGAAAAUGCCCUUUCUAUUGUAACUACGGCAACUGGUAAAAUCAAUGCUAAUGUCACCAAUAAAUAAACUAAUGAAUAUAAUUGAUCCUUUUUAGUCUCAACCAAUUUUCUUGCUAGCUCACCAAUCCCUUUCAAUCUGAAAAUUUGUUGUUAGAACCGACAUCCAUAAUAUAAACAUCAAAUUGAGUUUCAAGUGCCACAAGAUCCAUUAGAGAAAAAUCAUUUGGAUAAAACUCAGCAAGGUGAAGUAGUUUCUAUUUAUCAAAAGCUGCAAAUGAGUCAUUGGGGCAUAGACAUGCCACACAAAGAAGUAGGGGUGGGCAUCGGAUCGGAUUCGGAUUUGAAGGCAAAUCCGAUUGGAUGAAGUCUGUGCGAUCUGAUCGGAUUUGGUUCGGAUCGGAUCGAAUUCGGAUCAAUCCGAAUCAUCCGAUCGGAUCUGCACUAUAAACUAAAAAAAAGAAAAUUAAAUAAAUAAGCGAAAGUACUAAAAAAAUAAGUUUAACUCAUGUUCGGAUUCGGACUUCGGACUUCGGAUCACUAGUGCAGUCAGUCAGUCACCACUCACCAGUUCACACUUCACAUUGUUCAUCUCACUCUUAGAUCUUACGUCUCAGUCACAGACUCACAGUACCAACUCAAACUGACAUUAACAAAAGACACAGGACUCAGCGAGCACGAGCAGCAGAGCAAAAGCAAAAUGCCAAAUCCAGCUUCAUCUCGUCAUCCGUCUUGAACCCAUUAACGAGUAACGACCACGCCAAAACUCAGCUGCCGCCGGCCCGCUGACACCAAUCGACUGGAAGCUAGCCGAUUUCAACUGAAACCCAGGCGAACGAAACCAAAUUAAUCGACCUAAACCCAGCUGAAACCCAGCUGACAGCUGCCUCUUCAACCACCGAACUGAUCACGUCCAGCGCCGGCCAGUUGCCACGCCAAACGCCGAUAAUCCACUUCCACUAUUCCCAAGCACCUAGCAACUUUAUUCAUGGUAAGCAAUUAAACCAGACCCAUGACAAUUGAAAGUUAACACAACUCAGAAUUUCAUGCUUCUUUUCGACUUUUAGGGUUUUUUUAGUUGUAUUACUGCUUGGAAAAUGAAAAACCGAAAAUGCCACCAAAUGGUUUGGGCCAAACCCGAGAGCAAGCGGCUAGCUCCCAAACCCGAGAGCAAGACAUGAAUUGUUCUGUUUUUUCCUUUUAUUUUUUCUAAUGUAUGAUUAUUCAUUUGUAAUAUUAGUUGAGAAAGACAUGAAUAUGUAUUGAUGUAAAAUUCAAAUUUAUUAAUUAUUAAAUAAUCAUCAUUAUUUAAUGCAUGAUUAUUCAUUUAUAACAUUAGUUUAUUAAUUAUUAAUAAACUAAGGAACAAUAUCAAUUCUUUAAAAUUAAAAAUUCAACUUCAUACCGUACAUUGUGGUAGUAGAAUUAUUUUAUGAUAAGUUAAUGUCAUUAAUUGCUUUAUUUCCAAAUAAUAAUUUGAUGAAUGAAUUUGUAUAGCUAGUAAGCUAGGCUGAAGAGAUUAUAUAUAGUCAAAAGUUAUAUUUAUUUUUUAGUUGAAAAUUCAUAAACGAAAGUUACAGAACAAUGAUGAUUGAUAUGAUUUUUUUAUUUUCAGAUGACUGGACAUUCAAAAUCAAAUUCCAAUGAUGAAGAUGAAGUUGAAAGUGUACAAGUACCCACAGAAAAGACAAAUACAAAGCGGAAGAAUCCAACUCAGAGACGACCAAUAAAGAAAAGAUCUGAGACAUGGAAUCAUUACACUGUACUUGAGGACAAUCAAUAUAAAGCAAAGUGCAACUAUUGUGGCAAGAUAUAUCAGUGCCAUCCUAGGUUUGAUGGGAUUAGCAAUAUGGGAACUCAUUUAAAAGUAUGUGAAGCAUACUUGAACGUGAAGCGAGAGCAAGAUGAAAGACUACAAAAAUUGGCAGCCGAGAGUGGUGAAGGAAAUGCAAGUAAUAUGGUUUUGGCUAAAGGAUGGAGUCAAGAAGCUUGUAGAAGGACAGUUAGUAAAAUGAUUAUCUUGGGCAAGUUGCCGCUUAAUUUUGUUGACAACAAAGGGUUUAUGCAUUUUUGCAAUGUAGUUGUUCCUCAGUUUAUUAUGCCAUCUUGGAGAACUAUUAGUAGAGAUGUUAUGGAUAUGUUCUUGGAAGAAAAGGGAAUUUUGAAGAGUUUGAUAUGCAAGAAUAAGCAUAGAGUGUCUCUUACAACUGACAUAUGGACUUCAGUUCAGAACAUGAGUUAUAUGGUAAUCACAGCUCACUUUAUUGAUAGUGAUUGGUGUUUACAUAGGAAGAUUAUUAGUUUUAGCGUGAUUGAAGACCAUAAAGGGAAGUCCAUUGGCAAAAAGAUUUAGUCUUGUUUGCUUGAAUGGGGAAUAGAGAGGGUGUGUGCAAUAACUGUUGAUAAUGCGUCGGGCAAUGAUGUUGUUAUUGAUUAUGUGAAGAACCAAAUGCUUAUGUGGAAGAAUGUUGAUGCACUUGUGUUGCGGGGUGAUUACAUGCAUGUGCGUUGUUGUGCACAUAUCUUAAAUUUGAUUGUCACUAGGGGGUUAAAAGAGUUGCAUGCCUCAGUUGCCGGUAUUCGGAAUGCUGUGAAGUAUGUUAGAUCAUCCACUUCGAGAUUAAAAGCAUUUAAACAGUGUGUAGAUCAUGUGAAAGGCCCUAAUGGAACUGUGGUUUUGGAUUGUAUCACUAGGUGGAAUUCCACCUAUUUGAUGUUGAUGACUGCUUUGAAAUUUGGGGAGGCAUUUGAGAGGAUGGCAGAAGUGGAUAAACCGUAUGAAGCAUACUUUAGAGAGGAAGAAAACGAGAAAAAAAAGGGUAGGGCCACCUGAGCUUGAAGAUUGGGAACAUGCCGAAAGAAUUGUGAGGUUUUUAAAGAUCUUUAUGAUGCUACAUUGACUUUUUCAGCCUCUUUGAGUGUCACUUCUAAUCUUUGUUGCGAUACAAUUGGCUUAAUCGAGAAUCCAUUGAGUGCAUUAGAAAAAAGCAAAGAUGUUUAUGUGCAUUUGAUGGCUUCUAGUAUGAGGGAAAAAUAUGACAAAUAUUAGGAGUGCACAGAGAAAAUCAACAAAAUCAACAAAAUCUUGAUUAUUGCCUCAAUACUUUAUCCGCAUUGCAAAAUGGAUUUUACUAAACAUAUUUUUAGUAUGAUAUUUUCCGAUGAUAGUGCAAAGAUUGAAGAAAUGGUCGCGGUGAUGAAAGGCUUGUUAAAUUCACUUUUUGAUGCAUAUAGUGGAUGGAACUCCUCACCACCAUUGUCUAGUGAGAGUUUUCGUAGUGGCAGUGCCAGUGGUGGCGGUGGCGGUUCUAGUUCUUCUCCGCACCUUAUAGAUGACACGGAUCGGCAACAAGGGUACAUAAUGGAACAUGGUGAUGAUACUUUACGAGUUGCUCGCCCUUUUCUUGGAUAUGCUAAGAAAGUUUUAAUUCAAAACGAGGGCAAGCUUAUGACGACCGAGGUGGAAAGAUACUUACUUAACCCGAUUGAAGAUCCUAGUAAUGAUAAACUAAAUUUUUUAUUAUGGUGGAAGGUGAACAGGUCGAAGUAUCCGAUAUUGCAGAAAAUAGCAAGGGAUAUCCUUGCAAUUUCGGUAUCCACUGUGGCUUCGGAGUCCGCCUUCAGCACUGGGGGUCGUAUCAUGACGAAUAUAGGAGUUCUUUAACUCCCACUAUGAUUGAAGCAUUGAUUUGCACUGAAAAUUUGUUGCAGUCUAAACUUUUUUGCCACUCCUAUCUACGACCUUAAUCAAGAGUUGAAAGAUCAUAUAUAUCAAAUGGAGUUACAAGAGGGUAACUUUUUUAUAUUACAUUUUAUAUAGAAUACCUUUUAAAUUUAUUAUAACACAUUUUUUAUAUUACUCGUGCACUAAUUAUAAGUUAUUAUGUUUUUUUUUUCAUUUUAAAGAGUAUGUACAAUCACAAGCUUCAACAAUUACAAGUUACAACGAUGGGUGCUAGUAUUCGUCAUGAUAUUUGAAUAGGUAAGGUAACUCUUAAAUUUAAUAAAUCUUUUGGUUUCAAGGUAUUAUAUUUAUAAUUGUUUUACUUUUGGUUUUAAGUCAAUUGUAACAUGAUAAUUGUUUGUGAUCUUAUGUUAGGAAAAUUGAAGUUGGUAGUUGGAAAGCAAAAGUUAAGGAUUCAUCAAAGUGUGUUGUGAGUUUAAUUUGAUAUUAUUGUACUUUUGGUUUGAGGAACUUGUAGUCUAUCUAAAUGUUUUGGGAUGAUAAUUUUUAUUUUGGUUUAUUUUAUUGUUGGAUGAUAUAAUGAUAAUAUUUAUUUUGUGAUUUUGUGUUGUUUAUUUAUUUGGAGACUUGGAGUAAUGUUUAAUUGUUUAUUUUGUGUUGUUUGUUGGGAGACUUGGAGUAAUGUUUAUUUUGUGUUGUUUACUUGGAGACUUAGAGUUGGAGCAAAGUUUAUUUUGUGUUGUUUAUUUAGAGGCUUGGAGCAAUGUUUAUUUUAUGUUGCUUAUUUGGAGGCUUGGACUUGGAGUAAUGUUUAUGCACCUAACUUGUAAGAGCAUUAGUGCAUUACUAAUUAAAUGAAAUGGGAGUGCUUGUUUUCUUGGUAUAUGUCAAUGCCAUAUUGUCAAGGAGACAAUACAAUAUAGAUUGUCAUUUGUUAGCUUGUUUUCAUUUUCUUUUUUUUUUUAAUGGUUAGUAAGUUUUCAUUACUUAUAGAUUUCAUAAUUUUUUUGUGAGAAUUGUGAAAAAGGUCCAAAUCCGAUUUCAAUCCGAAUUAAUCCGAAUCCAAAAUAUAAUCCGAAUCCGAAAAUUAAUCCAAAAUCCAAACUCAUCCGAUCCAAUCCGAAUCCGAAUUCAAUCCAAAUUUUCAUCCGAUCUAAAUCCGAUCCGAAUAAUUCGGAUCGGAUGAAAAUUCGGAUUGAAUUCGGAUGAAUUUUUUUUCAAUCCGAAUUAUCCGAAAUCCGAUCGAAUUCAUCCGAAUCCGAAAUUGCCCACCCCUACAAAGAAGCAACUCAGUAUUCGUCUUAUUGAAACGAUUGCUUAAUUCUUUAAGUUGCAUGUCCAAAAUUGCAUAAAAUAAUUCAACACGAAAACAAUGCAAAUUUGUGAUCUUUUGAGCCUUGCGUUGUGAUCUUUCUUGAGUUCGAAACAAAUCAUCCAUAUUCGGAACAUCAAUAUCAUGCUUUACACAAUAAGAAAAAGUUUCACCAAAUAAAGAGUCUCAUCCAUUUUCUCCAGUCUUUUGCAAGUUUCUCUUAUACACUUCAAUUAAUUUCAUAGCAUUCACAAUGUCUUGAUCCUUUUUUUGUAAUGCUUGUGAUAACUCAUGUGCAAAUCCAAGAAUAUUUUUCAUUAACAGCAGGCUAAACACAAAAUCAAAUGAUUGCAUUGACUUCAAUAACAUUCUAGCUUGAAAUCUUUGUUCAGAAUUUCCCUCAUUUGAAAUUAUCUCAAGCAUGUCAAUAAUAGAUGGAAACAUGGUGAUUAUACUCAAUAACGUACCAUAAUGUGAGCCCCAACGUGUAUCAGCAGAUCGCUUUAAAGUAACCUCUUGAUUUAAACCUCGUCCACUUGAAAGUUCACCAUCAUCAAGUGUUUUAAUAACUGCUUGAGCAUGUUUCUCUUGAAGAAUAUCACGACGUUUUGUUGAAGCACCAACAACAUUAACUAACAUUGUAAGAGAAUUAAUUAUGAGAAUUUAAAGAGAAACUGAAAACAAUUCCCAUGUCAAAAUGUAAAAACAAAUACAAAAAUACAAAAUAUUAAUUUAAUAAACUAACUACCCGAUUAAAUCCUCAACCACUAAGUUACUAAUCCAUCAUAGCAUCACGCCAUCACCAAUGGCAUUGUUAUUCUAUUAUUUAUAAUGAGUAAAGUUAAAAGCAUUGCCACUUUAUCAAGAAGCAUCGCCACUUUAUCAAGAAACAUGCCACAAUUAUUCUAUUCAAAAAGUAUAAACAAAUUCAAGAAUUGUAAUAUUAAAUUAUAAAGUGACAAAGAUGUUUAAUUAUUAAAAUAAUUUAGCCACUCGGCCUUUGGCCGAGUGGUCAGGGCAGCAAUUCGAACCCCCACAAAAGCAUUGUGGGGGUAUUUCCUUCCUCAAUUAAAAAUUGAGUGAAGGUAGUCUUCUUUUUUACCCAUGAGUGAGGAGUGGACAUCCCUCGAAUAUUUGUGAGGGUUAAAAUCUGGGCAGAGCUCCAUUAGUAUUGAUGUAAGUUGGUCCCAGUAAUAGUCUGAUUUGUAAAUAUCAGUUAUACUCUCAUGUAAUAUGAGUUGUAAUAUGAGCAAUAGUCUCAUGUAAUCAAAAAAAAAAUUAUCAAAAUAAUUUAAUCAAUUCUUAAUAAUUAAUCUAAAAGCUGCAAAGGUAUGACAGUAGUACCUGAAAAAAUGCAAAGAUGCAGACCAUGCGGUGGUGCAGGGCUCCGAGUGCCAACUGCAAGUUGUAGCAUAUAUGGCAUGAAAGCAAAGAGGUGUGAUGGCAUGAGAGUUUGACAGAGAUAGACGACAGGCUGAUCACUGAUGGUAGCCGAUGGAGUUUUUCUUUGGCAAAGGAUCGAUGGUGGUGGUUAGGGAUUUGAUUUUGAGUUUUUUUUUUUAAUUUCUAAUCGUUGUUUUAAAUAUUAGUCUUUUAGUUAUUUCAAAAAAAAAUUCAGGGACUUUAUUGUAAAUUCACUAAAAAAAGAUAAAUUUAAUUGUUUUUAAAAUUCUAGGGGGGCCUUCAGCCCCCAGCUCUCAAGUGGCGCCGCCUCUGCCUGCAACGUCAAUCGUAUCAAGCAAAGAUAUAGGACAUUUAAUAAUGAAAAAAUUAGGAAUUUUCAUGGACACACCAGUCGGUUCCGUAAAUAUAUAGAAUCAACUGAUUCUAGGUACCUUACAAUGUGAUUUUUUUCCCCUUGAAGAUAAGGACUAUUUUUUAGGAUACUGGCCGUUGAGGCUUUGUUUGUAUUUUUGCAAGAAAAUGGAAAAGGGUGGGCUAAAUCGCAAAAAAUAAAGCUAAUAGCUGCUAAAUUGAAUUUUUUAAGAGUGUUUUAAUGUGGAAUUUGAUUUGGGAACUUUUUUGUAGUUACAAGAAACAGCCACACCGGGUAACAAUUAGGGCAUUCUUUCAUAAAUUGGAUAUCAAUAGUAUCGAGUACGAAUGAGGAUGGUUAAAUGCCUAAUCACCCUAUUAAUCUUACAGUCGACAAAAAGCAAAAGCAAAAGCAAAAGCAAUAGCAUUACAAAUAGUAUAACUAUCAAAUUGAUUCACUAUGUCUAAACGACAAGUCAUCUAAAUAAUUUGUCAUCUAAUUACUAAAUUAUUUGACGCAACGACUGAUUUAGAAUUUUAAUUUAGAGGGGGCUUGGUACAAAUACUGUGAUUCACAGUAGCGCGUUCGAUGGUGCGAGUGAUCAACAACAACGACAGACAAGUGAGGCAAUGAUGAUGUAUAUGUUGGAAAUAUGAAUUCAUAUUGUUUUUUGAAAGUACACAAUAUGAAUAGUAGCUGUUGGUACUGUUACUUCACUAUUUACUAAUACUAUUGAUCUUACUGUUCACUCAACAACAAUCGUAAAUUUGUCAAGGUGUGUUCGAAGUGUCCUUAAGACUAAUUUUUGCUUCUCUAGAAAGAUUUUCCGAUACAAAAAAUAUAUAUAUAUAAAACGAAUUGAUCCCUAGGAUAUAAUGACAUUAUUGUGAGCUUGCACUCCAAGCACAAUAGUUUAGAAUAACAAAAGAAAAAUUAAUGAAAAAAAUAUAAGAUAGAAGAAUAGGUUACAAUGGUUGUGCCUUGAAGAUUUUGUAUUUUGAAAUACCAAUAAAACUCUAAGAAUAAGCUUAAAUAAUUUGAUCAAAAUUGCACUUUAAGAUGAAACACUAAUUAAUGGCCUUUCAAGACUUGAAUUGGGUUAAAUAGUUUAUGUACGAAAAUUGAAUUAUUGACAUCCCUAUCUCCUUUUAUAUAUUGUUGGUAAUAAAUCUAAUAACUUUAUGUGGUUGUGAUUCUUAAUGUAGUUUUUUUUAAUCGUUAGCUGUGUACGUGUCAUUAUUAGCAAUGUGUCAUUUUCAUUACUGUGUCAUUGUUGGCAGUGUGUCAUUUUCAUUACUGUGUCAUUUGUAGUAUUUAGAAUCAUUGGCCAAUAAUUUUGUAACAAGACCAACAUAUAGGGGUAAAUGACAAAUUCACGAGUGGGGGACAUACACCUGUUUAUAAUAUUGUAAAUGCAUUUUUUCAUGAGUUUACAGUGUUCAAAAGUAUUUUCUUCAUUCUAAGUGUGGACAUGCCAAUUUUGCAUAAUAGUCAUAUCCCAGAACAAAAGUCACAUUAAAAUUUUAUUCAUUUAUUCAGGUUUUUUUCCUGCAUUAACGAAUUCAUUGUGUAGGAUUUCAUUUUUAUGUAAACCAAUUCAGUUACGAGAAUCAACUACUAAUUUUUUUCCCGUUAAUUGGCUACGUUUACGUUAAUUAACUGAUAAAUAACUUUGCAUUAGCAAAGCCAAGAGAUUAAUUUAAACCCCUAAGAUUCAAAUAUUCUUUCACUAGUACUACUGGACAAAUUUGGCAAUCGAUAUUUCGGAAGACAUCAUCACACGUGUCAAACAAAAGUUAAAAAAAUAGCCAGUCCCAUUAAAAUCACCAAAUGCAAUCCAAUAACAUGCUCCAUUAUGUAUUGACUUUCAUGAGAAUUAGCAGGAAAAAAAAAAGUUCAUUUAGUUAAGCAAAUAGCAACCUUUGAUUGUUCUUUAACAUUACUAAAAAUCUAAUUCUUACUUUACUUGAUUGUAUUGUCGAAUCUUUCUGAAAAGGUAGAAGAUAAAUCCCAUUUAUUGGAAUUGUAUGUAGGACGUGUUUUGUUCAAAAUCAGUAAUUUGACAGUUAAGAAAUGAACAGAAAGUUGUUGAAGGUAGUGCAUGACGUCUCAUGCGCUUUAAAUUUCAAAAAUUUAUAUCUUUUUGACAUGGAAACUACUCAGCAAGGAAAUGGUGGCUCAACAACAUUAUAUAUAUAGAGCUCUCUAGGUGAAUUGAAGAUGAGAAUGAGGGAUUGCAUAAGCUACAAGAAUGAACGGUCAUUUGUAAAGUACAGCGAAUAGGGUCCAUUAGAUCAAAUCAAGUAGAGUAGAAGAAAAUGAAUACACUUAUGCUACAAUCAGUUUCAAUUUCUUUCAUCUGGUAACCGUCUAUAAACAAGAUACAAGCUCUAAGCCACCAAUGGGCUAUAAACAGAGCUUCAUUCAAGAGAGUUAAAGGUAUCCCAAGUUCUGAAAAUUGAGAGCAUGUACAAGUGAGCUUUUACAGAGAUUUUUCAGAGAAUGUUUUCUUAACUAUUCUAGAGGGAUUUAUAUUGGGUGUAUUUAGGUUAUCGGAUUUUGAGAAUUGUUCCCAUUCAAAGCCCAACCCCAAUUCAUGAGCCUAAAUAAUAAACCAAACAAAAGAGAAUAUUCUCUCAAUUUAUCUAGAAUUACUUUGCUAAAAAUAUCAUGAAUCAUUGGCGUUGUGGCAGUUUUAAAAUUUGGUGAUUCCUAAGAAAUUAAUGGUAAUAAGUUUAGAAUGUCGUUAUUUGUUAGGACCUGCAUUUAAAAUCUUAAAUAUUCGUAAUUAAUUAUAAAGAUCUCGGUUCACCUGCAAGCUACAACAAUUAGCUAACUGAUAUAUGGUAUUUUUUACAAAACUAUUCAAAAAGAAAGGGUAUAAUUAAUCAAACUGAUUUGGACAAUACCACACGAUUUUUUUUUUAUUGACAAACCAACAUAAACAACAUAUUAACGUAAAUAACGCAUUCACAUAUAAUUGUUUUAUUUAGUUAUUAAGAAAGACGAAGUACAUGGACGGUGGACACUAAGAAAUAUAAUCUCUUGUAUAUCAAGAGAUUUUAGAGGUUGAAAUGAACUAAACUGACCCUCACACAAUUAAUUGACAGUAAUUGACAGGUAAGAACAGUACCCAUCCUUUUAUUAACCAUAAUGGAAAAGAGUAAUACUGCGUGCGUGCGUGCGCUUAUUAACCAGUGUGGUCGGGAUUUCUUCCAUAUUGAGGGACAGCAAUAAGAUCAAGAUUGUCAACUGUCCCGUCCUUAUCAUCAGCAAUACCAUAUACAGGUACUGGAGUACCCUCCAACCAUUCAUUCUUACCUGAAAGUUUAACAUUAGAAAAUGGAUUCAUAAAUGCUUAUAUUAAUAUAUGAAUUGUAAAUGAUAUCCAUUCAGCUGAAAUUGGCUAAAAAACCUGCGCAAGGAAAAGGAGUUUCCAUAUUCUUCAAAUCAGAAAAGAUCUCCAGGUGAAGCGUAAUCAAAACUCAAAAAUAAGUAGAGCUUGAGCGUGUUCUUAGUUCUGGUUUGAUCUGAUAUAUAUAGAUUCAAGAAGCCGAUGUUGCCGAGGUGUGGGUGAUUGUGACGUAGCAAAACA